CUACCAAAGGUAUUCUCACCUUUUUGGGUAAUAAACUAAUUUUUUUUGGUGUGUGGCUGCCCCUCACAACAAAGGUCGUUCAUAAGAAUAAAACUCUUGAUAUUUUGGUCAUCUUGUAAAUCUAGUGAGACCUUACACCACUAGAUCAACACUUUGUUAAUAAAUGGACCCUUAUUUAACCAUGCUCUUUCUUGCACAUGUUAGAACCCAUAUAUAUAUAUAUAUAUAUAUAUAUAAACCUCCCAAGGUUCCAAUAAAUUGACUAAUAUUUUUCAAAUUUUAUAAUUAAAUUUGAAUUGUACUACGAAUUAGUGAAGAAGUAAAAGAAAUCAACCGAGUCCCCAUACCCCACAAUAUUUGAAUCUAGAUUUUGCUUUGGUUACAACUUUCUAGCUUUAAUCAAAGCUAGAAAUGCUUACUCUACACUUUAUUGUUUUUUAACAACUCACUUAAAUGUUAACUCAUUGUAACUUUAUUAAUUAACUCGUUGUAGUUAACAAGUUAAAAUCAUUGUGAUCCCAUUUCACCCAUCUUUUCCAACAAGUUGUUAUCACAAUUACUUACUAGAAUUAACACAGAUUCCGGGGAUUAAUUGAACAAACUCAAUGGGUCCUCUAAUGUGACAACAGAAUCAUAAUCCAACAUAUCAAAAGAGAAGCUUCAAAGUGAAACACAAAUAUACUUGUUAUACUAGAUAGUGAAAUUUUCCACUUUUCCACUCCUUAGAUAGCGGGUCAAAAAAUCAUAACAUCUAUUUUAUACAUAGUAUCUUUGCCUUACUUUUCAUAAUCUUAGUUUAAUUAACCACCACAAUGGGUCCAUGUCACAUUUUAUAUAUAAAAUGGGUACAAUAUCUUCUCUUAUAGAAUAUGUGUUAUUCUAUGUAUCAUAAGUUGUUAUUAGUAAAAAAUACUUAAUAAUUAAUUUUUUAAUUUAUAUAUUUAUUUCAACUAAUCACAACUCUAACACAUAGAGUGAUACACAUUCUAAGACAUAAAGUAUGUUGUCCAUAAAAUUGUAAUAGUUAUACACUUACAGUAUCAAAAUGUAUACUUGUUCUUACAUCAUUCACCAUUCAUUUGGAUUCAUAUAUUGUCAAUAUAUAUAUAUUUUUCUCUAGUAUAAAAUUGGUUACUUACCUCACGAUUUAUACACAUAUAGUCACCAAUGACCAAGUACAUUGAUUGCAGAAUAAAACAUAAUAAAAAACGUUAGAAAUUAAAGAAAGAUGACAUCAACAAACAUUGGAUAUCUUUAAACUUUGGACAUGUAUGUGGGUAGGGACACCGCCAAAUUAAGAGUUAGGUGAUAAUAGAAUUUGUAUGUUAAUCUUAAUUGAAAGCAAACAUUGUUGCCACCAAUUAUUGUCGGGUCAAAAUCCUCAAUUAGCGAUUAAAUUAGUAUCACGCUUCUUUUUCACCAGACAAAUUGGUUUGUUUUAGGGUUGUUAAUGAUGGGUUCAAACCUUUAAUCAUUGAGGUUUGUUAGAUUGAAUAUAUUGAAGCCUGAAUAAAGUUUGAUAUAUAGUUGAAUAAUUGGCUUUGUUCACACGCUUGUACACAUUCCAUUGAGGAACAUCCUUUUCAUUCUAUCUUCAAAUAUAUCAAAAUCUUUGACUCAUGAGAGCAUGCAAAUUUGUAUCAUUCAUAUGGUUCUUGAUUGUGUCUAAUAGUUAGUGUAAGAAUUUGGUAUAGUAGGUACAUAGUAUAUUUAUUUAUUUUCAGCAGAGAACAAAUAUAUUAAUGGUAGUACGAGAGUACCUAAUUAUAAAUAAAAUAAAAAUAAAAAUAAAAAUAAAAAUAAAAUUUCAAUUAAAAUUAUGAAGCUUUUUUUUGUUGGGUAACAUAUUCUCUUUCAUGAGGAUUCCUAAAAUUAUGUGUGAAUUGCUUAAAAGGUGGAGGAGAGAUAUUUACUUUGAUGCUAUAGUAACUUCAUCAAUAUUAAUAAAUAAUUUUGUUUCCAAGAAACGUUGGGUAUAAAUUGGUGUUUCCAACGUUCAUGGCUGUAUUGGUAUAAUGGGAAAAGUGAUCUAUUAUCCUAAAUUAUAUUAUAAAUCAUGUUUUGCAUUAAUAAAAAUAUAUCAUAAAUAAAUUAAAUAUUCAUUAUUUUUUUAUUUUUAUUUCAAUAUCAUUAAUGUGAAAUAUAGUUUGAGACAAUAUAUCUUUGAAUUAUAUAAUUCCUUUUAGAUAAGGUAAGAAAAAAGACUGACUGCUUGGAAAUUUGUCCCUUGCAUGAAGGGUUACCCUAAUUGAGCAGCCCAGCUAUCAUUCAUUAACAUUUAUACGUAAUGAAAUCAGAAUAAAAUAUUCACAAUAUAUUAAAAACAAUAAUAUUAAUUUAUAUAUUGACAUAAUUAAAUCUAAGUAAUUACUUUGAAUAAAAUAAUUAUUCUGAGCCGAUUUAAAAAUAAAUCAAAUAAAUGUUAAUCCAAAUCUUAGAGAAAGAGACUAAGGAAAACCAUAAUCAAAGAUUAGGAAAAAUUUGUUUAUCUCUAAAUAUGAUUGGUUAAUUAAAUAUGUUUCUACAUAAAAAUUAUUAUACAAACUAACAUUAUUUUACAUGGAGACAUUUAUUUAUUUGGAUUAACAAGCUUAACAUCAUCAUAUGGAACAAAGUGUAGAAAGUUGUGGGUUCAAGUCUUACCAUCAAUAAAAAAGGAGUAUCACCUACAACAAAAUAAUAACAAUCUAACCUACUAACAAUUGUCGAUAAAAAAAACAUCAUCAUAUGACUCACUUUUUUAAUUACGCAUGGGAGUGAUUUGACCCUGACAGCAACUAUGAAUAAACAUAGUUGAUAUAUGUAAAACUCAAUUAAAAAAUGUAAGAAUGUUAAAUUAUCUUCAACAUGCAACUAGAGGACACAUUUAGUGCAGUGAUAAUACGGAUAAGCCACACAAAGAAGUUACUCGAUUAUUUUGUUCCUCAGGAACACACAACCUAUACAAUAAUGCAGGUGCAACAGACAAUGAAAUUUAUAAAUAAUGAAAUGUGUGGAUAAAAAGUUCAGGUUAAAUAUGAUAUAAAUAGUCUUACUUGUCGGAUGGUUCAUUACAACUUCACAAGAUGCAAAGAUGAGAGUGAAAUAUACAAUUCAUCAUAACCAUACUCAUAGCAUUAUUGCACCUUAUCUUAUACAUGUCUUAUAUUAAAACACAUAAUGUAUUUAAUUAUCAAAGUACUUGUUCUAACAUACUAUAUAAUUUAUGCAUAUGAAUAAAAAAUAUACAUAUACACGACAGAAUUAAUAGUAAAGAAAAAGUAGACAUGAUUCACAGAAUAGCACUGUUGGACUGAAGAAGCAUCCACAACCAUGGAUAAACAUUUGUUGUCCCCAUGCAUAUCUGAAGUCUGUCUCAAAGCAAUCAUAAUGAAACAAAAAUAGAAAACGUCAUGAAUAUUUUUUUUAAUUAACAUGAUAUAUUUUGAUUGAUAUGGAACAAACUUAUGUACAUUAGAUCCUUGUCCUACAACUAGUAUACAUAUAUUAAAAAAAUAACAUAAGGUUGAAUUCUACAAUAUCUUUUUUUUCAUUUCAUGUUGUUGUUUGUCAUUUUCUAUUGGUGUGUAGUUUGGUUGGGCCAACAUAAUAUAAGGUUAAGAAAUUGAGAUGCAUGUACAUGCAAUGGAAUGUGGGCCACCAUAAAGACAAGGGUAUGGUGAGAGAUUCCUUACCGACAAUUUUGCAUGCUCUUAGAAGGGUCCAAAAUUGAGACACUUAAAAUAUAAGGGUAAUAGAAAAUUGAUAUUUGAGGGGUUUUGUGAAUCUUGGUGAACAUUGCAUUGCAUUCAAGAGGAACCUUCAAUGAAAUCUUGUAGUGAAUUUUUAAAAAGGACUAAGAUUUAUUUGAUAUUAUUUUUCUUACAUACAUGUUGUCUUAAUAAUAUCAGCAGACAAACAUGUAUGGAAUCUGAUAAAUGUGUAGUACUGAAUUUGAGAUAUUAUUUGUCUGCUAAACUGCUAAACAUAGGAUACCAUUUUUAUAAAAUGUUCAUGCCUAGUAGUAGCAUAUAUCAUACAAACCACUUUUCACUUUUCUACACUACACUGACCGCCUAUGAAGCACAGAUACGGAUACGUGUAUUGGAUACGAUACGUAUCCGAUACUCGACACGCAUUUUUUCUAAAAUUUAGGAUACGAUACGUUUAGGGAUACGUGUAUAAAUUAAUAAAAAAAUACAUUAAAUAUGAUAAAUUAUAAGUGUAAAUCAAAAUAUUCAAAGUAAAAAAUAUAAUGGAAAUUGAAAAUCAUUGUCCUCCAAAUUUCAAAAUAUCAAAACUAGAAAAUAUAGUAGAAUAAUUCAUAAAAUUGCUUAUUUUUUUUUUUGAUCAGCAAUGAAUUAUAUUAAAUAGAGAAAAAAAUUAGGAGAACAAGUGGUGCUCCUAUCCACAAAAAAACCUUUACAUAUGCAAAUUGAAACAAUUUGAAGGGCUCCACACCCAAUCCAUGAACGAGUAAUAGAAUGUAGGAGAUCUAGCAGAGAUAAUGUUCCAAGAAUGAAGCUGAAUAACAGAAAUUACCGCAUCAAGAUUACAAGGGGAAUUAUCAAAAAUAGCUUUGUUCCUUGCCAACCAAAGAGACCACAAGGUGACAAACCAGAUAGACAUCCACUGAUUAUGAUAAGGAUUUCCUAGCCGCAAAUAAGACCAAUGGGAUAGGAAGUUAUUCCUAAUUCCAGCUGGAAAAACAGAAUUAAGUCCAAACCAGGAAAAAAUAGCUUGCCAAACACCAUAAGCGAAAGAGCAGGAAAAAAACAAAUGAUCAACAGAUUCAUCCGCCAUUCCACAGAAAACACAUCCUAAUUGUGCUCCAUCCCUCAAGAUACCUCUCCUAACCAGAUUUAGCCGGGUUGGAACUCCAUCUACAGAUAACCUCCAAACAAAACAUCUCAAUUUAAGCGGAACAUUGGAUCCCCAUACUUUUUUAUAGAACCACGAAUCAUAGCUAUUAUCCUCAUUCUGUAAGGCCUUAUAAGAACUUCUAACCGAGUAAGUUCCAUCUUUUUCAUGCACCCAAAACCACCCAUCAGCACAAUCCUGCAAAAUCCUGACAUCCUUUAAAGAAUUAAGAAGGGCAUCAGCUUCCUCUUUUUCCCAAGAAAACAACAGUCUACGCCAUUCCAGAUUCCAGCACCAAACAUUAUUCCUCCAAUCGCCCAAUGAGCUAAUAUAAGCAUUUUUGUCCAGAGCAACCUGAAAUAACCUAGGGUAAAGACAGUUAAAACUCACAUCCCCAAACCACUUAUCUUUCCAGAACGAAGUAGAAAAUCCCGACCCGACUCUUCUGAUGACCCCCCCAUAAAACCAACUGUUUUGAAUACCAUUCUCUCUACUCUGCAGACACCCCAGGUCUCUCCACCACACCGACCCCUUCCUGAAACACUCGUCCCUGAGAAAAUCCCCACUCGACUCCACACAAUAUUUGGAUCUCACUACUCUCACCCAAAAGGAUUCACGUUCAUGCAUUAAUCGCCACCUCCACUUACCUAAUAAAGCUAAAUUAAACAGACACAAAUUUUUUUACCCCGAGACCCCCUGCCUCCUUAGAACAACACACCUUUUUCCAACUCGCCCAAUGGAUACCUUUACUCACCUCAUUCCUACCCCAAAGAAAUCUUCUCUGAAUUUUAUCAAGCUCAUGAAUAACAGAAACAGGAGCUUUAUAAAAAGAAAAGAAGUAGAUAGGUAAAGAUGACAUGACCGACUUCAGAAGAGUAACACGUUGACCGCUCCUGUAUGAAAAAUAAGUCUAUUUUUAAAUAAAAAAUGUGAUAAAUGCAAUUAAGUUAAACAAAACUUAUAUAUUGUGGAGAAAAGUCCAAAUAAUAUACAAAUCAAUGUAUAUUUAUUAUUUUUUGUUACAAAAUGCACCAACAAUUCUAAAGAUAUAUUGUUUAAAUCGCUCUUAUAUUAUAUCAGAAUGAACCAAAAAUAAUGAAGAAGUAUCCACUCAUAUUAUUAGGAUUUAUCUCCACAAUAUAUCAUAUUUUGUUUAACUUAAUUGCAUUUGUCACAUUUUUUGUUAAAAGAUUACGCUUAUUUUUCAUGCAGGGGCGAUUAGUAUAAUGAAAGUAUAAAAAUGAAAGAGGUUUAUGUAUGUGUAGAAAAUGAUGAUGAUUUGUAUAAUUUUGCUAAAACUCAGAGUCAGUGUAAUUUACUCUUAAUAUAUUAAUUAAUUCAUGACAUUAUUCAAAAUGCAUUAGACCUGGAUUGUAAUUGACAAUAACAUUAUAUACUUCAUUUUUUAAAAGGUCAAAGUAAAAAAAAUAUAGUUUUUCCUAGAAUCUUAUAUGUCGUCAUUUAUAGGUGAUAAAAAUACUACUAUGUAAUAGUUUAGAUUUCAAAUAAUAUUUUUUUUCUAUCAAACCAUUAUGAGUGACAAAGGCAACACAAAAACAUUUUUAGGAACUUGAACUAGAGAAUUUAGAGAAGUUAAAAUAAAAUCCUAUCAAUUGAUCUGCACACUUGAUUGUUGGUGGUAAGAAGUUUUUUUUAACAUACACAGAUGAGAUGCAUGAGGGAAGGUGAGAUUUAAUUACUUGAUCUAUGUGGUUGGGUAAAGAUAGUAGUAAUAAGAUAUUAGAAAUUUAUAAUUAAGGUGAACAUUAUAUAUUUGAUACAAUGAUAUCAGCUAUUUAUUUUUGUGAUUAUAUUAUAAAUGGUCUAAUUACUGACUCCCUUUAGAUUUCUAAAAACUGAUAACGGAUAUGGACUUAAUAGGUGGAUACCCAUCAGGUUAACACAUAGGAGAUAAUGAGAACCUUAUAAGUUAACGCAUAAGGAAGGUUAUGGUCCCCAACACACCAAAUCAAAUUCAGUUUUCUCCUCUUUCCAUCAGAGUGAACAUGCAAGUCCCAAGAGGAAUCAGAGAUUUAGUUGAGGAAGACCAUCAUACCACAAAACCUCUUUUAGAAAUGUAGGUCAAAGGAGCACAUCCAGAAUAUGGAUUCAGGUAUGACACUACCCCAUUUGUUUCAUAUAUGUGUGUGAGAAUCAUGAGAUUCAAGAUCCUAUGAUUAGUAUUUCACCAAUCAUAAGGAAUUCCCAUCAAGUGGUAUCAGAGCAUAGGUUCUGAAUUUUUAUAAUUCUCCAUAAAGGGUGUUUUUCCAAUUUUUGUAUGAACCAUAAUUUAAAUUUGGAACUUUUUUGUUUGCUUCCACUGUAAUGUUAUGAAGAUUGGAAAUUUAGGGUUUGAAUUAUCUAUCAAUAUAUGAAAUACUACUUUUAUUUUAUGCUUUUGCAAUCUCGAUUGUUGCAAAUUGUGUUUAUCAAUACGAUUAUGCCAUUGCUCAUCCAAAGGAGGUGUUUUAUAACACUGCUCAACAUUAUCGUGCAUACUAUGAUCUUCUUGGUGUUACUUAGAAUGCUAAUGCUUUCGAAAUCAAGAAAGCCUAUUACAAACUCUCUCUCAAAUAUCAUCCAGAUAAAAAUUCUGAUCCAGAAUUGUGAAAAAAAAUUGUUGGUUAAAGUGGCAAAUGCUUAGGAUAUUUUGAAAGAUGAAUCAAUAGGGUAACGUGCAUUUUUUUGGGCACUGUGCUAUGAUAUCAUGCAUUUUUUUGAAUUCAACUGGGAAUUCAAUUGAGUUAAUGUUUCAAUGCAUUGCACUUUUGUAUAAUAUUACGUGUUUUCCUAUAUUAUGGUAUAUGUAUAUUGAAAUUUCAGUAUGUGCAUAUAUAUUAUAUGUAUAAUCAAAGUGUACAUACUUAUAAUGAUUUAUAUUGCUAUUGCAUUGGUGCAAAUGUUUAUAUCAAAAUGCUUUCUUUGCCAUGUUUCUUUAAAUAGCUUGCACUGUUUUGAUUUGGAAUUAUAUGGAAGGAAACUGCUUCUUUGCCAUGUUUCUGAAGGUUUUAAUUCCAAGAUUAUAUUUUUUGUGAUGAACUCAUAUUGUUUACCUUUUUUUGUUUGGUAAUUAUUUUGAAUUAAUUGAUGCAAUAUGUUGCCAAAGUAAUCUCUAUUGUGGAAAUUAAUUGAAAUUACACAAAUGAGUAUGAGAUUAUUUAUGCAAAUUGUGUUCGGCCCGAAGGAAAACAUAAUUUGGCCAAAUAAUAACAUACAUAUAAUGAUAAAUAUGUAACAAUUAUAAAGUUUUUUUCUUCAAGUGAAUAAUAGUCGCUCCCAAGAAAUGCUAUUGUUUGACAGAACUAAUUGUUAAUAUUUGAUCAUUACAUUGAGAGUACCACUUACAAAUUAAUUUCUUUGUCCAAAGACUAAAAAUUGAUAUUGUGCUAGGUAACUUGUGAUGGGUCUAUUAUGUGAACAUGUCUUGUUUUUUUUUAUAUAUAUUACAUGACUUGUUUGUUUAGAUUUGAACAUGUUAUCUAUAUUAAUUCUUUGUUAACCUUCCUUAUGCGUUAACUUAUGGGGUUCCCAUUAUCCCUUAUAAGUUAACCUGAUGGGUAUCCAUCCAUUAAACUCAUAUUCGUUAUCAGCUUUUAGAAAUCUAAGGGGAGCCAGUAAUUAGAUCACUUAUAAUGUAAUCCCGGAAAUAAAUAGUUGAUAUCAUUGUAUCAAAUAUAUGAUGUCCACCUUAAUUAGAAAUUAUAAAUUUAUAACAAUCUCCCACUUGGGCUUCAUAUCUUCCUGAAAAAAUUAUAUCACAGGUUCUUUAGGCACGCAUCUGUAUGUUAUUUAUAUUUAGACUUCUCCUUAAUACAAUCUAGUUUAUCUUAUAUAUCAACUAUGGAACCACCACAACUUUCAUCACAUUUAAGUGUGACUCGACCACGAUGAUCACCAUAUUAAUAUACUCAAUGACAUAGAUCAAAUAUAGAUGAGUGACAUGGAAAUUUCAUGCAAUGUGAUCUCAAACAUGUCUAUUUCUAAUUGAUCCUUCUUUAUUCUUUAGUCAGAUCAAUCCAAAGUCUUUAAUUACAACAUAAUAGUUAUAAUGCACAAUUUCAAAAUAAAACAAUAAAUCAUCAACUUUAUUAUGCAUAAAAAAAAUUGUAUAUAAUAUCCAAAGCAAAAUAUAAAACAUAUAGACUCCCACAGAACUAAGGUACCCUAAGAAACAACACCUAAUGAGCAACAUGCUCAUGAAAGACUUUAGGUACCAAACCCUUAUUCAGUGGAUCAGCUAGCAUAAAAUUUAUCUCUAUAUGUUCUAUGAAAACUUAUCCAUUUUGAACACUUUCUUUAACAACCAGAAACUUUAUGUCAAUGAAUUUUGAAUUUGUAGAACUCCAAUUGUUGUUGGAGUAAAGAACCGCGGACUUGUUGUCAAAAUAAAUCCUCAAUGGUCUUUCAAUNNNNNNNNNNNNNNNNNNNNNNNNNNNNNNNNNNNNNNNNNNNNNNNNNNNNNNNNNNNNNNNNNNNNNNNNNNNNNNNNNNNNNNNNNNNNNNNNNNNNCCUGAUUUACUGUCUUUCAUGCCAAAUCUAUCUAGGACUUUAUCUAUAUAGCUUUCUUGUGAUAACCUUAGGAUACCUUGAGAGCGAUCUCUCAGUAUCCGAAUACCUAAUACAAAAUAAGCUUCCCCAAUAUCUUUCAUUUCAAAAUUCUUCAUUAGAGAUCUCUUGGUCUCAUGCAAUAGUCUCAUAUCACUGCUAGCAAGCAGUAUAUCAUCGACAUAUAAUACCAGGAAUUCUUCAUUAGAGAUCUCUUGGUCUCAUGCAAUAGUCUCAUAUCACUGCUAGCAAACAGUAUAUUAUCGACAUAUAAUACCAGGAAGAUAAAUUUACUCUCACUGAACUUAUGGUAUACACAAUCUUCAACUUUAUUUGCCUCAAAACCAUACGAGGUAAUAACUUGAUGAAAUUUGUAAUUCCAUUGACGAGAAGCUUGUUUAAGCCCAUAGAUGGAUUUCUUUAAUUUGCAUACCAUAGAAUUUGAGCGAACUGACACAAAGUUUUCUGGUUGCACCAUAUAGAUCGUUUCCUUAAUGUCACCAAUAAGAAACACAGUCUUAACAUCUAUCUGAUGUAGCUCUAAAUCAAAAUGAGCCACUAGUGUUAAUAUUGUUCUAAAAGAAUCGUUCGAAGAUACUGGAGAGAAGGUUUCUUUAUAAUCAAUGUUUUUUUUUCUGAGUGAAACCUUUAGCUACUAGACAAGCUUUAUAUCUGUCAAUAUUACUCUUCGAAUCCCUCUUGGUUUUAAAUAUCCAUUUGCAACCAAUAGGUUUCGCACCUUUAGGAAAUUCGACAAGAUCCCAAACGUCAUUAUCAUGCAUAGACUUCAUCUCAUCCUUCAUGACAUUGAUCCACUUUUGAGAGUUACAACUUUUCAUGGCUUGACAAAAGUUCAAUUUUGUGAUUCUGUUAACCCAAUGCCAUCCUCAUGUUCUUGAAGAAAUACAAUAUAAUCAUCAGGAAUUGCACUUCUCCUCUCUCUAGUAGAUCUCCUUAAUGAGACACUUUUACUUCUUGAGGUUGUUGAAUUUGUUCUAUAGGUACUUGAGGGACAACCUCAUUGUUGUCUUGUUCUGAAAUAUUGUCAAGGACAAUAUUCUGAACAUUAUCUUCUAUUAUCGAAUUUAUUCCUUGAGUGGUAAUAGACACAAGAACUUGUUCACUACCAGUGACAUGUUUUUCCUCAAAGACAAUAUUCUUUAUGUUCUCUUCCUUCCCAAAAUCAACUUCCUUGAGAAAUCUUGCAUUUCCCGUCUCAAAAAAGAGUCUUGAAAUGUGAUCAUAAAAUUUAUUGCCCCGAAAGCAUUCAGCAUAGCCAACAAAAUAACAACUAAUAGUUUUAGAGUCUAGUUUUCUUUCAUGCAAUCUAUAAGGUUGCGCCUCAGCUAGACAACCACAAAUGUGCAAGUGUUUCAAGCUUGAUCUUUUAUUAGUUCAAAGCUCAUAUGGGAUUUUGUUAACUGCUUUACUUGGCACCCUAUUAAGGAUGUAAAUUGUGGUCUUUAAAGCUUCCCUCAAAGAGACUCUCGUAAGGAAGAAUGACUAAUCAUACUUCUCACCAUAUCCUUAAGAGUUCUAUUUCGUCACUCAGCAACACCAUUCAUGCUAGGUUUGCCUAGCAUAGUGUAUUGCGGAACAAUUCCAUACUCUCUGAGGAAAAGUACAAAUGGUCCUAGACGUUGUUCUUCUGAUCCAUCAUAUCUGGCAUAAUAUUCACCACCGCAGUCAGAUUUGACAGCCUUAAUUUUCUUUAUAAGUUGAAAUUCAACUUCAACCUUGAAAGACUUGAAAACAUCCAAGGAUUGAGACUUCUCAUGUAUAAGAUAUAGGCAGUUUUACCUAGAGUAAUCAUCUAUGAACGUAAUAAAAUAAUGUUGUUCAUUCCAGGAAGCCAUAGGGAAAGGACCACAUAUAUCUGUAUGUAUUACUUCUAAGAUAUCUUUAACUCUUUCGGCACCUAACUUUCUUUUGUUUGUCUGUUUUCCCUUUAUGCACUCAACACAUACCUCAAAGUCUGAUAAAUCUAAAGGGUCAAGAAUUGCAUCCAACACAAGUCUUUGAAUUCUUUGUUUAGAUAUAUGACCUAAACGUUUGUGCCAUAAGGUGGAUGAAUUCUCUUUUAAUUUCCGUUUUGUACCACGUGAAUUUGUUUGCAGUAUUUCAUUAGUGGAACUGGAAACAUUAAGCAUAUACAAAUUAUCAAUUAAAGAACCAGAACCAACAACAUUUGAAUUUUGAUAGAGACUAACUUUAUUAUUUCGAAAAGAACAAGAAAAACCAAAUUUGUCCAAGCUGAAAACACUAAUUAAAUUCUGCCUAAAAGACGGUACAACAAAUGUCUCAAAUAAAUCCAAAUGAAAACUAGUUCUCAAACAUAAUCUAAAUGUUCCAAUAGUCUCAACUACAACCAUUUUGCCAUCGCCCACAAUGAUGAAUCUUUCAUCAUCACUUGGUUGUCGGCUCCACAGGCAACUAUCAUAGUGAUACUAAUGUGAGUAGUAGCAACAGAAUCUACUCACCAAGUAUCAUUGGGUACAAAAGUUAAAUUAAUUUCAGAACAACCAAGAGUUAUAAAUUUACCCUUCUUUACACGCCAUGAGGCAUAUUUAGAACACUCUUUCUUUAUGUGUCCUUGCUUCUUACAGAAGUAAAAGGUAAAUUCCUCAUUAUUCUUCAAUUUCUUUUGCUGAGAAGGCCCUUUUGCAGCACAUUUAUUGCUCUUUCUUUUCUUAUUUUGAGGGUCAUAGCCAAGUGAACACUUUCAGCCUUAUCUCUCUACAACCUAUCUUCCUCUUGCACACAGUGAGAUAUAAGCUCAUUAAGGGACCAUUUGUCCUUCUGAGUGUUAUAACUUACUUUAAAUUGCCCAAAUUGUGUAGGAAGAGAGAUCAAAACCAAGUGCACGAGCAGGUCAUCUCAAUAAUGUACUCCCUUAUGUUCUCUUUGCUUUUAUACUUCAUGGAAAUGAGUUUAGCCAAAAGGCUACUCGUCUUCGCCUUUUCAUUCUUGACAAAGAAUUGUUCUAUUUCUUCAAGGAACUUUCUUGCACUUUCAUCCACAGAUAUAGAGUCCCGAAACGCAGCGUUUCAUGAUCAUCUAGAAUAGAGCGUUCCCAUUUCUCAAUUUUAGCUUCAUCAAGGUUUUCCGCAGUGGAAAUGGAUUUCUCCACACGAAGUGCCAAAUCCAAAUCCAUAUAGCCGAGAAUAAUUUCUACAGCUUCCUUCUAAACCUUAAGGUUUGUCACAUUCAGCAAUUGGAUGUUACUGAUUUGAGCAGAAAAAUUUGCAGUAUUGGUAAAAGACACUGAAUCUACAUAACAAAGAAUUAAUACCUAGUACAAUAUGAAUUUUUAGUCUUUGGACAAAGAAAUUAAUUUGUAAGUGGUACUCUCAAUAUAAUGAUCAAAUAUUAACAAUUAGUUCUGUCAAACAAUAGCCUUUCUUUGGAGCGACUAUUAUUCACAUGAAUAAAUUCAAUUUUCUCCUAUCCCAUCAGAGUGAAAACGCAAGUCCCAAGAGGAAUCAAUGAUUUGAUCGAGGAAGAUCAUCAUACCACAAAACCUCUUUCAGAAACGUAGAUCAAAUGAGCACAUCUAGAAACAUGGAUCCAGGUAUGACACUGCACCCUUCGUUUCAUAUAUGUGUGUGAAAAUCAUAAGAUUCAAGAUCCUAGGAUUGGUAUUUCACCAAUCAUCAGGAAUUCCCAUCAAUAAUAUGAGGAGGGAUCCACUUAUUCUAAUAGUAUAUUUUUUAAACUUACUUCUCAUUCUAACCCUCCAUUCUAGGGAAAUUCAAUGAUUUGAAUUAAUGAGUAGAUCUAAAUCAUUAGAUGUCCAUAUAAUUGAUGACUAUGAUGAAAUGUAAAUUUAAAAAACUUACUCUUAGAGUAAGUUGAUCCCCACUCCUAUAACAUUAGUCACAUUCACACUUCAUUUUUUAUAGCUAGGAUAGUACCAUCAUACCAUUGUUAUAGCCAUAUGUGGACAAAUAUGAGGACAAACUCUUUAGGAUCCUCCCAUCUUUUCGAUUUUUAAAGUAUAUGCUUAGUGCAUUAUAUCAAUUUUUGUCUAUAUCGUAAAACCUGAAGAUGUGACUAUUAGAAAAAUAAAAUAGUUCCUCUUGCUUUAGCAGAUUAGAGGUUUUGUAAGUGCCACCAAUGCUUGUGAAAAGGUAGCACUACCAACUCUCAUAGUGUUCAACCCAUAUGGAGCACACACUUACGGAAUAAAAUAUCUCCAUAUAUUAGGAGAUACUCAUUCGACCACUUUAUGUCAUAUUGUUUUUAGUUUUUAGAAAUAUUUUUGCAAUAAAAAAUUAAAUAUAACAUAUAUUAUGAUUUUAAUGAUUAAUUGAAAUAAUUUAUCUCCUAAGAGAUACAUUCAACUCACUUAAAAAUGUCCAUAUCAUUGAGAGUUGUGGAAAGAGAUUUAGUGUAGCAAGAGACAAAGAUAACAGCAUCAAGAGAGACAGCAUGUAAGUGGAACAAGAUAUUUUUUACAUUGCAUGUUAUUAAGUGAUUAAAAUAGAAAUUUCUUACCCUUUUUACUAAAGAAAUCGAAGUUCCUAAAUGCCUACCAAGACAUGGUAUAAUUUGUUUCACUAGAAUUUCUUAUUUAUAUAAGAAAUUUUUCCACGAGAAUACAUAUAUUUGUUUUGUUUCCUCUGAAGCUGAUAUAUACAAAAUAAGGUUUGUAUAACUAAUUGGGACAACUUUUACUUUUUAUAACACAUAAUACAAGACUAUGCAUUAUAAAAAAUCAAAGAUAUCGGAAAGUUAUCAUGGUUAUUUAAAAAAAAAUACUUUCAUAUCUAAAAUAUCACUUGAAUUUUGCACAUAAGUACCCAUACAAUGGAACAAAUAAUAAACUAGGAAAAAUGCAAUGAGUGUUAAUUGACACAGUUUACAUUCAACAUGUACCUUAAUUACAGAAAUAAGUUAGACAAUUGGUCAAGUAUGUGUGUCUAAUGUGUCAAGUCCCUCAAAUCUGAGUUUCUAAUGACCAAAGAGUGUUCCCUAGCCUUAAAUUUUAAAACUAUAAUGAGUCAAAAUUUGAUGCCUACAUUAUCUAUGAAGGAGCUGUAGUUAAUGGUUCCAAUUAUAGUUAAGGAGAAUGUAAAUGUCAUUCCAAGAAUUAGUUGCUGUUUAAAAUUGUCAUCAUGUAAGUAACAUGAUUUCAGGUUAGUCAUUAGACUCAUCAAACCAACUUUCUUUGUGUAUGAUUUGUCCUACUUUUUGUUCAAUUUAUUGCAUGUCAUAAGCUUAAUUUGUGGGUUGCAUCUCUUUUUUGAAAAGCUCCCAUAAGCCAUACUGAAAACUUUGCAUUAGUCUAAAAUACUGCACAACUACUCUAUGGCUCAAUCAAUUUUGGGUUAUGAGAAAUGAAACGAUUUUCUUGAAGAAAGAGUCUAGUUAUAUUCACAUUUUUUUAUUUAAUUCAAACUAGAUCUUGGAUUUGGUUCAUCUCUUUUAUAAAUAAAAAUUCGUUAACUUUUAUAAAUUGACAUAUGGAUCCAAAACUCUGUAUUUCUUUAGCUACUAAAAAGAUCACUGAUUAUUCUUUGUUUGUAUAGGGUGGGCACCCCUUAUGUUAAGUUUAUACAUUUCUUUCUUUAUCAAAAAUAAAUUGAUAAAGGUUUUGUUCUGGAAAUUUUUAUGAGAGGCUUGCAUGUAGAAUUACUGUAUGAAGUUUUAAGUAGGGCUCUUCUGUAUGUUGUAACAGCAAUUGUUUCUGACAUUGAAAAUGCAUAUUUUAAUGUAUACUCAUCAUCAAAUGUAGUUUGAGGAGGAUUGCUCAAAUUAGCACCCUUGAUGUCGGUUCUCUUUAAUUUGGUAUAGCCAUAUAACAAAUCAAGGUAUCUUAUGCAGUGUGCAUGCCUUAUAUAUGCCUUCCACUUUUUUUUUUGUUUCCCACAGGUAUCCUCGCACUGGAGGCAAUAUUGUCCAAGUCGGUGACAUCCACAUACGACUAACUCUCCUAGCAGAUAUUUUUUCCAUACAUGGUGUUUGUAUUGGUCAAUAUGGCAUAGUUUUGGGUAGAUGGAAGUUGAACAGGGCAAUUCUUCUUGAGAAUACCAUGUAAAAUUUGCUUGUUUUUUUUUCCAAAAUUAUUUAGUAGCUAAAUGAUUCACUAUAUAUAUAUAUGUAUGUAUUUCUGUCAUGAUAUAUAAACAAUUCCUUUUCACCUAUUUUAUUUGCACUUUAGCCAACCAGCUUGUAAGAAUGUUAUGCAUAGAAAAUGAUGUAUAAAUUAUUAAUCAAAAUGUUUUCACACAUACAUCAUCCAAAAGUUUUGGUCAUUGAAAGUGAAUUCUACUUCCAGAUGAUGAACUUGACCUACAUAUUCAAGAGAUUCAAAUCCUAGAGUUUAACACUUCAAAAAAUGCUUUUACCUAACAACCAUUCUCAACCCAAGGAUAUAAAAGAAUAAAUAAACAAACCACUACACCAAUCCAUUCAACUUCAAAAGAAAAUUAUGAUAUGGUUCCAAUUACGUUGAUAGAUGUAGAAGAUGAUUGAGAAUUUGUUGUUGGUGCAGGUGGUGUUGGUUCUUGAGGAGCGACAGUUUUUUCCAAAUCAGCAAUGAUAUCUAAUGUGUUUCCUCCCAAAUUGAAUAUAGUUUCAGAACCCUCAGCAAAAGGGCAUUCAACAUUUUCAAAUUCAUCCACGCAAGUUGAUUGAUAUGAUAUCACUGCACUAAACUUGAACUUAGCCUCAAUCAAAUCAUGUUGAGCAAUAGCAUCUUUUGUUUCUUUAAUAGAAUCCAAUAUAUAGUUAUAUUGUUCCUUGCAUGUCUUAAUAGCACUCAUUAACGAUUUGUUAAUGUUGUUUUUGGUAAGUAACUCAUCAAUUAUAGCAAUAGUCUUCUUUGUUUCAUUGAAUGUGGCUUCAACUUCGAUCUCAAGAGCCUUGAAAGGAUCAAUAUCUCCAUCAAGGACGUGUGGUUGAAUGGUUUGAGCACAAAGGGUAGGGUUUGUGGUGUGUUCACAGAAUUUCAAGAGAUCAGAACGAAUAUCAUGAUGCACAAUGUGAAAAGGGCGUGUCCCAUUUGUAAGGAGGUGAAUGGAAGAGAGAGAUAGAAAGAAGAGAAGUGUUUUACUAAUGGAAUCCAUUGUUUCUACCUUAGCUUUUGUUGCCUUUUAGAACUGCAUGCAUGGAAACUAUAUUUAAAUUUCCAUGCAAAUUAAAGUAUAGUUAACAUGGUUAUGUAAAAUUUAGGGUUUGUAGAGAACUUAAUAUCCACAUAUAGUUGUUUGUUAUAGACUUUUCAUCAUUUGAUGCAAACUACAUAUAAUCUGUGGUUUAUAAUUUUAAAAAAAAAGACUAUAUAUAAUUUGUAUUCCAAUUUUUGAAGGGUUGUGGUGUUCCUAAAAAUUGGAAUUUGCAACAUGUAGCUAGGUUCAAUGACAACCAUCCAUAUAGAACCACAAAAAAUAAAUAAAAGGUAUUGGUAUUUUGACUAAGAAUAACUAAGAGAGAAUGAUAGGGUUGCCCCUGAAACCUGAUAAAUUGGAAGGACAAAAAUAUUAGCAGUAGAAUAAUAGAAUGAGAGGAAAGUAAUGAAAAUGUUUUCCUAAAUUAGGUGUCAAAAUAAUAGGACUAUUAUUUAAUUAAUUAAGCAAAUAAAACGAAUGCCGCUUGAUUAUUAUAGCAAAAUAAACCUUAGCACAUUGAUCUGAAAAAUAACAAAGUUUAACAUACACCAAUCUUUAUUUAUAGCAAAAUAAACCUUAGUACAUUGAUCUGAAAAAUAACAUAAAGUAUAACAUACUUAUAGCAUAAAAUAAACCUUAGCACAGUGAUUAAUUAACUAGUUCACAACCUUUUUAGCAUAAAUAUUGUUAUACAAUCUGUAAAAAUAUGGUUCUUAUUUUGUUUAAGCUGUCUAAGACUUCCUUCAUGGUCAUUCUCUCAGCUGGUGAAUCUGAAGAACAAUUCAAAGCCAACUCCAUGAUACUUAAUAAUGCCACUUUCUUUGGAGGAAUAAAUAAUUCCUCUUCCUCCAUCAAGUUAGGAUCAACAAUAUGAAUGAUCUCAUUUAGUAAUAAUGAAUCUUUAAUCCAUGACCUUAAGCUUAGUCCAUCUAUAAACAUUUCAUCUGUUGGCCUCUUUCUUGUAAACACUUCCAUCAGCAUAACACCAUAGCUAUACACAUCUCCUUUAAUAGACACAAUACCUUCUGAUCCAUAUUCUGCAAUCACAAUUUCCAUUGAUAUAUUAUACAUGCACACUAAAAAUAUCCUUGCCUAAAAACUUCAUAUACUACAUUAUAAUACAAGAAAUCAAAAUAAAGGACAGCAAAUAUACGUAAUCAGUACCUGGAGCCAUGUAACCAAUAGUUGCUAAGGUGUUGGUAAGUUCUCUAGAUUGUCCUUCUUCUAAGAGUUUAGCAAUGCCAAAGUCACAAACAUGAGCAACCAUAUCUUCAUCCAACAAAACAUUACUUGGCUUCAAGUCACAGUGCACCACUGGUUUUGAAUUACCAUAAUGAAGAUAAUCCAAAGCAGAUGCAACAUCUAUCAUUAUAUUCAACCUUUGUAAAAAAGGAAUGAAAUAGUUAUAAGAAUACAACCACUUCUCCAAGCUACCAUUUGGCACAAAUUCAAUUACUAGAGCUUUGAAAUCAAAUUCAUUUGAACAGCUAGUAAUGACUUUUACUAGAUUUCGAUGACGAAGAUUGCGCAUUGCUUCACAUUCUAUGUCGAAACUCCUUGAUGCCCCUUGCACAUCCAAAUUGAAUACUUUAACUGCAACAACCAUUCCAUUUGAAAGCACACCUUUGAAUACAGAACCAAUACCCCCUUUACCAAUAAGAUUGCUAUCAUCAAAACUCUUUGUUGCAUCUGAAAGUUCAUAGUAGGAAAUUCGACUCGCAAAUUGGAAUGAUGGUAAGACAACAAUGCUUGAUCCUUUACUAGAACUUCUCCUGUGUAUUAUGAGCAAUGCAAAUCCAAUAAGUGCACCAAAAAGAGUUAAGGGUAAAACCAACUUCAACACAAGCUUUUUGGUUUUCUUGCCAUGAUCUGCUCCUCUAGGACAUUGUGGAACUUGUAGGUCAGGUCUCCCACAGAGUGCACUAUUCAUCAUGAAUGAUUUAGCUGUGAAAUUUGCAAAUUCACCACCAGAAGGAAUUUCUCCUUCUAAUCUAUUAUAAGACAAGUUGAUAAAUCGGAGAUAAACAAGUUUCUCUAGAGACUUGGGGAUAAUGCCUGAUAAAGUAUUGUUGGAAAGGUCCAAAUAUUCCAAACUUAGCAUGCUGCCAAAUGAAUCAGGAAUAGGCCCUUGUAACAUAUUAUUUGCUAAUGAGAGGUUUAACAAUUUCUGCAAGUCACCAAUAUCACUAGGAAUAUUCCCUGAAAGCUUAUUAUUUGAUAUAUCCAAUUUUAUCACAGCUUUCAUGCCACUUAUAUCAGUUGGCAAAGAUCCACUAAAACCAUUAAAAGAUAAACUCACUUCCAAUAUGUCACUAAGGCUCCAAAGGGUAGAAGGUAUAAUAGAGUUUAGGUUAUUGUUAUCCAAAUAAAGUUUUCUCAGUUUUGUAAGACCCCCCAAGCAUUCUGGCACUAGCCCAAAAAUAUUAUUAUGUUCAAGAGAUAUCUCAUCCAAAUUUGUUAGCUGACAAAUCUGACCUGGGAUAGAGCCAUUAAGGUUGUUGCCUGAAAGAUCCAAACGUUGGAGAGACAACAAAGAGCCAAGUGUACCAGGAAUUUGUCCUAUGAGUUGGUUGUUGCUAAAAUUAAUAUCAAACAAGUUCUUUAAAUUGCCAAUCUGUGAAGGAAUUUGACCCUUGAGAUUACAGUUCCAUGCUACAAAAGAUUGCAAUGAGUUUGAGAGGUUUCCUAUAGAACUUGGAAGUGCUCCAUUUAGAGGAUUGUAUGAUAAUACAAGACUUUUUAGUUUCCUACACUUUGUCAAUGAAGUUAGGAAACUAAGUUCUGAAGAAGCUGGAUCACCAGUCAAGUUAUUUCCUAAUAUUCCAAGUAGCUGUAGGUUUAUUAAAUUUCCUAUAGAGUCAGGUAUAACUCCUGAGAAUGAAUUGUUGAUAAGUGUUAGGCUAGAAAGCAUUGUAGCAUUGAAAAGACUAGUAGGAAUUUCUCCACUCAGAGAAUUGUUUGUAAGGUAAAGGAAUUGGAGAUUGGAAAGGGUAUGAUAUGGAUAAAUUGGAAGAUUUCCUGAGAGUUGGUUAUAUGAUAGUGACAGACUUUGUAACCCUGAGAUGUUGAAGAUACUUGAUGGAAUAGAUCCUCUCAAGUUGUUAUUUUGCAAAUGCAAUAUAGCAAGGUUUUUCAAGUACUCACCAAGCUCAUAAGGUAUGGUACCUGCAAUAAAGCAUCAAAAUUUAAAUUGUUGGACAUCAAUGGGUAUGUAAUAAGCUAGUAUAAUUAAGAUUUAAACUACUCAUUUUAUACUCAACUUAUACUUCACAUUAAGUAUAAAAUAUCAUGAUAGUUAUCUAAAAGUAUAAGACUCUCGUAAGCGGAGAAACUUUUUUCAGAAUUUGAACCCAUAACUUCGGGUCACUAGGCAACAACUUAUCGUUGCGCUAAACUUUACUAUGAAAAAACAAAUCUUAAUUAAUUUAUUAAUUUCUUCAUAUUUCCUUUGAAUUUUCAUAACGUUUUGUAUAUAAUUCAUCUAAGUGUUUAAUUGGACAUAAUUGUCCAUAAAAUGAAAGAAUAGUCACAAUAAAAUAAAGCAUUGAUUUGAAUGCUGCAAAGUAGUAAUACAUAAAUGAAAUUAAGAAGGAAUAUGAGAUGAAAACCUGUGAAAAAGUUGAAUCCCAUUAAUAAACUUUUCAAUGAGGUGCAGUUGCUAAUAGACUUUGGAAUGGUUCCUCCAACUUUAUUAUUUGUUAAAUUAAACUGUUGAAGUAAGGGAGAAUUCUGACACAUUGUUUGUGGAAGUUUACCAAUAAAGAAAUUGUCCCUUAGAUUAAUUACUCUCAAAGUGGAGAUGUUGAAAAGAGAUGCUGGAACUUCACCUGCAAAAUAGUUAAAUAUAAAUAUCAAUUCAUUCUAAAUGCUUCAUACUCAUCACUCAAAUCAUUUUUAUUUCUUCUAACCAAGUUUUUUCUAUACACAAAUAAUACAAGUUAAUUAGACCAUUAUUCAGAUUAAAACAUGUGUGUAAAUUGAGAUAAGAUGUAUUAACACUCAAUCAAAUAUAAAGAUUGAUAAAAAAUAAUGAAAUAAUAUACCUGUUAUAUUGUUGUUACUAAGAUCCAACACCUGAAGCAUAGGUAAUUUCCCAAUCUCAUUAGAUAUGUUACCAUUUAAUCUAUUACCAAUAACCUUCAAAUAUUUGAGCUGUUUACAUUGAAGCAAAUUUGAUGGAAAUAGACCAGAAAAUGCAUUGCCAGAUAGGUCAAGCAUUUCAAGCAUUGGAACUCCAUUACACAAGUCCAUUGGAAGAGAACCAGAUAAAUUAUUGUAAGUGAAUUGAAUCUCUUCAAGAGUUGACAUGUUGAACAAUGACAAUGGUAUAGAGCCUUCAAGUUUAUUUAUGCUCAAAUUUAUACUUCUAAGCUCUGACAAAUCUCCAAGUUUUUGAGGAAUGUUUCCUACCAUUUAGAGGAAAAAAGUUAAGGUUGAUUAAAUUAAUCACCUAAAAUUAAUACAAAUGUAAGUCAUAUCUCUACAAUUAAGAAUUAAAGAAAUUAAAGAUAUAUGAAAGAAUAAAGAAAAGUUUAGGUGUUGUCUUAUAUGUACUUAUAAUAUUGCUUUUCACACUAAAAACAUAUGAUAUGUGGUGGUGAAUAUUGAAGAAAAUGUUUGGGGAGAAAAAAAUUAGUUUCCUUAAAUAUUCCAUUAUCUAUGGAAAAAUUUGCAUCUAUGAAUUGUUUCGGUUAAGGAUUAUAGUAUAUAUCUAUGAAAAAAUUUGCUCCCAAAAUAUCUCAGCCUUAUGGUAAAUCUUAUGUAGAAGGAUUAUGCAUCUAUACGUGUUUCUUUCUUUUCUGUGUUCAACCAUAGUACAUAGCACUAAUAUAUGUAUGCAUAUAUUACUAAAAAUCAAUAUGAAAAGUUAUGGGUCUUCUCUAUCAAUGGAAAUAUCUGUAGAGGUGUUAAUCAGCCAAGUCCACUUAAAGCUUAAGAUUGAUCGGUGAAAAAAUUGGAUUUUUUUUUAUGGGAGGUGAAAAAAUUGGAUAGUUAAGCUUCCCUCGUGUAUUUAAUCAAAUCAAAUGUAAAACUUUCAUCCAAAUUUUUGUAAUUUUAAAUGAAAAUCAGACAAAAUGACUAUAACAAAACUGAUUUUAGAUGAUUUUGUUUAAUAUGAUUGUAUGACCAGUAUAAUCGUUGUACCAUAUCAAUAUAUAUGAGGACUGAUUCAUUAGUUUUUCGGUUGAACUGAAUGAUACGGUACGGUUUUCAUAACUAUCACAAUAAUAAUAAUAGAUAAUAGUAACUAAUUUUUUCUUCCUAAAAAUAAAAUACCUGAUAAGGAAUUAUUGGACAAAUCAACCACUUGCAGUGUGGAAAUAUUGAAGAUUGAAGAAGGAAUAUGACUAGAUAGCUCAUUGUGUGCCAAAUCCAAAACAGUCAAGUUUGGAAGCCUUCCAAGCUCUGGUGGAAUGCUACCCUCAAUGGAAUUAAAGCUCAAAUCCAAACUCUUUAGCCCUUCCAAGUUGGAUAGUGAUGCAGGAAUUGAACCUGAAAAACUGUUAUUACAUAGACUCAGAAACUCUAGUUUAGAUAACUCCCCCACCCAUGUUGGAAAUUCUCCACCAAAGUUGUUGUUGCAUAAGUUGAAACUCUCCAACCUAGAUAACAAGGCCAACUCAUCGGGAACUAUUCCAUGAAAGCUAUUGUUGUGAAGGUCAAGUUCAACAAGAGAAGAUAAAUUUCCCAAGUUAGAAGGAAUUGUACCAUUUAAACCCAUGUUUGGUAGAGUUAGGGUUAUGACUCUACUGAAGUUGGCAUCACAAGUGACCCCAACCCAGUUGCAUUUUGAGGAUGAAGUAGACCAAUUAUUGGCUAAUAUGUUUUGAGGGUCCAAAGUUAUAUAAGAUUUAAAGGCUAGUAGUGCAGAUUGGUCUAUAUCUAAGGAAGCCAUUGCCAUGAAAUAGUGAAAUGAGAAUAGUAAAGUGAAAAGAAAGUAAGUUUUGUCCAUAACUAUAUGUUGAGCUAUUCCUUACAAGUUUCUGAACAAACAAAACUAGCAGUAUAUAUAGUGGUGCUGGGGGACAAUAAUUGUUAUACAUUGAAGACUGCUAAAUAUGCGGCAAAUAAUAUUUGUUAUAUGUUGUUUGAAUAUCAAAGUCCUAUGUUUUGACAUAAUCAUAUGGAUGAAAAAGUCUUUGCAAAGGUGCCAGCAUGGUUACGCAUAUUGGUGUAGCUUUCCAUUCAUAUUUGUUCUGACUUGGAGUUGAUUUUAGGUUUUCCCUCAAUCUUAAGUAGUGAAAUGUAAGAUGUGUAGAAAAAAAGUUUAAAUCGCAGUUGCAGUUAUGAUUAUUGUGAUUGUGAUUAUUGCGAUUGUUGCGAUGUGGAUUAUGGUCGGUGCAGUGUGAAUUAUUUUGUGAGUAAAAACAUAUUUUUGACGUCGGUGCGAUCUAAUGCGGUCCGAUGCAGUUACAUUGCAGCCUGAUACGGUCCAAAUGUGGUCUGAUGUAGUUGUGUUGUGGUCUGUUGCGAUCGCAACACUAUAAUUCAGUAUCAUACUGCAAUUAUAGUGUGAUGUGAUUGCGACAAUCACCAUAUUAGCCAAAAUCAAUCAACAUGGUGACUUAGAAUGUUCAGGAAAUAUUGCACCAAGCACCAACCAACUUGGCCAUAUGACCGAGUCAGCAGGCCAAGUUGCUUGUGCCAUGACCGAAGAUCACGCAUCAAGUUCACCAUCUGAUCGAGACACUCAACGCAUCAAACACGCGUCAGAUAUUGAUCCUGACCGAGGCACUUGGCGCACCAGACACGUAUCAAACACAAUUCCUGACUGAGACACUUGGCGCACCAGACACGCAUCAGACACAGUUCUUGACUGAGACACCAACCACGCACCAGAUAUGAAUCCUGACUGAGACAACCCUGACCAAGACACCAAACAGGCACCAGACAAACUCGCACUAGACAUAAAUCCUGACCGAGACAACCAUGCACCAGACCGAGACUGCCAUGCACCAGAUCAACCAACUCUAUCUUUAUCAGCUAGGCCAGCCAGGCCUCAUCUCAAGGCUGCACUAGAAAAUGCAUAUGGGCCACCUCACACCAGAAGUUGCUUGGGCCACAAGCAACCCACAUUUCACUCAUUGACCUAGUCUUUUGUCCUAUUUUACCAGGUGUUGAAUAAUUGUAAAAGUUAGUUAGUUUGCCAGUUAGAGUAUGAGUAGUUUAAAUAGGAUUAGUUAUUUUGUAAUCAUCAUUUAACUCAUUUUCCAUAUUCAAUAAAGUUACAAGUAUUCAUCUUGUUUUUCAUUCUUGCCUUUUUCUUCCAAGAACUGUUAUUCACUUCAUUUUCCCAAAGGCACUUUAGAAUUCUAAUAUGGUAUAGAGAUCUUUUAAAGAGCUCUGCCAUAUUCAGAAUGUCUUCAACAAUUUCUUAUACCAGUCCACCUCCUCCCACAUUCAACCGACAAAUGGACAUCACACAAGAUCCUUACUACGUGCGAUCGUAACACUAUAAUUCAGUAUCACUAUAAUUGUAGUGUGAUGCGAUUGCGGCAAUCACCACAACCGUAAUAGUGCGACUGCAUCACGCGAUAUGAUCCACAUUUUGAAACAGUGGGUCGGGUAUGAAGUUAUUAAUCGAAAUUAUGGUUGUGGUUAUAUUAAUAUGCUUAUUAACUAUUAUGAAAAAAAUAAAUAUAAAUGACACGGUUGCAAUUACAUCAUAAUGUAGAUAUCAUUAAAAUCGUAAUAUUAUGACCUAAAUUGCAUCCAAUUUUAAAACAUUAGUCAUGUAAAUGUUAAAAUAUGGCAAUUUCUUAAUUUUAGUUCAUGGUUAAAUUGUAUUUUUUAAAUUUUCAUUUUAAUAUUUUUAGAGACUAAAAACUAAUUAAAUAGUUAGGAGCUAAACAAAAACUGUCAUAUUUACUUGAACCAAUCAUAGAAAGUGGGAGGAUUCCUAAUAAACUUCUUUUUACUUUGGAAAAAGAACUUUAGUCUCUAAGUAUAUUCACAUCUAUAAAUGAAUUGAUUUGGAAUUAGUUUGUAAAUAUCAACAACAUUGGUGUAUAAAAUAAAAAUUCUAAGAAAAAAAUUGGCAACAAUUCCAAGACUAUUAUGAUAUUAUCCCUGUAUAAAUCACGAGUACGUAAUGUCUGCGCAACAAAACCUAAAAUCAAUCUCAUUCUAUGCUGGAGUAUUAUAUUGCAUUUUGCAAUAAUUUCGAUAACCAUAGAUCAAAAAAUGAAAGUCAACUUUCAUUUCUACAAUAUCCAUAACUAAUAAUUAAGCUCACAGCCCAAAUUAUUCUCAUCUGCUCCAAUCAGGAAUCGAAGACCACGGAAUGUAUGCCUCAGAAAUUUGAAUAUCCAAUUGUGUGAUAAUAAGUCAGAAAAACUUAUAUGAUACAUAUUUAAUACGUUAUAUUUAAAGACAAAUACAUAUAUAUUUUUUUGGUGUUAUGACUUAGGAAUGAAUUAUAAUUAGAAUUAAAUUUUAAAUAUUUUGUCGAGUUUUUGUUAGUUGUAUUUACAUAUAUAUAUAUCCAAACAAAUCUUUCUCUAAUAUAUUAUUCUACAAAAUUCUUAUACAAUAUAAGAAAGUCAUAUAUAUUUUUUGGUACUAGCAAAAAUAUCCUAUACUAUAUAAGUAAAAAACUAAUCUCUUCAGGGUAUGUGAUUGUUUCUUUCAAUAGCAGUCGCUCGCAUGAAUCAAGCUCUUGAUCUUUUUGUCUUUCUAGAGAUCUAGUGGAGGCAGCUUGCACAAUAAAUCAACACUUUAUUGAUUAAGAAAGUCACAUAUAUUAUUUUUUUAAAUAAUAAUUAAUAAAUAAAGAAGUAUUAUGUGACUUUUUCUUAUUGAUUAGGAGAAUUCUUAAAGGGGUAUAAUUAUUUUGGUCCAAAUUCAUUGACUAUGACCUUCAUGGUGGUGGGAAUAAGUCAGUUGGUUGAUAAGAGAAUUCCUAUAUAUUUUUUUUAUAAAACUUGUUCAGCAUAUAGUGAUCGAGGAAAACUUAUUUUGUUUUCUAGUGAAAGCUUUAAUUUGUCAAGGAAAUAUUAAUGUCAAUUUUAAACUUUUUUUAAAAAAGUAUUUAACUACAAAAAUCACAGCUUAUAUUUUUACAAAAAAUAUAUUUUACUAGUACAGUAAUAUAUAUGUCAAUAUAAUACGCAUGAUUUCAUGUAUAAUAAAAUAACAGGAAUAAAUAUGUCAUGGUGUGAGGAGAUAAGCUAUUUCUCACACUCACUCAUUAAUAGACACUUGUAUUAUUUUACUUUUUAUUUUCUUAUUUAUUUUAAAAUAGAUAAAAAGUAUUUAUGUGUCAUUGUCUAACUGGUGUAAGAACAUAAGUUAUCUCAUCAUACCAGGAGAUAUUUUAUCCUCUAAAAUAAAUAAAUAUUAAGAUUUAUGCCUAUUUACAAAAAAUAAAAUACUAAUAUCAUUUGAGUUUCACACAUUAUUUUAUAAUUUAUUAUAACUCUUCAUGCAAUAAAAACAAUAUAUAUAUUUUUCUCACAAUGUCAAACAUCAAUUUUAUUCAUAUUUGACUCCCACAAUAUCUACAUUUUUUUAUAACAUAUAUCUCUCUCCUCACUUUCGAUUGACUAAGAACAAUAAAUAAUUAUUCUUAUUUAAGAACAAAAAAAUAGAAAAUAAAAUUGACACAAUAAAAAAUUGCUCUAAUUAAGUUUAAAUCUAUAUGAAGGUCUUCAUAAACAGUACAGGCUAUGUACCCAUAAAAACAGGUUAUGUUGAGUUUAAUAUAAGAGGAAUGUUAAUUAGUGUGGUAUUUGACUUAAACAACUAUCAUUAAAUAUGGCGGCUGAAUUAACUAUCAAAACUUAUCCUUCAUCCGGUAUACAUUCAUUGUCGAAUAGUUUAUGUCAUUGUAUAUGUUAUUAAUUGUGAUUGGUCAAAAAAAUAGUUAUUUAUUAAUUUUUUAAUUUAAAUAUAUUUUUUCAACUAAUCACAAACUUAUAGUAUAUACAAUAAUACAAUUUAUGGAACAACCGAUGUGUUUCCCAUUCAUCACUCCCAUAUCACAUCUGUCAUUUUCAUUAAAAUACAGUAGUACUACAUUAGACACCCAACAUACCAAAACUUCUAUCUUUGCUGACAAAUGUAAAAGUAUUUUAGAUUAAUAUUAUAUUACUCACCAUUCAUAUUUUUAUCUUCAUCAACUCUUAAAUAUAAAUAUAUAGAUAUAUAAACAAUAUAAAUGAAUAUUGAUGAAUACAUAAAAACAAUUAAUGUCUGCUCCAACAAAACCGGUAAUGAUUCAUAUUAAGAGAAUAGUUAUUUUGGGUAAACUUAUGAUUGACAUCAUAUGAUUAUAUCACAAAUUGCAAAAUCAUUGAUCAUGAAUGAAAGUCAACCAUCACCAAAUGUAGCUUUGGACCUUCCUAGACACAACACAAUCUCAACAAGUUACAACGUGGAACUAUGCAUUGACCAUGUGCUUGGCUUAAUAUGAUCCUAAGAGAGUUUUUAUUUUAAUCAGUGGUAGAUCUUCAUAUAAGCAUGUCACAUUUAUGUAAAAGAGAUUUAUCGUUGCAAAAAGACAGGUUAAUUUUUCUACAAGAAGGCAUAAUUUCAAUUUUGAAAAUGAUUUUCAAAGAAAGACUUCAACAUCGAUUGUUAAUAUUAAACUAGGUUGAAAGUUAGGUGCACCAAAACUUCAACCUAGGUUCUAACAAAAUUGUGGUCUUAAAUCUUCACUUUAUAUAAGAAUUUACUUUCUAUUCUCUAACUCUAUGAAACUCUAAUGCCAACGGUGUUUCAAUCACUCUUAGAUACUUUCAAAUUUUAUAGUUUUUAAAAUAUAGUAAGAAAAUAAAAUGAAAUAAUAAUAUUCUAAGUAACAUUGGCCCUAUAGAUUAUGAAAAAUGAAAAAUCUUACCAUAAAAAUGAAAUUGAUAAAUCAUAAUAAUCUUAUCAUACUCACAUACAUAUGGGGACACAUUUGGUCCAUAUAAAAAUGAAAUCAUAAUUUCAUCCAAACAAAUCUUACAAACGAGUUACUAGUUUUCUUACAAGAAAUAAUUUUAUUUUUAUUGUCUACUUUUAUGUGGUAUAUUACAGGUAAUUAUCUUCUCCUUUUACGAAGGAUAAUAUCCAGCACCCUGAAUAAUACGUGGGUUAGAGCAACAGUUAUUCUUAAUGGAUUAAGAACAUUUUUAUUUUGUUAUUCAAUGUAUCAUUCUUAUUUUCUGACUUUUAUUUUUAAAUAAGAACAAUUCUUGUUUGUUCUUAGGCAAGGGAAAGUGAGAAGAGAGGUAGAUGUUGUGCGUAAAAGAUAGAUAUUGUGUGACUCAAACAAGAAUAAGAAUGAUGUUUAUCAUUGUUAAUAAAUGUUAUUCUUAUUUCAUGGAGAGUUAUAAUAAAUUAUAAAAUAAUGCGUUAAACCCAGAUAAAAAUAAAAUGUUGUUUGCUAUUAUUAUGGUUGCUCUUAUUUCUCUAACGAGGUGGAUUAGCUCUUAUAAUGGGUAUUAUCAUAUACAAUACUUCCCUUCUAAUGAAGUUUUACAUAUAAGAUAUUCCAUUUCACAAUUCGUAUUUGAGAGAUAAAUAUGCAUCAUUUUAAUCGAACUUCAAUAGUAAGGUGAUGAAAAUUAAAAUGGUUAAAUUACUAUACAUCCAAGUCUUUGAACAAUGUUAGAAUUUUAAAAUAUGUCUCUAGAUUUUAAAAUAUAUAUAUUUGGCCCCCUAAUCUUGAAAUCCAUUUAUAAUUAGGUUCCUAAGCUUUAAAAUCAUUUGUAUUUGAAUCCUUAGAUUUUUAGUUCAUUUGUAACUUAAAAUUAAAUUUUAUAUUACUGUUCUUACAUGGUGUUUUAUUGUUCUGUAAAAGAAAAGUCAUAAUGUUUAAGAUGAUAAACUUAGACAGUAAUUCUUAUAAUUAUAUGAUAUUUAAGAAUAACAAACUAUGCAAUCAAUUAUAUUACACAUUCCACAUCAUUAUAAUUAAUAGAUAAUUGCAUAAACCUAAUUAUCAUAAACUAAAAAAAUUAUAAAUGUUGAAGGUUAAAAUCUCAAUUGCAUAUGAUUUUAUGCUGAAGAACACAAUUACAAUUUCUAAAGUUUAUGAACCCAUUAUAAAUUUAAAAUCUUUUUAAGAUCGAUAAAUAAUAAUAUUAAUAUGAUGAGUUAGUCAUCUAUUUGGUAAAAUUAUGUUUUACUUUUAGUUUAUAUAUAAGAUUAUGAUUUGUGAAAUUAUAAUAUCUUCAUAUAUACUUUAUCUAUGUUUGAGUACCUUAACUGAAUAUAAACUAAUCAGUUCAUUUGGGCAAGAUAGAAAUAUUAUUUUUUACAUAUUAUGUUAAAAUAGUUGAGCAUUGAUUAGUUGGUUAAUUAGUUUAGUUAGGAUAAUUAGUUUUUCUAUCCUUUAUAUAAAGGAUUCAAUGUAAUUUUGUUAUCAAUCUAUUCAAUAUUCAAUGAAUAAAACUCUUUUCUUUCAUCUUUCUUGAUUCAUCAAAAAAUCUUUUUCAUGUCUCUUACUAUUUUAACAUACUAAAUUACAAUAAAUAUAUAAAGCUAUUUGUUUAUGUUAUAAUUUUUUUGUUUGUUUUUAUACUAUUUUUAAAAUUUACAUUUUUUUAAUAUUUAUAUUAUAAUAUUUUUAAUUUUUACUACCCAUGACAAAAGCUAGUAAAUUGUACUCACACACCCCUUAACUUUUGUGUGAAAUAAUGUAAAUCACAUCUCCUUUUUGUACUUACACAAAUCACCCUUAAUUUAUAUAAAUACAUUACACUCACAACUCAUGCAAAGAGUAUAAUCUUUUAAACAAGAAUAAUCAUUGAGUGUAAUUAAGUUAAGCUUCAAAGGGUGUUGGUGUAAUUUACUUUUAAUUAAUUAUAUAUACAUUAGCUAGGAUAAAUUGUUAAUUUGUAAAUUUGCAUAUAUAAUUUGAUUAUGAAAUCACUUAUCUAUUUUGUUUUGUGUAUUUAAGUAUCAUUUCUUUAAAAUUAUUGAUACGUUUUGUAAUGAACCAAAAAUAAUGAAGAAACAUUAAUUAUUAUACUAUUUGGAGUUGGAUCCAUAAUAUACCAUUUUUGUGUGGAAAUCUUGUGCGGGAUUAAACAAAGUUAUAUCAUUUCUUCUCUACGACCAUUGUCAUUAGCAUGUAUGUUUGUUUGUAAAAUAGUAAUGGUUUAUAAAUACUUAGAAAUUACUCAAACUAAAUCGAUCUUAAUAUAUUUUAUUUUAUCUCCAACACUUAAAUUAAUUAUUGCUAACCAUAUAAAGAUAGAACCAAGAAAUGACUUAAACCAAAUCACCUUUUUCAUUUUAUUAUCAUUAUUUUAAGACUUAUUGGAGAUGACUAAAGAUAGAGUAAACAACUCCAAAUCAAAUAAAAAGUUCAUAUUAUAUAUAAAAAUUGAUAAUAUUAUAAAUAUGUCAAAAUUGAGUAUUUUUGUAUUAAAAUAUUAUUAUGUAAAAAACAAUAAAAUAUUUUUAUUUAAAAUAUUAUAAUGAUUCCUCUUGAAGUUUAAUUUAAAAUUACAUUUAUCAAUCAUUUUCUUAGUUAAAAGAUUACAUCAUUCGCUAUUAUGAACGAGUAUUGUAAUAUAUGUAUAUAAAUUAGAAGUAGUUUGUAUAGAUGCAAUAAAAAAAUAAUUUAUAUAAUUUCACUAAAACUUGUGAUAUAAUGAAACUUAUGUAAGUAUAAAGAAAUAUUAUAUUUUACAUGAUUUUUUUUCCUAGUGUAUAUUUAACAACUUAAUAAUGAGUAGACACUAACUUCAUACCUCAAUUGAUACUAUAAACAUUUUAGGUGCAACCAUAAGUCCACGAUUACAAGUACAACAAUACAAAUGACCAUACAAGGGACAAGGUCGUUUUUUUUUUUUUUGGUUUCUCCUAGUACUGGGGCAAAGUUGUUGGUUUUUUUUGGUUUCUCCUAGCACUGGGGCAAGAUCGUUGGUUUUUUUUUUUGGUUUCUCCUAGCACUCGAGAAAGGUGCGUUGGUUUUUUUUUUGGUUUCUCCUCGCACUGGGGCAAGGUUGUUGGUUUUUUUUUAGUUUCUCGUCCGAGUCGAGAACAUCUAUAUGUAUAUAUGGCUAAUUUCCUAGCGAAUAUUUUUUCUAUCUAUAAGACUCGAAUCCAAAAUUUUACUUAAGGAGAAUCAAACAUGUACCACUUGAACUAACUCUAGUUGAACCAACACCACUUAAUGCCAAUGUAUGUAGUUGAACGAUCAAAAGGAAUAACAUGAUUGCUGAUUUGGAAAUAAGUCAUUUUUUCUUAUAGAAAUGCAUAAAUGAAUAAUGAAUAAUUUCAAAUGAGCAUAAUCUAUACUAUAUAUAAAGCCAAAAUUUGAAAUAACUACUAUCAUGAUUCUAUUUUCAUAUUUUGCCCUUAAUAUUUUUUAUUUCUAAAAUAAAACAAUAUAAUCCUAGAUAAUUAUAAUUAAUACAUCUUACUUUAAGUUUAAUAUUAUAAUUAAUACAAAAAUUAUAACAUGAAGUACAUCCAAUAAAAAAAAUCUAAUUCUCAAAAUAAAAAAUACAAAUUUAACACUUAAUAUCAUAAAAUAAUAAUUUGAGUUGACAGAAUAUUCAUAAUUCCUAAAAAUUAUAUCAUAUCCACAAUGAUAAAAAUAAAAAGGUGAACAAAAUUAAGACAUUAUGAAAAUUUCAAUCAUAAUUUCCAAAUAAAAAUACUAAGUUGUGUAAAUAUUAUUUUUAAUAUAAAACAAAUCAUAUAAAUGGUAUAAACAUAUAAAAAUGAACAAUAAGAAAUUAAUCUAAUGAAUUUUGAUCAUAUAUAAUUACACAUGCUAAGAACAAUCAAAAUAUUAUUUUUUGAGAAGUUAACUAAGAAGACAAUAUAAUGAUAUAAGAACUCAUUAUAUCUCAUAAUUAUUAAAAGAUAAAAAAGGUUUGAAUAAUAUUAUUUUUUUGGGAGAUGCCAAAAAAAUUAGUUUCUUAUGAUACAUAUACAAAAAAUUAGUUUCUUAUGAUACAUAUACAAAUUUUUUUUGAAUAGUUAUGAGUUAAAUUUGGCACCCUCUCUUUUCAAUCUUCCACUCAAUAGUCACCACAGACAACCUUAACUGCAAAGUGCAAAGGAAUUUCCCCUUCUUCUGAGACAGGUUCAUUCAAAACUGUUCUUUUUUUUUUCUGUUGUUAUUUUUGUAAUUGAUGCAUGUUCUGAGGAUAGUGUUUGUUGGAUUUCCACCUGUUUAUGAUUAUUAUAACAUAUUUUGAACUCCACCCUUUUUUCUUUUGCUGCUAAAUAUUAAACCUUUAUCUUCCAAUAUGUAUAUUUACACUAAUGGAAGUUUUGCUGCCAAAGCUUCCAUCUUUAAACCCAAGUUGUUGCUGCUCAAUCACUGGUUGGAACUCAUCAUAUCUCAAAUUUGGAUUCAGUCGUUUAUCUUCUCUCUCUGUUUCUGCAUCAAAGGUUACUGAAGAAUUGCUUGAACCAACUCUUGGCUCAUUGGGUCACUCCACCAGACCCCAUUUCCCUAUACUUCAUCAGGUUCUUAUUUUCUUAUCCUUGAUCAUUUUUACUUUCCUAAAAUGCAGCCUUUGUAUGUUUAUAAAUGUUCAGAUAACUCAGGAUUAACUUUUAAGUUGUUGAUUGUGUUGCAGCCUUGAAUGUUUAUAAAUCUCAGAUACCUUGGUGUUAAUUUUUAAUUGAUGAUUAUGUUAUGGCCUUUGAUGUUUAUAAAUCCCAGAUAACCAGGGGUUAAUUUUUUAAUCCAUGUAUUAUUUUUUUACAAAUUUAAUGCUGCUUGUUGUGUGGGCUGUGGACAUAACAUAUGCAUGCUUAAAUCUUAUGAAAAGAAUAAAGUAACAAGUAGUGUUUUAAAUUGUGGUUGAAGUUAUUGCAGUCGCGGUGUGAAUUAUUUUGUAAUUAGAAAAUUAUUUUUGAAUUUCAUGUAGCCUGAUGCGGUUGCAUUGCAGUCCGAUGCGGCCACAUCAAUAUGAUUCGGUGUCACACUACAAUUACACCGUGAUGCGGUUGUGAUGGUCACCACAACCACAAUAUUACGGUUGCAUCACGUGAUGUUGUAUACAAUUUAAAUCACUGAUGACAAGGAUUGAAUCUUGAAAACUUAAUCAUAAAGGCUUCAGUUUUCAAAUUCAUAUCUCCAUGUUUUCUCAAUGUCACAGUGGGAGUUCUUGCUUGCAAAUGUUACAAAUAAGGGGUAACUAUUGGUUUAUACUAGAGUAAUACGUUCGUUUAUUGGAUGAUGUCUAUAACUUAUUAACUUUUCCCUCAAACAAAACCAAUGAUGAAAUACAUAAUCUCAUAUCUUACUAUCCUUGACCCACUAGAUAUUUCUAUGGUGCAAAUAAAAUAUAGAAUCCACAAAUUCUAUCUGACUAAGCAUCUAAAUACAUGUCUAGGGAUAUGCUUCUUUGAGAACCUUCCAGCAUGUAACUUCAUUAUGUUAUCUGGGUGAUUUUCCAAUGCCUACACUGCUUGUGUCAUGAACUCAGUGCACAAAUAGGGCAGUUUAUAAACAAGCCUUAGUUUCACUGCCUCAUCCUUAACUAAUCUAUCUAUAAUGCUGUUGAUGAGACCGAGAAUUGCCUUUUAUUAAUAAUGAUAUUUUUUUCAUUUCCCCAUUUUCUUUAUGCAUAUACAAUGCACAAAAUUGUACUACGAAGUUUUUCUUAAUGGAAAUAAGGAAUUUGGUGUGUUGCUCUAGUACAUAUUAUAAAACUAUGAUACUUGUACUCAAUUCACAGGAAGUAAAUGGCUCAAAACUUGUUUAUUUAGACAAUGCAGCAACUUCUCAGAAGCCAACUGUUGUCUUGAAGGCUCUGCAAAACUAUUAUGAAGCUUACAAUUCUAAUGUGCAUCGGGGCAUACAUUUCUUGAGGUACAUACUGUGUAAUGAUUGUUACAUAUAUACAUUGCAUACUGGAAAACACUAAUUCUAGGCAUACAUUUUGCUUACGUACUAAGUCGUCAAAUGAUAUAAUAUCGAUUUUUUCUAUUGGUUUAGGAGCAGCAGUUGAUUACUUGUCCGAGAUUGGUAUGCAAACCAUACAUGAUUAUGAGGUGAAUUGAGCUUUACUCUUAACACGUUUUAAUAUAAGAGAAUAAAAGUGAUAACUUUGAACCUUGCACAAGCUAAGACAUGUUCGACUUCACUGCUGGUGUACCUUUUAAUCUAGCACUAAAAAUAUAUAUACAAAAAUGUUCUUUAUCAGAACACAAAGAUACGGACUAUGAGGGAUCAGGUGUUGAUGAAGGGGUAGGAAGUGGUCGCCAAGGUGAUAGGAGGAAGCAAGAGAGUUGGGCCCGCCGGUGGAGGUACCUGAAAAGGUUCUCCGACGAUCAAGUCAGUAUAUGAGCUAGAGAGAAUGAGUGAUAGGAAUAAUAUUAGAGAAUCAAGGAGUUGAGAUUAAGAUAUUUCCUGUUGGUGGAUAUCCCUAUUUAUAGGAGUGAGAGUUGACAUUGGGUUCUUGGCUGGUGGUGCGACGCGUGGCCGACCAAAGGUGUUGUCGGGAGUUGCUUUUCCCGUGUGAGGCGGUCUGUUAGGAUCGUACACUGUGUCAUUCUUGUCUUCUAGCCUGUGGUUGGUUUGGUACCCGUUCUGCAACCCGUCUGUCGUGCUGGCAGGUAGGUUGGUGGAGUACGGAAAGCAUGUUGUCCCUUGGGUCAACUUUGGUGGUCCCAACAAGUGGGCCCACCUCGGCGUCCAAACAUAUGACCUUUGGUUCGCCGGGUAGGAACAGUUGCCCCCAGUCUGCCAGGAUGCUGGAUGAGUAUGCUGGGAGACUUGAUACGAGCCUCCUUUGAUUUGGGUGAGGGGUCCGUUUUGGCGUCUUAACUGGUGGCUCCGUUGGGCGAGCUUAUUGGAUGAUGGGGUCUUUUCUAUGGCGGAUGGUCCUCAUGAGGUUUGGCGCCCUGGUGUUGAAAGGCUGUCAAUUGAGUUGACCAAGGUGUUGGGCGAGGCUUGUUAUAGUUGAUUACUCUGUUGGGCGUAUGGAUUUAUUUUUGAAUAUCUUGGCGUCUUUCUAGGACUUAUGACGUGGUGCAUUGAAUCGGGGAAAUACGUCAUAAGUCCCAGAAAGACGCCAAGAUAUUCAAGAUAAAUCCAUACGCCCAACAGAGUAAUCAGCCAUAACAAGCCUCGCCCAACACCUUGGUCAACUCAAUUGACAGCCUUUCAACACCAGGGCGCCAAACCUCAUGAGGACCAUCCGCCAUAGAAAAGACCCCAUCAACCAAUAAGAUCGCCCAACGGAGCCACCAGUUAAGACGCCAAAACGGACCCCUCACCCAAAUCAAAGGAGGCUCGUAUCAAGUCUCCCAGCAUACUCAUCCAGCAUCCUGGCAGACUGGGGGCAACUGUUCCUACCCGGCGAACCAAAGGUCAUAUGUUUGGUCGCCGAGGUGGGCCCACUUGUUGGGACCACCAAAGUUGACCCAAGGGAUAGCAUGCUCUCCGUACUCCACCAACCUACCUGCCAGCGCGACAGACGGGUUGUAGAACGGGAGCCUAACCAACCACAGGCUAGGAGACAAGAAGGGCACAAUGUACAAUCCUAUAGACCGCCUGACACGGGAAAAGCAACUCCCGACAACACCUUUGGUCGGCCACGCGUCGCACCACCAGCCAAGAACCCAAUGUCAACUCUCACUCCUAUAAAUAGGGAUAUCCACCAACAGGAAAUAUCUUAAUCUCAACUCCUUGAUACUCUAAUAUUAUUCCUAUCACUCAUUCUCUCUAGCUCAUAUACUGACUUGAUCGUCGGAGAACCUUUUCAGGUACCUCCACCGGCGGGCCCAACUCUCCUGCUUCCUCCUAUCACCUUGGCGACCACUUCCUACCCCUUCAUCAACACCUGAUCCCUCAUAGUCCGUAUCUUUGUGUUCUGAUAAAGAACAGAUUGUUUCCAAGAUUUGAACUCAUGACCUCUAAGUCACAAGGCAAACAACCUUAUUGUGGCUCACCCUCUAUAUGAUGACUUUAAAAUUUAAAAAAAAAACUUCGGUCCAAAAUGUAUUAUCUUUUAUUGAAAAUCACUGAAAUGAGCUUAUGUGAGUUGCAAUAAUGGCUUUUGAUACGAAAAGUGGUGUCAUAUUCUUGUGUUUAUCCAAUACACAGAAGCCCUGUUCUGCUCAAAUUCCAUACCUUGAUGUAGCCUUUUUUUUCUUCGUGUCAAUCAUCAUUGAAUAUUAAGGAUCACAUUUUGCUUAACCAUCAAGUUGUUCUAAAACCCUGCACUUAAUUUACUUAUUUACACAUUGAUGCAUUUCAUUCACUCAAUACAUUGAUCUUGAGUCAAUCCUGUCUUAAUUUAUUCUUGCAUUCAAGUAUACUUAUAUCUGAUAGCAAACUUUCAAAAGUGAGAUUUUACUUAUAAUCACUAGGGAUCAAAGUGAAGUAGGUAAGGAAUUACCAAUUUGUCCACAUAUUACGAAAUACACAUACUAUAACAUUCUAACUCAAUAAGCACUGAAGUCAAACAUAAAUAUUUUAUGAAUUUAAUCGCCACCCAAAAAAGAAAUUAUUUAUAUGAAAUUCAAUUUUCAUAGGUGGAGCUGGGUAGAUACCUAUAUGAAAGGCUCCUUUCAGUCCCAAAUAUUCGCACCUAUGGUCCGGCGCCUUCAGAAGAAGUGCAACGAGCUGCUCUUUGUUCUUUCAAUGUUGAGAAUGUGCAUCCUACUGAUCUUGCAACAUUUCUGGACCAACAGGUAAGAUGAUAAAAGAUUAUCCCUGGAUACGUGCAUUUUCUUAAUCUUAAGCAGUUUAUUUAUGCCUUAAUUUCAUGGAAGAAAUUCGGAUAGCUAUUAAAUAUGUUUCGAAUAUAUCCUUUCCCGAAUUAUCAUUUUUCAGCAUGGAGUGGCUAUCAGAUCAGGCCACCAUUGUGCUCAACCCCUCCGUCGCUACUUAGGUGUUAGCGCGAGUGCGAGUGCGCGUGCUAGUCUCUAUUUCUAUAACACGAAGGAGGGCGUCGACAAUUUUAUCCUGGCCCUAAAUGACACUGUCAGCUUCUUCAAUUCAUUCAAGUAGUCAGAAUGUAUUUCUAUGUAAAUUAAAUUAUUUAUGCACCAAUGAGGAUUAGCUUUAUUGGUAGGAUGAGCUGCAUCAACCAAAUUUUUUGGAAUUCAAUUUGCUGAUCUCAUUGGUAGGCAUCCACUCAUUGUGGCAAACAUUGUCUUUUUGGUACAACAGACUAUGCUAAAAAAUUAUGGAGACUCAUAAACUCUUAUGCAGCUAACUUUCAUUUUUGUAAUUGUAAUAAUUCAAUGGAAAAAAUGUUCGUCUAAUAUAGAGAAAGUAUAAUAGUUGUGUGCUCUCCAAUGUAGAUAUCUAUUAUCUUAAAUUCUUAAUCAUUAACUUAUAUCAUAAAUUCCUAGCAGUCAAUUUUGUGAUUCUGUUCUUGAAGAAGAUAGAUACCAUACCAUAAUGCUGAAGGAAAACUGAGUAGAACCGAUCAUAGCUCAAGACAAACAGAAUAUUCAGCAUUGCUGGCACAGAACAAGUAAUGCAAUGCAAGUAAAAGAAGUAUGAAUGCACCAAUGUAUGUUAUUUAACAAAAUGCACCUAAGUCUUUCCCUAAUAACUACAUGAGUUCCAUCAGUGUUAAAAAUAAUGGUGUUCUAAUAUUAUUCCUUAAUUGUCAAUAUGCACAUUGCUGUUUGAAAUUAUGCUCAACAAUGUGGCUCAUAUCAAGAAAUUGGACAUAGACCUGGUUUCUGGCUGUGGUACCCUGAGAAUUGUGGGUGUACAGCAUGUACUUGUAAAUAGGGUGGGCACAUGAGGAAUAUCACUUGUUGAUUUGGCAUAAUAAAAUUGGACCAGUAAUAGCUUAGGAACACCAACACAACUUAAUCUAGUGGUAUAAGACUUCACUGGAUCUUCAGAUAUCGUACUAUACCAAAGAUUCGAUUACUGGAAGUGACAUUUAUUGGAAGGAGCAACUAUGCAGUAUGCACCCAAAAAGGAUUAAUUCCUUACUCUUAGGAUGAGGAGAUAUCCUUGGUUAGUUGAUUUGUUGCGUUUAUUCAAGUGUGAAGUCCCACAUUGGAUAUACGAGGAGGAGUGAAAGACUUUAUAAGUAGGAAAGGCCCAUGAAACUAAUGCCUCAAGACGUGGUGUCUCACUUGUGACUCUUCGCAGUCUGGUCCAACAUGAUUAUACCAAAAAAGUAAAAGCUGCUGAACUCUUUUAAUUCAAGAAUAAGAAGCUAAAGGCUUUACAAUGUUGAAUUGUGAAAUUCACAUGCCACCUCAGUUCACUUCUGAUGACCAGCAAUAUAAUCAAAGGAAUGCAAGAUAGUGUUAAGUACUGCAAUUUGGGAAUCAACUAAGUAUUCUCAUGCUCAAUAAUGAUAUGCAGUCGACAAAUCCGAAAUAGGGCUUCGAGGUUUGUAGUAGGGUUAACAAAUCAAACGUGUCAUAGAGAUUCGAUAAAGUGUCAUAUUGGUCAGUCAAUUACCUAACACAACUAACAUCCCUUCUCUUUCACCCAGACUUGAGACUCAGCAUGUGUACUGAUAUUUGCAACAAAUAACAAUGUACAACAUAAGUAGAGUUGGGAUCACAAAUUAAAUGACACCUAAAAGCAGUUAAGCCACAUUGAGAUUAAUCAACAUGAUAUCAAUCAAUCUCUAAUCUCUGCCUAAUCUAUUUAGAAUUAAUAAAUUAUAAUUCCAGUAAGAAGAAUCUAUAUUAAUGAGAACAAACUAAAUAGGAAAGUGCUUUGAAAAACAUCAGUAGAGAAAUCAUAGCAGUACUUCAAAUGAAACCAAAAAGGAUCUUAUGUAAUGUCUAAAUCUAACAUGGCUAACAGAAGUACUAUAAUAAUCAAUUGGUUUUCUUCCCCCUAACAUUUCUUUUCUUUUAUAUCCUUCUUUUCCUCUAACUGUACCUACUCUUUCUUUUCACCUUCAAUUUUCUUCACUUUCUUUUUAGCUGUUGCCUGUGAAUACAGGAAAGUCCCAAGAAUCGCGACAGCGGAACCAACACCAUUUAGAAGCCUAACCGGAUUUCUGAACACUAUAACCGACGACACAAUCACCACCACUCUCUUCAUUGUGUUUCCCACUGAGAAAGUUAGAGGACUAAUUUCAUCCAAGGCUUGGUAAGAUGAUUGGUUAUAAAGAUGGUAGAACACUCCAGAUAGCAUCACCCAUAUAUAAAAUGUGGUUGGUUUCCCUAUAGCUUCAAUUGCCUUAUAAUACCCUGGAAUCCACUGAGACCCUUCAACAAAAAUAGCCACUGGAAAAAGAUAGAACAAUGAAAUAAUAGUAAUCCAUCCAUACAUGUUCAAUCCAUCAACUUCCUUGAAAUUCUGCAAACUUCUUUUAGAAUAUAUAUUCCUCAACACAAAACCAACAUUGCUAAUAAGGGCACACCAUAAUCCUUGCGCAUUGAAAGAAACUUCAGUAACAGCAGCUAGAGAACAACCUAGGACAAUGGGUAGAAUUGAGAGCCAAACCUGAAUGGGGUAUCUAUCACCAAGAACAGAAGAGAAUAUGACAGAGAAAACUGGCUCAGCAGAUUUGAUUACAUGAGUGAAUGAAACAGCAACCUUAGAGAAUGAAACACAUGCUGAGAUGUGGCCUAUUGUGUGGAACAAAGCAGGUCCAAGAAGAGCAAUGAUGAAAGGUUUUGAGAUUUUUGGACAAGGUUGGAGCUUUAAGGACCAAAGCACAAGCAUCCAAAUGGACCCCACAAAAAGUUGAAAAGAUGCAAGGAGCCAUGGGAAUGGGAAUAUGUUUAAGGCUUUCUUAUUGUAAAUGUUGAAGACAAUGUUUUGGAAGUACCAUAGCCCAAAAACUAAAGCAAGUUUGAGUUUUUUAGAUUUGGGGUCAUUGGAAUUAACUACAAUUUCUCUUUCUCCCUCAUGAUUUGCAUCACCAGAUGCUGCUUUCACAAUUUGGUGAUUGGGUUUUGGUGAAACCUCAAAUGGGUAUGAGAGGAAUCUUCUAAAAGAACUUAACUUUGUGAUUGAAUCUGGGAUCUGAGAUGUGGGCAUAAAAGAAAGUUUAGAACUUUUGAAACCUGAUUCAUGAAGCUGAAAAGUGGUUGUGUGACAUUGUAGGUGGUUCUUGUGGCUCUGAAUUCUGCUGAGAAUAUUUGAUUUGAGGUUUGGAGAUGCAUUUAUGAGACAUUGAUUAUUGGGUUUGAUGAAAGUGACAGAGGAUAAUGAUGAUGGAACAACAUUCAAUGAUAACAUUUUUGUGGAUGUUCCUGCUAUGAAGUAAGACAGUAACAAAAGGGAAAGGGAAAGAGAAACAGAAGAAAAACACAGAUUCUGAAAAUAAAUAAAAAAACAGAAUCUUUGUAGCUUAGUACAAGCCCUAAAAGCGAUUAACUCAUUAAAGUGCUUUUGAGAGCAUGAGACAACCCCCACCAAUCCAUACAAUGAAACCGGAAAGCGAUUACAUGUUUUUAAUGGUAUUCUGGACCAAUCAUAUAUUACACAUAAAAAAUGAAAAAAAUAAAAAUAAAAUGUAACAAAAAGUAAUAUUUUAAUUGGUUCGGAAAAAAUGAAUAAGACAUCAUUCAAGAUAUGUGAUCUUCAUUCAAAUGAAACCUAAUCAAAAGUACAAAUUUGUACCUAGUACUGUGUUUAGAAUUGUUUAAAAUUUUGAUUCAAUCUAAAUUAAGCUUUUGUUUAAAUGGUAAAAUUAAUUUUCAUGUAUAUAAGUUUUAUUUUUUGUAGAAUCAAAAUAAAUUAUUUUAUAACAAUUUUUUUUUUAUAAUUUAAGUUAAGUAUCACUCCAGUUUAUAUAGUCUAUACUCUCAAGGUAUAUGACUAAUGAUCUUAUGAUGAAUUUAGAGUACUUCAAUGUUGAAUUUUAAUAGCUUAAUAACCAAGUAAUAUAGAUAACUUAAAUCACAAAUUAAAUGAUUGAAUAAUCUAAAUUAGUGAUUAUUUCAACCAUUGAAAUAAUCUAAAUUAAUCUAAAUUAGUGAUUGAAAUAAUAUAAAUUCAACUAUUGAAAUAAUAAUCUAGUUUAACUUAAGUAUCACUCCACUUUAUAAUCUAAUUUCAAUUAAAUUUCUCACAAUCUAUGUCAAUGGUGACCAUCUUCUGAAAUUAAAUGUUAAAUUGCUUUAAAAUUCAUAUUUUAUUAAAAAAUGAACUUAUGGAAUCAAUUUCUAAUUCCUAUAUGUUAUCGGAUAUUUGCUUUAUAAAAUAAAAUUAUCUAAUCCAAUAAAAUGAUUAUAAAGAAAAAAAAUAUAGGAUCACGUAGAUUUCUUAAAUAAUUUGUAGUUAUCUAAACGACUUCCUCUUGAUGGUAAAGAAAGAUAAAACGACAUCAUAGAGUAAUUGACACAUCGUCCAAAACUGAAUGACGAAAUGAUUAACAUGCAAGGGUAAACAAAAUUAAUGGGUCAAAUGAGAAAUAAAAUGGAAAAGCAUGAAUGAAUUGAGAAAAAGAAAUAAAGUUGAAGAACCAAAAUAAUAGCUUUUAACCUAUAUUUCUAAGAAACACACAUAAUUAAUAUUAAUAUUAAACAUUAGUAUUAGAAUAAGGAUUUAAUAUGUAUACACUGACAGUGUAAAUGUUUUUAUAUUGUCAGUCAAUCAUCUAAUAUUGACUCUCAAACAAAAGUAAUACAAAUCAAUGAUGGAUGAUAUGCUGAUAAUGUAAAAAAAUUUACAUUGUCAAUCACAAAUUUCAAACUCUUAGAAUAAAUUACAUUAACAUUAUAUAAAAUUACGCAAACUAUCUUUCUUUUUCUUUUUGUAUAUGUAUAAAUCAGUCCUAUAUUACAAUGACUACUCUUGGAUUAAAAAAGAAUAUGAUCUUUUAAACAAAUAAUGAGUGAUGUGUAAUUAAGUUAAACUCAUCAUCGAUAAAUUUGUAUAUAGAAUUUGAUUAUAAAAUCAAUCUUCUCUUUUAUGUAUUUAAAUAACAUUUCCUUAGAAUUAUUGAUCCAUUUUAUAACAAAUAAAAAAUAAUAAAGAUAAAUUGACUCUUAUAUAUUUAAAUUAGACACCAUAAUACGUUAAUAUUAAGAAACCCUGUAUGAGAUUAAAAAAAGUUGUAUCAUUUUUCUAUGACUAUUAUCAUUAACAUAUAUAUUUGUAAAAUAAAUUAAGGUACCUACAAAUUAAAGUUAAUUUUAAUAUAUCAACAAUAUAUUGGUCUAUGCUAUAAAAUCCACUAGAUCCCAAAGGUUAAAAGUUCAUUCAUGGGAGUGAUACUUAUUAAAAGGAGUAGUCAUGAACCUCAAAAAAUGUGAAGGGAUAUCUUAAUAGUACCAAAAAAAAUUAAAAUACUUUAUUUUUUCCUCAACACUAAUUAUUGCUAACAAUGCAAGACUAAAACUGAAAAUUUAUUUAAAUGAAACAAUAGCGUAUGAAUUGUUAUUUUAUUAGAGUGUAAUAUUUGUACACUUUUAGUGUAAAUAUUUAUACAUAAUUGAUCAAUUAUACACAAUUCAUUUGUAUUAUUUUUGGAAGAGUCAACGAUAAUUAAAUAUAAAUGGUGAAUAAUAUGGUGAUAAUGAAUAAAACUGAUAUAUUGACAAUGCAUAUAAUUUUUCAUUAUUUUGUUAUCAUUAUUUUAAGAAUUAUACGAGAUGUGAUGUAUAUAAUUUUACUAAAAUUCAUGUGUAAUGUAAUUUACUAUUUAAUAAUAUAUUAAACACAGAUAAUUAAUAUUUAUAUUAAACAUUGAUAAUAUAUUAGAAGAUUUAAUCACUUUUUAAGAUAACAUUAAACUAUAGUUUAAUAUUCUUAUCUUAUAGGAGUAUUUUCCUCUUUUAUAUUAAUAAUAUAAAGCAUCCUUGGACUCUUACGUCAAACAGAAGAGAACAACAUAAGACUCGUGUUUUUCUCUUUCUCUUUUUUCUAUCAUCUUCUUCUUCACUAUUUCAAACCAAAUCCAAGAUCUAAACUCUGUUUCAUUUUCAUCACUUUCAAUUCAAUAAUGGCUAACGAUGAUGCUUUAUGCUGCGCCACUCAACUCAUUGACGGUGACGGCGAAUUCAACGCCACCGGUUUGGAUCAUUUCAUCAGAACUGUUAAUCUCUCUUCUUGUGCUCUUUCUUACGCCGUUGUUGCUAUCAUGGGUCCUCAAAGUAGCGGUAACUAGUUUUUAUUCAUUCCAUUCAAUUACACUCUUUUCUACUUCAGAGUAGUGGUAAUUGUUAUGGUUUUUGAUAAUUCAACUUGUGCACAUUAUUGAGCUUUGAUCCAUGGUUUUAAUGGUUGUUUUAUGAGAUUGUAUUUGAUUAAUUAUGUUGUAUUCUGUUAAAUAUAUCAGCUUGGACCCUUCAAGUAAAGUGAUUGUUCAGUUAAAUUGUGGAAUAAUAUUUUGCGAUUUUUGGUUAGAAUUAUGGAAUUUUAUGAAAUAGGGUUCAAGUUAGUGGGACAGAUGAAUAGAUUUAAAAAAUUAAACUUUUGAAAAGAUCGUUGGCGCAGUUUGAAUUUGUUGAGGUAACUUGUGAUGCAAGUGAAGAUCUCCACACGAUUCACGUUUUAGUUUCAGUUAUACUAAUCUGCCGUUGAGGCAACCUAAAAAAUAACCCUUUGUUUUUUCAUUCUAAUUGGAGAUACUACAAUGCAUUUCUGAUUUUAUGGUGUAUCAUUCAUGUGCAAUUUCUUUAGCUUUAUGCAAUUAUUUUCUCUCUAAUUGGCUUCUGAGGUUUGAUCUUAUGUUUUUUCGUCAUCUUUGCAGGGAAGAGCACUUUAAUGAAUCAUCUUUUCCACACAAAUUUCAGGGAGAUGGAUGCUUUCAGGGGAAGGUUAGGAUUUUGAAGUUAUUGAGCUAUUAUCAUGGACAUAGUAAACAACAGUAAGGAAAGAGAGAAAGAAAGGAUGAUAACUGGAUGUCUUCAUCAUCCAUUCAGCCUAUUAUAUCUCAGUUUAUGAUAGACGAGUAAUUGAAUAUCAUAUUUGUUGCAGAUCGCAAACAACCAAGGGCAUUUGGAUAGCCAAUUGUGUAGGGAUUGAGCCGGCUACAAUUGCCAUGGAUUUAGAGGGUACUGAUGGAAGAGAGAGGGGCGAGGUGAUAAAUUCUGUAUUAUAAGUAAUUUUCAUUUCUUGUUCUUUCUUGCAUGUGCACCAGGUCUCACUUUUGUCUUGUUUUCCUUUUUUAAAUAUAACUCCCAGGAUGAUACUGCUUUUGAGAAACAGAGUGCUCUUUUUGCUUUGGCAGUAUCAGAUAUUGUUCUGAUAAACAUGUAAGUUUAUAUUGCUUUAUAAUUGAUUGAAUGGAUUAGAUUCUAGGAUGAUCCUUGGAGUUGGGCAUUAUGGUAGGUUUUGAAUUUUUUUUAGCAAAGACUAUUCAGACCCAAAUUUUUUGUGGAGUCCAUAGAAACUACGUUGCUUAACAGAUGUCUAGGUGUUAUUGCUAGUCUUUCAGCUAACAUGGUGUAUGCUUAUAGCAUUUUUGUUAGAUUAACUUAUAUUUUGCAAUAAUCUUGCUUAAAACCUAUCUACCCGAAACUUAUCAAUGACAUUGUAUAUCAGUCUGAGUAUAGGGUGGAACACAAUGUAGUGUAAGUGUAUUUCAUAAUGAGAUCGUGGGAUGUGUAAAACUAGAUGUUAUGCAUGAAUCAUUUUCUUCCGUAUCUUUUUCUGCCUUUCUUUGGUGUCAAUUUAGUAGUUAGAUUUAAUCUGGAAGUAAAAGGAUCUGUUUCAUGAGUUAUGGGAGCUUAGAUCAGACUUAUGCAGAAGAACUAUAUUCAUUUUGGAUGAAUACUGAAGACUUUAUCUAUUCACAGGUGGUGUCAUGAUAUUGGUCGAGAACAAGCAGCCAAUAAGCCUCUUCUAAAAACAGUUUUUCAGGUAGUUUGCUGCCUUGAAUUUGCUUCUGGUUGUUGUUCAAUGUUUUAGUUUUCACACUUUGGGUUUUAUUUUAUUUGUAGGCCAUGACGCGUUUAUUCAGUCCCCGCAAGACGACAUUGCUUUUUGUUAUACGUGACAGAACAAAGGUCUAUAGCAUUUGGACCUUUCUUUAUAAUGCACCCUCUUGUUCUAUUAUAACAUUCGGUGUCCUUAUCUUGUUUCUGGCUGUCUACGCAGACCCCACUUGAACAUUUGGAGCCUAUUCUACAAGAAGAUAUUCAGAAGGUGUUAUUUCCUUCUAAUUUAUAAGUUUUUUUUGUUUUUUUUUGUGACUUUCUUCGUUUUCUUCAUUAGAAUUUUAAAUUAUGAUGCAAUUGUUUUGUUCAGAUUUGGGAUGCAGUCCCAAAACCCCAAGCUCAUAAACAUACUCCUCUUAGUGAAUUUUUUAAUGUAAGAUCUAUCUAUCUGCUUUUUUAAUUUAAGAUCUAUCUAUAUUGUGAAUAUUAAAUUAUGAUGCAUGUUCAUUUAUUCUUCAAAUAAAGGUGAAUGUUACUGCUUUGUCAAACUACGAGGAGAAGGAGGAUAAGUUCAAAGAAGAGGUACCCUUUCCAUGAUAUAGUACAUCACUUUUAAGAACUCAAUACUCUCCUCAGACCCUAUUAUGUGGGAGCCUCGUGCAAUGGGUCACCCAUUUUAAAGGGAGGGGGUCCACUUACUCCAAGAGUUCAUAUCUUAGCCAUCAAUUCUAGAGAAAUCUAAUGGUUUAGAUCUACUCACUAAUUCAAACCAUUGGAUUUCCCUAGAAUUGAUGGCUAGUAAGUGGAUCCCUUCUCUUUUUAAAUAAUGAAAAUUUGAAAAUUCCAUGUUGAACUUUACCAUUUUGGGUUCUUUUCUUUUGUGUGUCAUGGUAUAUCUGACAGUGGUAAACUUUCUCGUGCAGGUUGCUCAAUUACGACAGCGUUUCUUCCAUUCUAUAGCGCCUGGAGGUCUUGCUGGUGAUCGGCGUGGUGUUGUGCCUGCAUCUGCUUUUUCUAUUAGUGCACAGCAAAUAUGGAAAGUCGUACGGGAGAACAAGGAUCUUGAUCUUCCGGCGCAUAAGGUUUCCUACUAUCUUAUUUUUGUGAUGUAACUGGUUUUGUCUCCUUAUUGUUUUCCAUCUUAUUUAACAGGUAAUGGUUGCAACCGUGCGUUGUGAAGAGAUUGGCAAUGAAAAACUUAGUCAGUUAUGCGCUGAUGAGGUGCUCAUCCAUAUCUCCUGUACUGUAAUCUUUUGUGAAUUGCAUCAGUUGUUUAUAAAAUCAGUCAUCACAUGAAUAUAUUUGGCUUAGGGUUGGUUGGAGCUGGAUGAGGCUGUUCGAUUAGGUCCAGUACUAGGUUUUGGAGAAAAGCUGAGCUCUAUUAUCGAUACCUACCUUUCACAGUAAGUUCCAGAUGUUGGUGCUGAAUUUUAGUAUUCCAGUCCACGUUAAACUUAUGCUCAAUGCCUACUUGAUUUUCUGUUUAAUUUCUGAGUUAAAAGUUAACUUUUUCCUACCUUUUAUUAACUCCUGUGUAUGUUUAUGCGAGUCAUUGAAGAAUUGUAAAAUUAGGAGUGAUUGGGUUCUUCGCGGUUGUUUCAAAAGUCAUAGGAUGCAACUAAUGAUUAGAAUGUUAGAUUAAUAUUUAUUGAUUGGUGGGUUUAAACUUACUUAUUUGAUAUACUGAUAAUUAUGCUUUCAACAGAUAUGAUCGGGAGGCUAUCUUCUUUGAUGAAGCUGUGAGGAAUGCAAAACGAAAGCUAUUGGAGUCUAAGGCAUUGGAUGUAAGGCUGCCUGCUACCUUUAUAUGGCUUUAUUUCUAAAUUUAGUUUUGAUCCAUUUGGGCUAAAUUUUGACAAACUAACCGUGGGUUGUUGCAACAAACUCAAGCCUUUUUUAUCUAAGAGAUAAUAAUUUAAGCCUCUUCAAAAAUCUUGAGCCAAGCCGAAGAAGUUCUUUAAUAAAAGGAUUUUUUUUGGGGGAUAAAGGAGUACUAUAGAGGCUUUAAACUUCAACACAGCUUUCCAAUCCCUGCAACAAUUUCCUUAAUAAAUGGAAUGAACAACAAAUACAAGUGAAAGCAAAAGUAAAAAAGUGGAAGGAAGACACAAGCUGUAGAGAAAAGAGGAACUAUGAUAUUUCGGUCCACAUGACGUCAUCUAAGCUCAUUGGUUGCUCUUGGAUUUUAGAUAUGAAAGCUUAUUUUGUAUAAGUAAAUAAAAGUAGGAAAAUAUACUCAAAAACUCUAGCAAAAUAUUGACAAUUUUUAUUUUUAAUGUAAUUAUAAAUAUCAUAAUACUAAAUUUGCAUUUAUAAGAAUGACAGUUAGGUUUUUUAUUUAUUUCUUUUUUAAAUUUUAUUCAUAUGUUUACUGAUGAUUGUAUAUUAUAUCUUUCAAAUUUAUUUAUUUUGCAAACCGGUUCAGCCACUGUUUAUACAAUGAACCCCUCUAUUUUUUGGUUCAAUUGUCGAACCAGUUUUUAAAACAUCGAUGAGUAUUGUUGUAUAUCAACCAUAAUGUAACGAUGUUCUGUUCAAGUGCACUUUCUUAUUGAUAUGAAAAUAUUACAAAAAACCACCAAGGGCUCUGCUAUAUAUUAUUGAUAAUGGCUUUUGAAGUCUGCAUGCACUCAAGUAUAUUUACACAAAAUUCAUUUGACUUUCUUUAAUUUUUUUGGCCAACUUUUCAGUUUGUGUAUCCUGCUUAUACAACAAUCCUAGGACAUCUACGCUCUAAAGCUCUAGAUGAUUUUAAAACUAAGCUGGAGCAAUCACUAAGCAAAGGAGAAGGGUUCGCUUCAGCUGUUAAUGUGUGGACUCAAUCUAUUAUGCUCGAGUUUGACAAAGGAUCUUCUGGUAAUAGUCAGAUAGGAUUUUUCUUCAUAUCAUUACAUUGUCACCUAUAACUGUAUAUGCACAUUUUAGAACUAGUUGAUAACCAGGGUCCUAGCUUCAGUCUCCACUUGCUUCUUCGAUUUAAAUUAGUAAUUAUUUGACAUGCUGCCUAUGUCAUUUUAACUUGUACAUUUUCCACUCCAGGCUUAUAUUGGUUGUGGACAUUUAAAGUGAUGAAGAGUGGCGAGAAUUACUACUAUUUUGUAGGAUUGAGAUUCAGUUCUGCGGAGGUUUACACGGUGUUAAUUCCCAAAUCCCAAGUUACUAUGUUUGUAAAGAAAAUGUGCAGGACCUAAUUAAUAUACACAAUCUUACAUUCUUACUUUUAGUCCAUAGUCUAAUGAAUUUAAAGGCAAUUGCAUAUGGAGAAUAGGGGAAAAUAAAAGAGUUCUUCUGAGAAUGGUUAUUACUAUAUUCCUGUUUUUUUAUUCUAUUAAUGGAGAGAUCAUUGAGUAUGGCUAGUCUCGCUCAAAUUUAUCAAGAGGAUAUUUUAAAUUUAACCUAGAUGCAUAUUAUGACAUUGUUGAUUUGUCGAGAGUUUAUUAUGUGUAUGAAACCAAAAAAAAAAAAUCAAGAGCAUAAUUGAAAAUUGACUUUUAGAUUCAUUAUAGAGAAACAUAAAAUUAAUUAUUUAAUCUUGAAGUAGAAUCGCCAGGAUUUUUUUAUUCUUCAGUUUCAUAGAUCUAGAAAGUCUGGCUUUAUCUGGUUUUUUAUGGGCAUUGUUAUAUUUAUUCACAUAAAUAAAAAGAACAGAAGAACAUUUGCAUAAAGGUUGACUUCUGCUCAGUCUAUUUCAUGGGAUGCAUCUCACUAGUCCAUCCAUCUGACUAUAUUUCUGUUUGUUUGCUCCGUAAAAUGCUUAAUCCUAUUUGGUCCUUAUUUAAUAUUAUUUGCAUUUCCAGGUGCUGCUGUAAGACAGGCUAUUUGGGGCGAUUCAAAAGUGCGAGAUAAACUUCGUCGUGAUAUUGAGUCACAUGCUUCCUCUGUACGCAGUGAAAAAUUAGCAAGGAUAACGACUAACGUUGAGGUAAUACUGUUGUGACUACAGGUGACUUAAGCUGAAUGGUCUUCAAUUGAUGCCUUCAAUAUCCCUGUCAAGUGUCAACCACUAAAAUAGAAUAUAUUUUGUAGAAACAACUGGCUAAGGCAUUGGCUGAACCUGUGGAGUCCCUCUUUGAAGCUGGUGGAAAGGACAUCUGGCUUUCGAUAAGAAAACUUCUUGCACAUGAGACUGAAGUUGCUGUAUUCGAAUUUUUAACAUCCAUUGCUGGUUUUGAGCUGGACGAAGAAACAGUUGAAAGAAUGCAACAAAGCUUAAGGGACUAUGCAAGAAAAGUGGUGGAGAAUAAAGCAAGAGAAGAAGCUGGAAAUGUUCUGAUCCUCAUGAAAGAUAAGUAAGGAUAUUUUAAAGAUAGCUCAUCUUUAUUAGGUAUAUUUGGUGAGUCUUGGGUUUGAAUUUUAAAAUGUGGUAUAAAAAAUUAUCUAUUAUUGACAUUUUGGAACACGAGAGUUGAAAGUGGAGAGGAUAUAAACAAGUCUGGACACUGUUCUAUUUUUUAUUCAUUGAUGCCUGGUUGGAGUAGAAUGCACAUUCUUUAAGCAGAAGUUUCUGUAUGCUACUGUCAUGGGUCUGAUGUUUUUUCGCAUUUUACUAAGCUAUGCUAACGUGUACUUUUCAAGCAUUCUUUGGUAGACAUGUGCAUAGACAGGUUUUGCAUUCAUCUUAUCAAAAGAGGUAGAGAAAGGCAUAAGAAAACAAGAGAGAAACUAUUAAAAAAAACCUUGCUUUAAACUUUUACUGAAAUUAUAGAUUUCGAUAAAGCCCAGUGACGUUAUUUAAACCGUGCAGCUGACUCCACCUUGUGGGACAAGGUGUGAUUGUUAUUCUAAUUUGUGUUCAUUAUUCUGUUUUGGAGGUUGCCCUUUACUGUAUUUGUACUUUUCUGUUGUGAUGAAAGAAAGUGUCCUAUUCUAGUUAUUUGUCAAUUGUCCUUAAUUUUUUGGGUUAAUUUGGUGGCUCACUGAUUUUUCUAAUAAUUUUCAGGUUCUCGACCGUGUUCAAUCAUGACAAUGAUUCACUGCCUAGGGUUUGGACAGGGAAAGAAGAUAUCAGAGCUAUUACAAGGGAUGCUCGCUCUGCGGUAAUUGAUUAGCAACUUCAAUCAUAACUUUUCAGCUUGCUUAUACUUCAAAUUAUAUUUGAAAUAAUGUUUUAUUUUAACACCAUGUAAAAUAUCUUCUGCCGUGUAUCAGUCACUUAAGCUUCUAUCAGAUAUGGCUGCUGUACGCUUGGAUGAGAAGCCAGAUCAUAUUGAAAGUGUACUUCGUUCAUCACUCUUAGAUAGAACUGUUGCAGCAACAUCUUCACAAUAUGCAAUUAGAGAAGCUUCUGUUGAUCAACUGGCUUCAAGCACGUGGGACGAAGUAGGAUAUAGUGAUAUAUAUCGUUAUUUUUCUAAGCAUUACAAAAGUGAUAUUUAUGGUUCCCUUGAUAAUGUUGUAGUCAAAAUAAUUAUAUUUGAGAAUAUUUAAAAAAAAUGUAGGUUUCGCCACAAGAUAUUCUCAUCACUCCAGUGCAGUGCAAGUCUUUGUGGCGACAAUUCCAGGGAGAAACUGAGUACACAGUUACUCAAGCUAUUUCAGCUCAGGUAAAAUCAUCAGAUAAUAUUCCUGCCUGCUUUUUUUCCCUCUUUCCUUUUAUUAAUUGAUUAUUUCCUGCAGCUUUAACCAACUUUUCUGCAGUAUAUGAAAAAUCAAACCCCCUUUAUUUCUCCAUUAUUUUGUAUAAUAGAUUAGACGUAACCAAAGUGUGUGACAUGUAAUAUGGUGCCAUCUUCAAUUUUCACCCCAAGCAAGUGCUAAAACACAUCUUAUGGGAACAUGCAUUCCAUAUACUCCUCUUGACUUCGGCUUAAAGUGAAGCCAUGUGAUUUACCUUCUUAACUCUACCAUUUAUGUCAUCUUUCAAAUAUAUUCCAUUAGGAUUAAGUCAUCUAUAAAAAAACGUGUGUUGAAUUAAGGAAGAUGUGUUUGGAAGUAAGUUCUAUAUUGCCUGUCUACUUAUCUCGGGAAUGGUUUAAAUACCUAUUGGGCUACUUCUCUUAUUGCCAAUUGGUUUUGUAAUGGAACCUUAACAUGGUAUGAGAGAGUCAGAGCCCAACUUCUUUCCUGUUGUCAUAGGUCAAAAGAUGUCCUUUAGUCAUGGGUUAAAGGUAGCCCUUCGCCUAGUCUGAUAGGUUUAUGUGGAGGGGCAUGUUUGGAAGUAAGUCUCACAUCCUCUGCCUCAUUGUCUCGGGAAUGGUUUAAAUACUUGUUUGACUACACCUCUCAUUGCUAAUUGGUUUUAAAAUGGAACCUUAACAAGAUGCAUGUCAAUAAAUAUAUGCAAUUUGUAACCCUGUAUUAUAUGAUUAUUUUGGUGGAUACAAAUUUUCUUAAAGCCCAAGCAGUUCAUAAAGUUGGAAUUGGUUAUUGGAGUUGCAUCAGUAAUUAAAUGUUAUAUUUAUUGCAUUUUUGGUUCCAGUAUUAUUCUUAAUCCAAAACAUUCAGAAUCUAGAAAACUGUAAUUUUCCAUGGCCAAGAGGGAGACCAUUAGAAGUCCCAUUAAGGAGAGUAGAUCACAUGAAGGUUAAGCUAUUUUCUGGAUGAAGAACCAUAGACAGAACUAUUAAGAAAGAUUUAGAGAACAAUGCUUUGUCAAUAAACAUGAUUUAUAAUAGAACAUUAUGACAUUGUUCGAUCGGUGUAGCCGACCUCAGUUAGUGGGAUUACGGAUUUUUUGUUGUCAUUGUCAUGAAAUGUAUUUACAGCAAAUGGUAAGAACUAGAAAUACAUCUUUCAUGCAUUCCCUGCUGGAAACAGUAAAUGCAAAAAAUGUGACAUUAAAUAUGGAUGCAACUCCUAUAAUCUAUGACUAAUUUUGACGGCCUGUAGUUAUGUAAAAUGUGCUUGUAAAAUUUUCUAUAGAUGAAUAACAGUCAGUAGUGUUAAUCAUAUCGUCUCUUAUGCCUUAAUUCUUCUAGACCUGGUUACCUGGCUUCCUCACACUGAAGUGGUUUGAUUUUAAUGAUAAAACCAUUUGGUGAGAGUAGGCUUGCUAGGAUUAUGAGAAUGGUGUUUGCUCCUACCUUUUUUGGCUAUUGUAUUUUUACGUACUUGUUUCUGUGCGGUCCCUUUUACGUACUUGCUGCAGUUUCUAACAAAAUGUGAUUCAUCUUCUUUCUCUUUGCCUUGGCACUUAUCUAAUUCCAUCAUACUAACGAAGGUGUUGUUCCUUGCUUUUUUUGGUUUUUUGCUAUGGGUUCAGGAGGCCUACAAGCGGAGUAACAAUUGGUUACCUCCUCCAUGGGCAAUGGUGGCAAUGCUCGUGCUUGGUUUUAAUGAAUUUAUGCUUCUUCUAAAGUAAGUGUCACUUUGAAUUUAUUUAUUAUCAUUAGUUCAUUACUAUUGUUGCUAUACUAUUAUUUUUUAUUGGAGCUUAUUCUCGUCAGUUUAAUAAUGACAUUUGUUGACUUUUUAUGUGAAACAGAAAUCCUCUCUACAUGCUAUUUAUAUUCAUUGCCUAUCUACUUGGAAAGGCCAUAUGGAUACAAAUGGACAUAGCUGGAGAGUUUCGACAUGGCACUGUGAGUAUGAGUGGUCUAUAUUCUUUUAUUUUUACUAGUUCUGGCUGUAGGAUGCUCAAAAUUCUAUGCUUUUCUGUCUAAUUGAAUAAACUAUUAUAAUCAUGCUAUGUGAACACACACAUACCAGUUCGAGACUAGAUUGUUUUUCAUAGAAAGGGCCGGGCAGUCUGGUGCCUUUGCUCCCGCUAUGAGCGAGGUCCGCUAGUGUCAAAACAAGUCGGCCUAUAGUAGGUAGCUUUACCUUGCAUUUGUAAGAGGCUGAUUAUAUGACUCAAACCUGUGGCCACCAGGUCAUAUGACAAUAACUGCAAAUGUUGCAUGUUAUAUUUUGCUAAACAACACAGCAUUCCACUUUGCAAAAAAUCUGCUAUUACCUGAUGUAAAGCCUUGGUUGUUUGAGUUUUUUUGACAGAAGGGCUUUUUUUAAUGAAAAACAUUUUUGAACUUACCUGCUUGUUUGGUUGGGCUUUUACUAAAAAAACAAGCUAUAAAGAAGUUAAAAAGUGCUUUUUAUGAGAAGCUAUAUUUUCCUGCUUCUGAAUAAAGCUAAUGAUUUGCAUGAAAAAACUUUUACUAAAAGCACUUUAUCUAAUUUGAGUCUAAUGCAAAAUAGCUUCUGAUAUACUAAAAUGGUUAUUCACCAAUGAUAUAUAGCAUAAGAAGGGCUGGUUGAAUAAUGAUGUCAACUACAAAGGUGACAAACUCCAUCAGAUUAUUGUGUACUUAUGCCUCUUUUGUUUACAGCUGCCUGGACUUCUAUCCCUUUCAUCAAGGUUUCUUCCCACAGUCAUGAACCUUCUUAAACGUCUCGCCGAAGAAGCUCAGGGUAAUCUAACAAAUGAAGGAACUGAGCAACAUAGUUCAGAUACUCAGAUAUACAGAAAUCAAGCGCAAAAACGUAAUUUAGCAUCAACCUCAUUCACCACCAAUUCAUCUGUAUCUAGUGUUGGCUCAACAAAUGGUGGUAAUGAAUCCUCUGCCACAAACUUUUCUACAAAGGUUACAGAAGCUGAAUUUUCAUGAUAUUUUACUUUAAAGAUGGUUGGCAUCAAAAUAGGUUAUGCACUCACAUCAGUUUUGCAUUUUGCUAUAAUACUAAUUUACUUUUCUUCUUACCCGCUCUUGAUAUUAAAUAUUGUUGUACCCUUUUAACGUGUAAGUUAUAAGAUCACAUGAAGGGUAGGACCCCUAUUUGGGUUCUGCAACUUAAAAUAUCAUCCCCUGUUCAAUAGUGACAGAAUAUUAACAUUGUAAACUAAUUUUCCUCUCCUUUUUAGCAACUCUAAAAUGUUUUGAUAAUCGACUCUUCUAUCUAUGAUCGCACGAAAGUGAUGAUAACCAUCACUGAGAAAUCGUCUGCACAAAAAAGGGUCGAUUUUAUGUCAGUCGAAUUUGCUGUGAUCCCACCAAGCAAACACAAUGUUGUACAAAUUAAAAUUAGGAGGUAAGAAAUCAUAGUUGUUUGAUGUAGUAGAACUAGCUGAGGUACAUAAAGAAAUUCCUAGUCAGGAAAAUAAGGGGAACAGAAACAGUUGUGAAAAAUGUCAGUUUGCAAGAAACAAGAGUGAUUUGCUCUAACCAAAGACUGGUGAAGGACUUCUAUGUGUUGGUUGUGAAUUGUGAUUGAAUUCUCUCUUCUCCCUCCUAUUUCUGUUGCUUCUGUCAAGGACAACAUUUUUCUGCACCUAAAUAAUAGUAUUCCUUACUACUAAAGUACUUAAUAAAGUGCAGAAUUAUAUUAUUCAGUAACAGUUUGUGAAUUAUCUUAUUAGUUUAGAAUCUAGCUGUUAAAUGUGUCUCCCUUGAAACCUUCAGGUAGGUCCUGAGCAGGUUUAGCUUUUGCUUGUGACAAUUUUUUUUCUUUCCUUAGUGAUUGAGUCUGGUUUACCUUUUUUUAGUCAGUUUUAGUCCACUUUUGAAAAUGGGUUGGACUAGAAUAGACACUGUCUAAAGGCUAUCCCAUUUUUCUUAACCCCUAUUUGAGCCUAUAGUUAUUAACGGAGGCACAUCUGAUGUCUCGUAGUUUAUGUCACUCCAUGUACCAUGUGCUUGUAAUUGGUCAGAAAAAUGAUUAAUAAUUAAAUUUUAACUUAAAUAUAAUUUUUCUGAUCCAUCACAAGUUCAUGUUAUAUGAAGUAGUACAAACUAUGAGACAGCAGAUGUGUAUCAAAGUGGUAGCUAUUUUUAGAAGACCUAAACUUAGAUAGGUGAUUCUGGUCAUUCUUGAGUUUGAAUUUAUUACCUUGUAUUGUUGAUCACUUUACUUUCAACCUAUGCAUCAAUUUCAUAGAAGGGUUGAGAUUUGAAUGAUGACUUAGAUAUGUUUUUACUCCACUAAAAAUAUAAAAGCACUCAAAAAAUGGUUAUUAGCUAGGGUCAUUAUUCAUGACAAAUAACAUCAUAGUGGAACUUGACUUUAUGAUUUGACAUCAUAAGAUGGACACAAUCAUUUAGAUUACAACAUACGUCUACCAAAUAUACCAUAUAUAUAUAUAUAUAUAUAUAGAAUCUAUAUUUCUAGUUAAUUCAAUGUUCAUUGCUUAGAAACUUGGUGCUCAAUGAAAUGCAAUGGUACAAAAGGAUUUAUGUAAUAACAUUGGGAAUAAUGGGAAUUAGACCAUAAAGAUCAAUUUCCUUCUAAUACUCCAUCAUGGUGUUCAAUUUUGAUUAUACUUAUAUGCACCCCAUUUUCAUUACAUAUCUUUUGAUAUUCAAGUCAUAAUGGCAAAAGGUGAUAAAGAGAAGAAAAAAAUGAUUUAGUGUCAUUAUGAGUUUACAGUAUUAAGUUUUUUUUAUAAUACUACCAUAUUAUUCAUUACUUAUGUAUAUAAUUUUAUGUAAAAACCUUAUUAUUAUUACUAUUAUUAUUAUAUUAUGAUUAAUAAUAAUAUAUAACAUGUUGCUAAUUUUAAAACCUUUACAAAUGCAUAUUUUCUGGUUCUUUCUACCACUAAUUUAAUUAUUAGUGGAACAUAUUUAUGACAAGAGUGUAAUAUAUGCACCGUGAGUGUAAAAAUUUAUACACACUUAAUAUAUUAUUUAUCAUUCGUUUAUAUUUUUUUUGAAGAGUCGAUGAUAAUUAAAUAUAUAUGAUGUACUAUAUAAAACUCAUACACUUUCAGUACAUACAUUUCUCUAAUGUGAGAAUGUGCUCUCUUAUAUUCAACAUGAUGCAUCCCUUGUUCACAAAGAAAUAGAAGAAAAGUAGGAGACACCACAUUUUGGUUAAUUGGAAGGUAAUCAAAGUAUAUUUUGAGGACAAAAGAUUCAUGAUAUUCUUCAAAAUGGGCCCCAUUUGCUUUGAAUUUGAUAGAUGCCUCUUUUUGUUUUUUCAAGUCUUGAGUCAAACAACCGAAAGAGAAAGUCUUUUUUUUUGUUGAAGUUGUGACAAUGUCCUUCUCAUUUUCACCAUCAAAUGCCCAUCUUCUAUUUCUAAGCUUACACUAUCAUCAAGAGCUACUAUAUAUUGUUUCUUUCACCAUACAAUUACUUCGAACAAAUGUUAUAGUUGCUCAAGAUAUAACUAUCAUGAGUCACAACAUUUUUAUGAUUAUAUCUAUUCAAAACUCCUUAAAAUUACUAAUUAAUCUCAAUCAGACAAUUACGAGAGCACAUCUUGUGUCUCACAUCUUGUGUCACUCCAUGUGUCGUGAGUCGUGAGUGGUUGAAAAAAAAAAUAUUUAAAUUAAAACUUAAUUAUUAAAUAUUUUUCUGACCAAACACGACUUAUGACAUAUGAAAUGACAUAAUGUUGUGAGACGGAAUAUAUGAUGCUGACAAUUACGAUUUUGUGGUCACAAUAUAAUUUUAGUAAUUCCGGAAAUGUUGAUAUAUGGGCAUUUGUGUUCCUAUACCCGAAUUUAAAACCUUGCUUUCAUUUUUUACAAAAUGGAGAAAUGGAAAUUAUUACUUUACCUAACUCACCUGCCUAUGGAUACCUUUUGGUCCCUCUAAAGUUCACAGGUCCUACAAACCGUUCUAUUAGUUGAAUGUCACUCUUCAAUAUUUGAUGGUAGGUUGCUUCAAAUAGUACCCUAACUUCCCUGCUUUGAACAAUAUCAUUACAUUAUUGUUCUCUUGUUUUCUUUCUACAAUAAAAUACUGUUCCCUCCAUUAUUCAUGGAUAUUUCACAAGAGAAAAUAAUUUCUUUUUCUUUUAUAUAUGAUCACCCUCCUUGUAUUUUUUUCAUUAUAUAUGAUUCAUCAAAAACUAUAGGCUCCACCUUCCCUCGUUAAUACUUUAUCUUUAAAUGUUGUGCAAAACUGUUACUCUAAGUUCUUAUAUAUCUAUAUCUAGUGUUGUGAUAUGACAAAGAUUCCAUAUCCUAAAAUGCGUUUCAGACCAUGUUUCUGGCUAAUAAAAAUAUGUCAUGUUAAUUAAAAAAUUAAAUAUUCAUUAAUUUUUUCUACUUUUUACUUUAGUAUCAUUGAUUCAGACCAUAAUUUAGGAUACGGUUUACGACAAUAAAUCUUUGUCCAUUAUAACAUGGUAUUGAGAUUGACACAUGUAUGUGACUUUUCUCCACUUUUAUUGUUUCUAUUUGGAAUCUUGUGAUCCUAGAAUGCCUUGUUUGGGUGUUGGGCGGCAAAACUUUAUUCUCACAGUAAAAUGUUGUGAAUCCAAACAAGUUUUGACAAAUGUGUAUCUAUUGUUUUUGUGGAAUCAAGAUCCUCUCUCCUACAAGUUUUCCAUCCUCAUGUCCCAAGUCAAUUAUAUCUCACCAAAUUACAUAAAAAUAUUAUUUUAUAUAUUUUUUAAUUUUCUUUUUAAGUAUGUGUUAAAUUUCUGUUGAAUUAAGAUACAAUAGGACACAAAAAAGUAGGACAGCUGAUCCCCAUUCAUUUUUGUGAUCCAAAAAUCACCUCUCUUGUUGAAAAAUAGUAGUACCAUUUCAAAAGAAAUAUGUAUGAUGAUAGUAUAAAAGAUUUAUAUAUUAUUAUUAUAUUCAUUAUAUAUAAUGCAAAUGAAUAGUAAUCAUAUAUAUACUAACAAUAAUUUAUAAGAGAUUUAUACAUUAUUAUUACACUUACUAUAUGUAAUACAUUGUGAGUGUACCUAUUGUGCAUAAAUAGUAGUUAUUUUCAGUCCGGUCACUAAAAUUAUGAAUGCGUCGUAUUUAAUCAUUUUCUAUAAAAAUAUUUUUAAAUCUAAACAAAAUAGGACAUAUCAUAUUUUUACGGGUGAGAGAAGAUAAAUUAUCUCAUAAUAUAAGAAGAUAUUUUAUUAAUAUAAUAAAUAAUGUAUAGGAUCCUAGAGAAUAUAUAGUUAUAUAUGUUAGGACUCGUGGGUUCAUGCCCCUUUAGGAUAGUGGAAGCCUAUAUAGUUAGUGUCACUGACCAUAGCCAUUGACUAACUACCACCAGACCCCACAGGGUUGACUUAAUAAGUUUUUUACUGCACCAACUGAAUUUGUAAUCUAUUUAUCAAUUGCUCCAUUUUUUCGGUAAAAGAAUAGUAUCUCAUAUCUUAGAGAUAAAUUAUUGUUUUCUAUUUUUAUACUUUUUCCUCACAUAAGAUCUUUGCCAUUUUUUAAAGUUUAGGUCACUUGGUAACUAAGAAGAUUCUCAUAAAGAAUUUGAAGUAACACUUAUAAAUUAUGAGAUAUUUCCACAAAAACUGGAUUAACACUUAUUGGCCUAAAUGAUACAUCUUAAAAGUCACAAAUUUCAACCAUUAUGGUUGUUCUUCACCUUAAAGUAAAAUGUAAAAGAUAACAACUUUUAUUUUUGUCUAUAUAGCUAAUGAUCUAAAGCAUUUUCUAAGUGAGACACAUAACCAUGUAGCCACUAUUCCUGUACUGUUGACUUUCCCUUCACGUCAAUCCUUAAAAAAACAUUUUAUUUGUUUUUUGCAUCAAGAAGCCUUAGCUUAGUAAUGAUAUAAUAAUAAUUAAAUAUAUUUCUGUUUGGUUUUGGAGAAACUUUUUAUCUAACUAGAGAGACUUAUCUCUCCGAAUACAAUCACAAAAAGGCCUCUCAAUAGUGAUUUUAUAUUAUUGAGUAAAUCUAUACAAUUUAAUAGGCCCACAUUAAAUUUAUUCAAUAAUUAAAAUUAUAUUAAAGAGAAUAUUAAAAGAAAAAAUAAUCUAGUAUUAUUGUUAGAGUUUCAAUACAAAGUUUUUUACAUUCUCAUUCCAUUUUACUUAUUAAAAUUCAUGUAUACUACUAAUAUUACUGAUGAUAGAUAAAUCGACAAUGUAAAAACUCUUACAUGUUUCUAAUAUGUCCUUAAUGUGUUGCCUUCUAAUAAAAGGUUAUAUAAUGCAUGCCACUCCCUCAUAUGCCUCACUCCACUCUCUUUCUCACACAUUUGUUUAUUUCUGCUUCACUUACUUUCUUAUGUGUCCUUAGCCAUAUAUUCUGAUAAAGUGAUACUCCCUUUUGUUUUAAGGAAGUUAGGGUUUGUUUGGAGGGAGAGGGUCAACAAUGAAGGAAGGGUGUGGAAGGAAGCAUGGUGCAGCCACACCUUGUGCUGCAUGUAAACUUCUGAGGAGAAAGUGUGGUCAGGAUUGUGUUUUUGCACCAUAUUUUCCACCUAAUGAGGCCCACAAAUUUGCCAAUGUACACAAAGUGUUUGGUGCUAGCAAUGUUAACAAGAUGCUUCAGGUAAUUCACUUUUUUCUUCUUCUAAAUCUCAAUACCCUACAUGUCUUUAUUUACUAUUAACUUUUUUUUACUAUAUAUUAGUCACUAGCAGAAUAAGGUUACAUAUAUUUAUCAUCUCCAGAUAUCUAAGUAAAAACCUCGUGCAUUGAGUUACCCUAUUUGUUAUAUAGUAGUCACUAGCCGGUUGAUGCAAUACACAUACAAAUUGUUAAUCUAAUUUUUCCAAAGGAUUUAUGUUAAAAAUUUGCUACUACUUAAUAUUGGCAAUAACUAAGAAAAAGUAUCUAAACAUAGAUUUACAUAUUUGUACCUGUCAAAUUAAGGAACCAUAAUAUAUGUUUGGAAUAAGAUUCCAUGGUAUUACAAAUGCAACAAGCCCUUAGAUAUUUGAUUAAUUUCAUUACCACAUAUAAUGUAAUGGAGGGUGAAAUUUGUAGGACCUACCAAUGCAUCAAAGAGGGGAUGCAGUGAGCAGCAUGGUGUAUGAAGCAAAUGCCAGAGUGAGAGACCCUGUGUAUGGUUGUGUAGGAACCAUUUCUUCUCUUCAGCAGCACAUUGAUCUGCUUCAGACCCAACUGGCCCUGGCCCAAGCUGAAGUGGUUCAUCUAAGGGUGUCUCAAACUAGAUGCAUUCCUAAUCUUGUGCUUAGCCCAACUAAUAGUGGCUCACCAUCAUCCAAGAUCAUGGGCUCUCAUGCUAACCCUGUUUUUGAUAUGGACAUGGUAGUGGACCAGGUUAGCUAUGGUGAUUCAUUGUGGUCAUGACUCAUGAUUCAUGUUCAUAUAAUUCUAGUGUAGUUUCUAUUGUUUUUUUGUAUAAAAUCAAGGGUAUUCUAUCACGGGGUGAGUAACUAAUCUCUUUUCGGGUGUGUGAUUGUCUCUCGUAACAAAUAUGGAUUCCAGGAAUCAAAUAUUUGACUAUAUAGUCAAUCUAGAGAUCUAGUAAGAUCUUACAUUACUAGACCAACACUGGUAGUGUAGUUUCGACUUGGUGGUAAUUGUGGCUGGACUGCCGUGGUGUCGGAUCGGAGGAGCUGUGGCGGAGGCUUCCGCCCGCUUAGUUAACUUUUAAGUUUUGGUUAAUGGUCUCUCAUUGAUGACAAUGUUCUGUAAAUAUUAUCAUUUAACAUUGUAUGAAAGAAGUUUGUGGUGUGAUUAUGGAUUGUUCAUGGGAAAUUGUUGGUUGCAUGGAAAAUUCUUUUGUUGUUUUAUUAAAACUAUGAAUUUGCGUUUACAUAGAUUUUGAUAAAUAAUAUUUGCUUCAUUGAUUGUAAUGUUGAAGUAUUUUAGGUAAUGUGCCUUACAUAACAUGGUGGCUCUUGUAAUACCCUAAUUUAAGUGUGACCCAUCAUGCAUCUUAUUGUUUUCAUCAUUGGCUUGAGAUUAAAAUAUGAAAAAAUUGAAAUGAAAACAUUACUCUAGCGUUUUUAACUGGGUUUUAUGUAGUAGAGAUUAGUGACUCUUAGGAGUGUAUAAAACUCGUUUCAUCAUACUAAUUCUAGUUUUUCAGGUCUAAGUUCAGAUUAUGCAGAGUCAUUCCAAUUUGUCUAAAUAUCUAGUUACUGGCUGCCCCUCCCGACACUCAACACUUGAAGGGCAGUCACGAACUCUGAAAAGAAUUAGUUCCUCACCAAAAAAGGUGAGAGAAAAUACCAAGAAAAAUAUAUCAGGUUAAAAAAGGCAGCUUAGUGCAACAUGCUUCCACUUACUGAAAUCUAGGGAAGGUAGAUAUACACAAUCUUACUCUGCAAGUGGAGACAAUGUUUCCAAAAUUUGAACCUGUAAUCACAUGGUCACUAAAUAACAACCUUACCGUAUUGAUAUCACAUGCUAUUUUAAAAUAUUUACUUCUCUUGUAAGUAUGGGUAAUAAAACUUCUGAACUUGAAUGAAUAACCUUUUUUUAAACAUGAUAAUUAAUUCCCUUACUAACAAUGAUCUUCUUCACCAAGCAAGAUCAUCAACACUGACUAAAAUGUGUAACAAAAAAUAAUAUGCCUCAGUAAGAGGCUGCACACACUACUAACAUGGAUUUACAUUCAACACCAACCCGAAAUUGUAGUUAUAUAGUAGAGUGAACAAAGGAACAAAAACUGAGUUCAGUAAUUGAUUGUGGUUCUGGUUCAUCAUUCCAUUACACACAAAUAACUAAUUAAAAUUUACAAACUGAGCACAUAAAUUCCCCACCUUCAUAGCACCCUUCUCUUCUCUCCCUCUUUCCUGAUAAACCAUAAACAACCAAAAUUUCAUAAAUAAAUAAAGAAAGAAUCAUUUACUAAAUAAAUAAAUUUUCACUACUAAAAUGUGUUAAUCAAGUGGUAUAAGACCCAGAUAAACCAAAAGGUCAAUAGGACAAUUUGUGAGCGCGACAUUUGUUGAAUAUCGCACUCCAAAAUGAUUAGUUCCUAAACCAAGAGGGUGAGGAUACCCUUUACUCUAUAAUCUUGAACUGUCUCAUAAAUAUAUCUAACUAUCACAUUAUCAUGUCAUAUAUAUUGCAUAAGGAUAUCUCAAUUCUCAACCAGGCAUUAGAAGCUAAAUUGUAAUAACAUAAAACUCAUAAGAUAAUAAGUAACAUAUAAAUAUGAAAGAACUAAGAGAUAGUAACAAUAACCUUAAAAGCACUAGACAUCCUUAGCAACAAGUUCACCAUUCAACAACUCUCUAUAAGCUGCAAUAGGCCAACUGAAACCCUUAAACAACAACCUAGAAGCAAGAGGAACAUCGAUAAUAAUCUCCUUCUGUGUUGGUUUCUUCUCAUCACGUAUCGCAAUCAAGUAGCUUCUACCAACCCAUCCAAUCCAACCUGCAAUAUAAAGAAACAAAACCCCAGGUGUAAUAAACUCACCCCAGUGUCUUUGAUCACCACUCACUAUCAAGUGUGGCAACCCAUCAGAACCACACAGCAACCCUUGCUUCCCAUAGUUCUGAAACCUUCUGUGAGUUUUCUCCACAGUGGCUUUGAUAGCCAAGGCUGGUGCACUAUCAGGAGCAUAGAGUUUCAAAGAAGACUCAAGCUUUUUGACCUGUUGUUUCUCUCUCUUAGCGAAUUGUUUGGAUUCUUUGCAUGGGGUGAGGCCUGAGAUAUCAGCUGAAGCAGGAAGUGGUGCAGAUAGGAGGAUGGUGGAGAGAGCUAAGGCUGCAGAAAAGGCCUUCAACUGUGACUCUGAAGAAGAAGUGUUGGUGGUUGGAGUGGUGGUGCUGCAGUGGAUGGUGGUGGUGAGUCUUGGUUUGAGGGUGGUGCCAGCAAUGAGUUUGGGGUUGAGAGUGGUGGGUUUGGAGAGGUUAGUGGGAAUAGUGAGAGACAUUGUUUGAUAUGAUUUGUGUGAAGGAAGAUGAAGAUGAAAAUGAAGAUAAUGAGAAGAGAAGAAUGGGAGUGGGUAAGUAAAGGAAAUGAGAAGAGAUAAAAGAUAAGGUGACAAGAGUUUGCAUGCUGAGUUGGAUCAUUCUUAUUGGUUUGUGGAUGUUAUUAGAUCACACUUUGUUUUGUGGAUGAAAUUAGAUCACACAUGAUUCUUAAAGGAACUGCUUCUUCUUUGAGUGACACCUGUACAUAAACUAAUGCCAGAUUAUGAUACAUGUGGACUAGCUAAUCUUACCAAUAAGUUCAAUAUAAAGCGUUGGGUUAGUGAUGUAAAAUCUCGUUGAAUCCCCAAUGUUGAAAAUUCAAUUCCUGGGAGUAGCACUUAUUGAGAGGACAAUCACGAACUACGAAAGUAAUUAAUUUAUCACCCAAAAAAGGUGAAGAAAUAUAUUUAGUAGUACGAAAAAAAUUGUUUAUUUGUAAUAUGUAUAUAUUAAUCAUAAUUUUAUAAAGUAAAAUUUCAAUUGGAGAUUGAGGCAUAGAAAUGUUGAAGUUGUUUUUCAUCAGGUCCUAAUCCUACUUAAAAUAAUGUAAAGUGCUUAAAAUGAGUUCUUGUGUUAAACAAGUAAAUAAAUAUAAUUUUAUUAUUAACUUAAGAGAUUAAUAUUUAAACAUGUUUAUGUAAAAAAUUAUAAAUAUAAUCCUUUAAACAUUUUUAACCCAAGUUUAACUUCUUUAACAAUGUUAACCUUUUAACAUAAACUUGGGCUAACCUCCAUGGUAAUUGUUGGGAACAUCCUUCAAUUGUUACUUCAAUUGUAAUAAUCAUUUGAUAUCAUGUUGCUCUAUGUCACAAGUUCAUCUUUCUAGGUUGUUCAAUAGAUAAUACUCAAAUGCUUCAUACAACACAAAACCAUCAUCAAUGGGUUACAACUUGAAGAAACAACCUCUUUAUUUGUGAGGUUAAAGCUGUGAAUGCAUUUGUGAAUUGUAACUCUCAAUAAAAAUCAUCAAUCAAAUAAAACAAGAUCAUCCAGUAUCAUGUUCCCAUGCAUUAACUAGCAUCAGCUUAUAAUGUCCCUACCAAAAUUGAAGCAUCUUGUUCCUUAGAUAAGAAAGAUACAAAGGCAAACAAGAUCAUCCAGUAUCAUGUUUCAGUAGAACCAAACUACAAAAUCAGGAUGCCGAAAAAACUAAAACAGGACAAUAGAAUGAUCACCUCAACCAUGACUUUCUCGAUAAAUGGAGUCGAUCCGCCUUUUCACCUCUGGUUGCCCCUCUAGCGGGCUUCCCGUUUUUCUCUUGCGAUUGUUCAACAAAGACGAAGCAUUAUCUAUCAUCUCCCCUUCUUCAUUGCCGGCAUCCACAUCUUUCAAUAACUGUCCCUUCAUGUUCACAGGAGUCACAUCUCCAAUUUCUGCACAAUCCUUGUUAUCAUCUGCAUCAUCCGGUUCAGACCAGCUUUGUUUUCCAUCCUUAUUUUUCUCAACCUCAAUGGCUAGCUCAAUUCCAUCUUCAAGCUCCCUCUCAAUGAGAUCAUCCUCGUCCAUUACAUCUUUCUUCAACGUCAUUUCCCCUCGCUCCUUCCUCCUUUUCUUCAAGGCAGCCUUCACUUUGUCUUUGUCAAUCAUCUUGAUUGCGUCUUUGGGUGAGUAAUUGAGCAGGCCUUCCCGAUGCUCCAAAUUUUGAUCUUGGUCUCCUGCGCUUGUUUGUUCAGUCACAGACUUAGAUCUAUUUGCCGCUUCUCCCGUGUUAUCUUUCUUAGGCAGCUGCUGCUCGGAGUUCUGACUAUCCCCAAUUUCUAAGUCAACCUUGUGAUCAGUGAUGUCACUGCCCAUUUCAGCACUCCCAUCAUUGAUUUGGUUUUCGGUUCCUCUUAAUGGUACCUCAACGUUUUCCUCAGAUGACUGUUUCGCGGCAGAAUGAGAUGAUAUUUGCUCCGAGGCUUGCUCCUCAUUCACAGCAGGAGCCUUUGCAUCAGCUUUUGUCCCUCCAGCAGUUCCUUCUAUUUCACUUCCUUGAGAUGGUGGAAUUUUAUUCUGCUCAUAGAGUUCCAACAUUUGAUUGCUAACUUCUGCAAGAAAUACAACCACAAGGAUUCAGAAGGAUACGCAGAAACUACUCUCUAAAGAAAAUGCCUAACAUUUCUUUUGCUUCAUCAAGAGUAACAUAUAAAUAAUGGCCACGGUAAUGCUUUCAUUGAGCGUGUUUGGUACAUAUUAAAUCUGUACGGACUCGGGUUUAUUAUGAUAUGUUUGGCAAACUUGAUUAAAUUAAAAAAGACAGUUCUUAUGAAAUAAAUAAAAAAAACAGUUUUUAGAGAAGCUGGAAGUUUCAAGCUUACUUUUAAAACAGCUAGAUUAUUUCGAAACCAGUCACAUUUUUUCUUCAUUUUACCACUACAAACCUAACUGCCAAACAAAUCUAAUAAUCUAUACAAAAACUUCACACCCUUUUUUUACAACACCAAAGUUAUGUUUAUACAAAUCCAAAGGAAACAUGUUAUCUUAAAAUCGUUUUUCAUCAAACAUACCUAAACAUAAAAGUGAAUUUAUUAUAAUUGAUUCGAUUAUUAAAUAAGAUUUUUUUGCAGAUAAUCCAAACACACUCUAGGUUAUUAAAAUACAAAGAAACAUGUUGUACAUAAACUAUCAUAAAUGCAUUAAGGCACAAGAAUAUAAAAGGUUACCCAGUUGGGUCAAUUUAUUUGCAUACAGCUGAAUUCAGCACCAACCUUCCAAUUGGCGUGGGGUGACAUCAAACUCUUGCCACCAAACCUUCUCGCCGUCUGAUGGAAGCUUCACUUUAAGGAAUUUGGCAGCAAGAAAAAUGGCACCAGCUGCAAUAUGAUGUGGUUUGAAUUGCAAAAAGAGAGAUGUCCUCAGCCUGAAAGCCACUUUCCAAAGUGCAAACAAACAUUAAUAAAAUGGAAUCAACAAAAUAAGAUUACAAAAAUGACAACUUAAUCAUACCCAUCAUUGACAAAGUUCCAUGCAACUUGAGCAAGUGCAUUUUUCGAGACAUUGAACUUCUUUAUGGCUUCAACAAGGGGCUUAUAGGGAUGUUGAAUAUUUAAGGCAAAACCCAAAGUGGCAAGUACGUCCCUCUCUCCAAGUAAAAUCAACUCUUUCUGCUGCUCAUAUACUUCCUGCAAUGAUUACGACCUUUCUUGAACAAAUUUUAAAAUAAUGUUAAGUAUAAAAGAAAAGAGCCAAAACAUGAAGAGAUACAGACAAUGGAGGCAAGUACAGUUGUACAAAGAAAGAACGUCAAAUAAAUUAUAUAUAAUUCCAGACAACCAAUUCUAUUUAGGUAGUGACUAGUAAUGAAACAUGUAAAUAAAAAAUGAUUAUCAUAAUUUACAAGCCAGUCAAACAUUUUAUAGGAACUCAAAAUUGAGGUCCCAUCCAUGUCUGAGCAAGCAUUAUAACCUAGCAGCAAUGUGAUUUCCGAAAAAUCCAGAAUGAGAAUGUAUGAAAUGAAAUAGUCAAAACACAGACAAUUAUAGAACACCUUCUGUUUUAUCCGGUGUGCAGCAGCAGUGUCCUUCUUGUGAAUGAUUUCAUAAGAAAUCAUAAUAACAUCCUUUAGUGGACGAGGAGUUUCUUCAACCUUCCCAGCCAGGAACAUACAGACAGUUGCGAUGGUCUGCAAAAGUUGUUCACCAAGUGAAGUAUAAGAUUUAAUUUUGUGCUACCUAUACGUCUGUCAUUCUCUUAAUUCAAAGUUGGGUCAGAACUUCAGUGUCUGACAUUAACUUGUAUCAUCUAUGAUCUGUAUGGUCGGCGACCACAAUUAAAAGGUUAAAUGGCUAAUGCACAAAUAUAUACAAAGAUGUAUAAUGAAUCACCUGGGCUACAACUACUGAACAAACAGUCGCAUAAUCUAAGAUUGCCAGUCUGUCACCAACCAAAACAUCUCACAACUGAAAGUGAUAGACCUAAAAUGACUUAUUUCCCGUCUAGAACUUGGUACAGAAAUAAUAUCACUGACAACUACAUUAUUAUUAUGUUAAAAAGGUAUUGAAGGUCUUGACCGAAACUUUGGUAAAAAAAGCAGCAGUUGAAAUUUGAAUACAAAAUAAGACAUAACUACAUAAGACAAUAAUUAAAUGGAAUAAAAAGUUGUAACAGAUAAAACAUUCAUAAAAAUCAAUCUACAAAGUUCAAAUUUAGAUGGCCGCUUCACCUUGAAUUAGAAAUGCCUCCUCUAAACUAAAAUUGGCUAUAGACUGACACGUCCUGAACCAGAAUUACUACACAGGUGAAAACUCACCAAAAGUGUUACAUAUUGUACAAGAGACAAAAGAAAUACUUGACUUUAAAUCCCUAUUAAAUGAAAACAGUGCCUACAAUCAGCAUAGGAAACAUUUAUAUAAAAGUUGGUAGUAAAUAAUUUCUAGAAUGUUCGGAAAAUUCUGUAGAAUGAAUGUGCUCCAAGGUCCAAAUAUUUUCAUCAUAAAAAGUAGCAGGUUAGGCAAACUUAAGAUAUAUAAACUCAGUCUUUGAAGGAAAAUUUACUAUAAGAAAAGGCAUAUAAUAAACAGCUAAAUAAUGUAGUAGGUCUAUAAAUUAACUCAUUUCUGAAAGUUCUGACUUCUGUGUAACAUUUCUCUUCCACGUUUAGUGUGGCUUUGUUUUAGACAUUAAUACCAUAUAAUUUGGGAGUGUUUAUAUUGCAAGCCAGAAGCCACUGGAAUGAAAACUUUCGUUAGUAUUCUUUUGUUGAAAAAGAAUAUUAACAGGCCAUUCAAAAUCAAGCAUGUGCCCUAAAGUUGAAAACAUCAACAUUACAGACAUAAACUAUCCAGCAAGAACUUGACAUGCAUGGCAAAUAUUGAAAAAUUCAAUUAAGUGUGUGUUUGGCAUGACGGUGUAGCUUAUUUGGUAGAGUAUAGCUCAUUGACUCAAUCAAUAAGUUUGUAAGCUGCUUAGUGAACCAUAAAUUAAAGAAGAUUAUAACUUUCGAAAAAGGAGAUUUUAGCUUUUUAAAGCUAGCUUCUCAAUAGCUAGCUCAAGUAGCUUUAAAAAACUAUAGGAACUUCCAAUGGUGAAGGUCUCAUUUUUGCCCAAUUGUUCUUCAACAAAUGACAUUUUUGCUCCCAACCUAAAACACUCUAACCUCUCCAUUAAAAUUAGAUAUAAUAAAAUUUGACUUUGCUCUUUUUUUAUUAUAACAAUACCCUAUACCCUCACAUAUGUUGUGACAUUUUUCCAAUAACUAAAUGGCAUUUAUUUAAUCUUGCAAGUGAAUGAGAACAUUUCAAAUUACGAGGGAUAAAAUCAUUAAUAUUCAAUUGCAUCGAACUCAUUCAUCGAUAAUAAUUAUUUAAUUGGUUGAUAAUAAAGAAAUAAAUUCAACGCACAAUAUUUAAUCAUAAUAUUACAUUAACAAGAUAUUACAUGUCUUUUUAAGUUAUUUAACAGAUUUGUUAGUUAUACAACUAGUUUUCCCCAGCAUGGCUAUAAGCUUUCAACUACCUUCACAAGCAUAAGACACAAUCUCACAACAAUAACCCACAAUCUGUAAGCUAUAAUCUAGUUUUACCAAAAGAGCCUAAUGGGAAAAGGACACAUACAGGACAAACCACCAUCAAGAUGGUGUUGAGAUGUUAGAUAACUUUACUUACUAGACAGGCCACUCACGAUAUCAAUUAUAAAGUGCAACAACCCACCCUUCGGUCGUUCUUUGCAUGAGAUUGUUGAAGAAAGAACCGAUGACAAAAGAUUAUGGCGGUUGCUAUAGUUAACUGGGGCCUGCAAGGGGCAAAGUUAUAACCAAUAUGUAAACAUCCAAAAGAAUUUCUACAACAAAUUUACAAGUUAACAAAAAAUGGACUCAAAAAGGUAAUUUCCAAAUGUGUUACUUUGGAUAAAAGGUAAAUGCCCAAUGUACUCUCCAAAUAUAAAAUUACCACAUGAAGAAAAUAAAAGAAAAGGGUAUGCAAUUGUUUCAUACAGAUAUAACUGCAUUAUUCAAUGAAGUUUCUCAGAAAACAUUCCUAUGAAAACUAUUUUCGUUUAUGAUAAAAAAGAAAUCUCUGUACUCAUUACAGAGAAAAGAGGUAGGUACAGCAAGGGUAGGAAAACAUAAUAACAUAUGCCCCAAAACAUUAAACUAGAUAUCAAAAUGAACCAGAAAAAGCUCAAGAAUUUGACAAGGCAGUCUAGUCUCCAUGCCUGUCUGAAAUAGAAACUCCUUUUGAGCAGACAUGUACACCAAAGAGGAGCCCUUGGAUGAUAACAAAUAAAUCAGCAAACAGAUGCCCUUAAAGAUGUGAGCAUUCUGCUCCAAGUCCAACUAGGUGCAUCAAAGGGUUUGGAAUUGGACAUAAGAUUUAGCCUCCUUGAUUUUACCGAAAACAUUAUAACAAAGAAAUGAAAACUCUGCCGAAGUCACAAGAGACACUGAGUACCACCUACCAAGAACCCAGAAUAGAUAAUUCUAAAGAAAAGCAUUUGCCUUAGAAUGCAAGAAUAAGUAACCUACUCUUUAUGAACCAGAUCUCACAUGAUAAACAUCUUUGGAGAGAGCACUGAGGCAUACAUGUCAAAAAAUUAGUCAUUUGUUUUAAUCCUCAUAGCAAUCCCAAAAAUACAAUAAGAAGUACUUGAAAUUAAUGUGAAAACAUGCAUGAUAACAUCAGUAGCAGCAAACUCACACUUUAAGUCUUAUUCCUAAAUCCUGUAAGAAUGUGCAGUAUGACUUGCGGUAAUAUGUCUCUUUCUUCCAGUCAAUACCAUCUUUUCUUGAUGGAGAAUUCUCCUGUAUUUCUUUCCUAGACAUGUACCAUGAUCCUAAGGAUUCAUCUUGUUUGUCUUUAGAACUUGCACAUGAGUUGUCAUCAGCUGCUCCAUGAUGCGACAACUCCCCAGUCACGAGUCCUGCCAUAUGCAUCACUUUACUGAUGCACCAAAUAAUUCCCUAGCACUUCUUUGACAUCAUGAAUCGGGAUGAUUCUGGAGGGUAAAAGAACAGAACUAAGUGAAUAGUAUAUAUUAGAAUUCUGACUAUUAUAACAGAACUGAAAUUAAAAUGCGCUAUAAUUAUAUAAUUGCUUUGUUCACAUACACAUACACAUGUAUUGACAAGGUCUGAUAAUUAUCCAAUAAUGUAAAAGCUAUUUAGAGCCUCUGAAUUAAUUAACUUACUAAAACCUUUUCCUUUAGUUUACAAGUGCAGGGCUAUAAAUCAGAAAAUAAGCCCUUGAUACUGUCUCAUUAAUGUCUUACACUUUUGGUAAUAAGUGGCUGUGCCAGUGUAGCUAAGUACAUCUUAAACACUUACAUACCUAAGGGUCUGUUUGCGAAUAGGGUUUUAGACGGAAAGGAAGGGAAAGAGAAGGCUUCAGAGUCAUCUCACAAGUGUAUUUCAUAGAUCUCAAGCCUUUCCCUUCCCUUCCCUCCAUUACCCUCCAAAAAGGAACUCACAAAUGGACCCUAUGUGUAACUAACAAUAAAUACAGUGCAGACACUGAAAACUAAAACUUGAAGACAAAUAAAUUUGCAACCUGGAAAGGAAUUUAUAUAAAAAGGCAAUGUUUUCAAAUGCUAAAUUGUCCAAAUCCAGAUCCCAUCUUAUGCGCCUUAAAACUCGUGCCAGACACAAUUAUACAUCAACCCAUCCAUCUACAACCCUGGUUAUUCACUAAAGCUUUGAGGUUCUAAAUCCAUUUUAUUCUCUCUAUAUUCAAAUAAGCCUUUGAAGACCACUUCUUUGUCUCAUUGAGUAACUCAGAUCAAGAACAUUCAUGGUAUGACAUACUUAUAAUCAUUAGUAACUAUUAUAACCCUAAAUACCAAAAAAAAAAAAAAAUUACACGACAUAAGAGUCCCAAAAGCUCCAUUAUAGUACCAAAUCCAAUUUUCUGUUCAUGAACCACCCAUAUAAGAAAAAUUCAAGCUUUCUCCUUAUUUAGUCCCAAACCUACAUUUAUAGUAAGAAAAAACACAGAAACUACCAGCGUUGAAGAAAACCCAGAAAUUUCUUUAAGCAAAGACGACAUUUUUAUGAUUAAAUCUCAUUUUACAAACCAUUAGGGCAUUAAAAUACAACAAAUUCAGUAUGUUCCGAAAAGGGUAUCAAUAAAUGGAUUGAAAAUAGUAAAAAUUGAAUUGAAGAUAGGAGAAGGAGAAAGAAAGGAAGGACUUACAGGAGUGUAGAGAAACCCUCGUCUUCAAUUUCUCUCUAUCGUUAGUUUUUGGCUUUGAUUGUGUUGUGCCCUCUUUGCAAAGAAAAAUUUUAAACUUUAAUUGGUAGAUCCUUCAAAUAUGUCAUAAUUAAACUUUAAUGUUCAAUCAUAUAUAAUUGAUUUACUUCAUCUUAUUAACGUAUACAAUUUAAAAAAAAUUAUAUAAUCAUUAUAUCAUUUAUUACUCAUUUUUAAUUAUUAUUUACUCUUAAAUAAAAAUAAUAUAAAUAAAUGAUAGAUAAUAUAUUUAAUAAAUUGAUUAUGUAUAUUUUUUCACACAGACAAUGCAUACACUCUAUUAUUAUUUACCUUGAAAAGUAUUUAAAUUUAUAAAUGGGUUCAUAAAAUUUAAAAACUGUAAUGAUGUUCUUGAACAUUAAAACCAUUUGUGGUUGAGAUUUUAACUUUCAACAUUUUGUAAUUUGUUAGUUUAUGAUAAUGAAGUCUAUGCAAUUAUCUAUUAUUUAUUAUAAAUAAGAUCAAUGUGUAUCCUAAUGGAUUACAUGAUUUUUUAUUCUUAUAUAUUAUAUAAUUAUUAGCGUGUCGAUAGAUACUUCAUAUUUGCGACCAUCAUUCUUAUUUUAUGAUAUUAAGUAUUAAAUUUGUAUUUUUUAUUUUAAAGAAUUAUAAUAUUUUUUAUUGGAUGUACUUCAUGUUAUAAUUUUUUUAUUUAUUAUAAUAUACAACUUAAAGUGAGAUAUAUUAAUUAUAAUUAUUUAAGAUUAUAUGGUUUUAUUUUAGAAAUAAAAAAUAUUAAGAGAAAAAUAAGAAAGUAUAUUCUUAUUAUAUGAUAUUAAUAAUUAUUGUGUAAGUUUGUAAUCUUAAAUUUUAUGAAUUUUCUUUCAAGUAACAAUAAAAUACCAUGUGAAAUAAAAAUUGAAGGACUAUCUGAUGAUUUUAAAGGUCAGGGAUCUGAGUAUAAAUUGAUUUAAAGAUUGGGGAGCCAGAUAUAAUUUCUUUUUAAAUCUACACACAUAUUUAAAAAAUCUAACACUCUUAGAGGGACUUAAGGAGUAACUUUACCAUUUUAUUAUUCAUCACCUUCAUUCAAUUAUGCAUAUUUAUUUCUCAAACAGGGAUUAUGAAAUGGAGUAUGUAUAUGUAAAACGGAAGCUCAUCUUUUAAAUUAAAAAUAUAUUUAAAUUAAAAAUUAAUUAUUAAGUAUUUUUUUAAUCAAAUAAAAGUAGACAAUAAAAUUUUAAAUUAUUCUAGCUUGAAGAAAAAACUCGUAAAAUAUUUAGCAAAUCUCUUGGGAUGAAAUUAGGAUUUUUUAUUUUUAUUUUUAUGGAUAAAAUGUGUUUUUAUGUAUUUUAUACCAACUUUGACUUUUCCUUCUUGUAUUGUCUUACUAGAUUAAAAAAUCAAAUAUUUAAUUUUUAUGAUUAACAUUUGAGAUGAAACCUAGGUAGACCAAAUAAAAUGAAGAUUUUGCCAUCGAUUAAAAUAAAAACUCCUUUAGCAUCAUAUGUUAGGAUAAAUAAGCACCUGGUCAAUGCAAAGUUCUACGUUGUAACUUGUUGAGAUGGUGCAAUAUAAGAAGAUCCCUAUCUAGAUUUUGUGAUGGCUGACUUUCAAUUAGACUAAUGAUUUUAAAAAUGUCAUAUAGUUUAUAUGUAUUGUAUCUAUAUUACUUAUAUUUAAGAAUAAAUAAUAAAAUUAGAGGAAAAAAUAUAUACAUAAUUUUUUAUACUGUCAUUAUAUUAUUUUCAAUUAUUAUUGAUUUUACAAAAAAAUAUAAUUUCAAAUAAAGGGUGGUUAAUGUAUUGACAGUGUAUAAUUUUUUAUAUUUUCGGUGCAUGAAUAUUCUACUAUAUGAUAGAUGUGAUAUGGGGAGGGAGUAAUGAAGGCUAAGUUUUGAUACUUAUUUUAGCCGUCAUCUUAAUUAUAGUUAUUUAAGUUUUGAAUGCAAAAUUUUCAAUGCACAUUUCACACCUUGGAAUAUUUAACAAUUACCACACUAACUAACAUUCCUCUUAUUUUAAACAACAUAGGCUUUUCACGAAGACCUUCGUAUAUAUUGAAACUAAAUUAGCAUUUUAAUUUUUGUAAAUAGGCACCAAUCUUAAUAUUUAUUUUAUUAUACAUAAAAUAAGCGUAUUGUAUUGGCAUAUUAUUACUUUAUUAGUAAAAUAUAUAUAAAUAUUGUAAAAAUUUAGUUACAUAUUUUAAAUAUAUACAACCUGUAGGUUAAAUCUUUUUUCUAAAAAAUAUAAGCCGUAAUCUUUAUAGUAAAAUAAACUUUUUUUUUAAUUGACAUUGAUAUUUCCUUGACAAAUUAAAGCUUUCACUCGAAAGAAGCAAGUUUUCCCGUGUCAACCAACUUCCUCAAGACCUAUAUUUUUCACAAGUUUUCUAAAAAAAUAUACAACAAUUCUCCCAUUAACCAAUGCCAUAUUUCCACUGAAUAAUGAUAAAUCAUCUUAUUAAAUCCCCUACUAAUUUUUUUACUCACAAGAAAGUAACACAUAUAACUUAUAAAUCAAUCAUUUAUAAAUAAAGUAUUAUCUGAUGACAUAUGUUAUUUUUUUGUAGAUAUAAAGAUUAGUAGAAGGGUAUAACGUUUUUUCAUUCCAACUCUUAGGGUCAUAGUCAAUGAAUUUGGAUUUAAAAAUAAUAUAUUAUCCUACGAUAAAAGUAAUAUAUAUCACGAAUUAAUUAAUUAUUUAAUAAUAAUUAAUUUAUAAGUAAUAUAUAUGACUGUUUCUAACAUAAUUUUAUAGGAUAACAUAUUAUUACUCAGUUCAAUAUUUAAAAUUUUCAAGGACAUUACGCACUCUUCGAUUCCUGAUUGAUUAUAAUACUCAAACAAGAGGAUGACAAAGUGGCAGAGCCAAUGCCAGUAAUGGUUACUCAUACUCAUAUCGGUACUAUUUGUGAGUAUUAUUGUGAGUAACAGGUAUGUACAUAUAUACUCAUUAAGUUUAAGUAUAUAUUUAUAUAUAUCAUAAUAAUCAAUAUAUAUAUAAAUAAUUAUUACAAGAAUAAUAAAAUUGAUGUACAUGUCAAAUUUAUCAUUAUAUUUUAAUCACUAAAAUUUAUUAUAAAAUAAUAAUAAAAAUAGAUAAUAUUUAAUUAUAAAUAAUAUAAAAUUUGAUAUAUGUUUAUACAUAAUAUUUAAUUAAAAAAUAAAUUUAUAAAUAGACUAUAUCUAUUGGGCGGGUAUCAUGAUACCAUUCUCACUCUUAAGCUAUUUUUGUGGUACUCACGAGACAAAUAUUUUUGUCAUCCCUACUCCAAAUUAUAAAUUUGCUUUCCUGACAUUACACGUUGCUGCCAAUUCUUUUCUUAGAUAAGUUUUUUAUUUUAAUGUACCAAUGUUAGUUAAAAACUAAUUCCAAAUCAAUUCAUUUUUAUAUGUGAAUAUACUUAAAAUUGACUUUUCUAUAUUAUACAAAUAACAUACAUUCAUCUUUGAGGAAAUUAAUCAUCUACAAACUAUAUUGAAUGUUGUUGGUUACUAAAGCUUUUUUCCAAAGUAAAAAGAAGUUUAUUACCAUAAGUAGGAAUCCUCCCACUCUCUAGGACUGGUUCAAGUAAAUAUGACAGUUUUUGAUAGCCCCUAACUAUUUAAUAAGUUUUUAGUCUCUGAAAAUAUUAAAAUGAGGGUUUAAAAAAAAUACAGUUUAAACAUGAGCUAAAAUUAAAGAAUACCAUUAUAGGACUAAUGUUUUAAAAUUGGAUGCAAUUUAGGUCACAAUAUUAUGGUUUUCAUAAUAUGUGUAAUUGUAUUAUGAUUGUAAUUGAACUAUAACAAACACAUUUUUUCUUAAUAGUGUGAACAUACACAAUAUAAAUACAACCAACUAAGAUUAAUAACUUAAGAUCAACCAUAAAUCUUAUUCAAACUUUUUUUAUGAGUAAGGAUUCGAGACAAGUGAUACACAAUAACAUAUAAAAGACGACAUAUAAUUACAUUUUUAUCAUUUUAUUCAUCAUGAAAUUACAUUUUUAUUAUUGGAAAUAUGAAUAGAAAUAAUUACUUGUCUCUCCAUUAAUAAUUGAGAAGAUAUUGUUCUUUUUGUACGCAUCUUAACAAUUACCUAAGAUUGUGUAAAACCCUAAAAUCAACACAUCUUUGGUAACCUUGUUGGCAGUUGACACCUUUGCAAAGACUUUUUCAUCCAUAUGAUUGUGUCAACACUCAAAACACAAGACUUUGAUUUUCAAACAAUAUUAAACAAAUAUUUGUUUACCGCAUAUAUAGCAGUCUUCAAUAUAUAACAAUUAUUGCACCAAUGCACCACCACUAUAUAUACAGAUAUACUGCUAGUUUUGUUUGUUCAGAAACUUGUAAGGAAUAGCUCAACAUAUAGUUAUGGACAAAACUUACUUUCUUUUCACUUUACUAUUCUCAUUUCACUAUUUCAUGGCAAUGGCUUCCUUAGAUAUAGACCAAUCUGCAUUACUAGCCUUUAAAUCUUAUAUAACUUUAGACCCUCAAAACAUAUUGGCCAAUAAUUGGUCUACUUCAUCCUCAAAGUGCAACUGGGUUGGGGUCACUUGUGAUGCCAACUUCAGUAGAGUCAUAACCCUAACUCUACCAAACAUGGGUUUAAAUGGUACAAUUCCUUCUAACUUGGGAAAUUUAUCUUCUCUUGUUGAACUUGACCUUCACAACAAUAGCUUUCAUGGAAUAGUUCCCAAUGAGUUGGCCUUGUUAUCUAGGUUGGAGAGUUUCAACUUAUGCAACAACAAUUUUGGUGGAGAAUUUCCAACAUGGGUGGGGGAGUUAUCUAAACUAGAGUUUCUGAGUCUAUGUAAUAACAGUUUUUCAGGUUCAAUUCCUGCAUCACUAUCCAACUUGGAAGGGCUAGAGAGAUUGGAUUUGAGCUUUAAUUCCAUUGAGGGGAGCAUUCCACCAGAGCUUGGAAGGCUUCCAAACUUGACUGUUUUGGAUUUGGCACACAAUGGGCUAUCUAGUGAUAUUCCUUCUUCAAUCUUCAAUAUUUCCACACUGCAAGUGGUUGAUUUGUCCUAUAAUUCCUUAUCAGGUAUCUUAUUCUAUCUUUACGAAGAAAAUUUUAGUUACUAGGUUCUAUAUGGUGUUCUUUUGUGGUUGAUCGGAUAGGUCGGACUGAAGGUUUAGGCAAGAAUUCUUUUAGUACCUGGGUGGAGGUUGACUUGGACCUGCCGAUGGAGGUACCUGAAAAGGCUCUCCGAUUGUCAAGUCAAUAUGAGUAUAUUGGUAGUAGGAAGUAGAGAAUAUAUCUUAGAGAAUAAUUAAUGAAGGAAUAUUAAUGAAUAGAGAUAUUUCCCGUUGGGGAUACUCCUAUUUAUAGUGGUUGAGAUGAAUGACGUGUAUUUGAGGAUACUGUUGCUCUAACCGACCAUUCUGGCAUGUCGGGAGCUAUUUUCCCAUAUCAGGCUCAUACUCUGUGCAUAGUUGACUUGUUGCUUGUGCCAGGUCUGGUAGCCACAUCUCAGAUUUGUCCUGGCCGUGUUGGCAGGAGGAGAGGUGGGAUAACAGAUGCUACAACGGUGUGUUGUUAGCAGCGUGUCAAGCAGAGAUGGUCCCAAACCCGACAUGGUGAGUCCGGUCAAUGAGUCUGUAAAGUCCGUUGACAUAGGCCUUGACCGGUUGAGAGGGAGGACCAUCCAAACAUAUUGGAUAUUCGGUUGAUCAGAAUGGAACAUUUGAAUUAAGAUGUAUGUAAUUACUAUUAUAGGCCAUGAGUAAGUAAACCAAGUUGUUGAUGAAUAUUUGAGUUUGGCUUAUUAAAUAUUCCAUUGUUUAGCUAAAGAAGGUUGAGUUUAGAGACGAGCUUGAUUAUUAAAAUGAGUCAAGCUUAAUCUGUAUAACCUUGACAUUAAGAGCAAGUGGAUAUCUUGCAUGACUUGCAUAUAUAUGUACUAUAAUUUUAUUUUGGAUAAAUGAGCUAGAUUGAGAAAUCUUGAAUGUUAAAAAAAUAUUUUGAUUUUAUAUUUUAUGAUUUUGUGAAAUAUGAAAUUAUAGGAAUGAUUUAGGAAGAAAUUAAAUUUUAUAAAAGAAAAAUUAUCAAUCCAUAACUAAGCUACAUAAGUCAAAUUUAAGCAUUAAAUUUUUAAAUAAGUCAAACUCAAACUUCACAUUUGAUUCCAUAAAUAAAUAAGUGAAUCUCAAAUAAGCUAUUUUCACCCAUCAAUCAUAAAAUUUAGCUCAUUAACACCUCUAGGUUCACCACUACAUAUUAUAUGUUUUUAGUGUGAAAAGCAAUAUUAUAAGUACUUAUAAGACAACACCUAAACUUUUCUGUAUUCUUUCAUAUAUCUUUAAUUUCUUUAAUUCUUAAUUGUAGAGAUAUGACUUACAUUUGUAUUAAUUUGAGGUGAUUAAUCUAAUCAACCUUAACUUUUUUCCUCUAAAUGGUAGGAAACAUUCCUCAAAAACUUGGAGAUUUGUCAGAGCUUAGAAGUAUAAAUUUGAGCAUAAAUAAACUUGAAGGCUCUAUACCAUUGUCAUUGUUCAACAUGUCAACUCUUGAAGAGAUUCAAUUCACUUACAAUAAUUUAUCUGGUUCUCUUCCAAUGGACUUGUGUAAUGGAGUUCCAAUGCUUGAAAUGCUUGACCUAUCUGGCAAUGCAUUUUCUGGUCUAUUUCCAUCAAAUUUGCUUCAAUGUAAACAGCUCAAAUAUUUGAAGGUUAUUGGUAAUAGAUUAAAUGGUAACAUAUCUAAUGAGAUUGGGAAAUUACCUAUGCUUCAGGUGUUGGAUCUUAGUAACAACAAUAUAACAGGUAUAUUAUUUCAUUAUUUUUUAUCAAUCUUUAUAUUUGAUUCAGUGUUAAUACAUCUUAUCUCAAUUUACACACAUGUUUUAAUCUGAAUAAUGGUCUAAUUAACUUGUAUUAUUUGUGUAUAGAAAAAACUUGGUUAGAAGAAAUAAAAAUGAUUUGAGUGAUGAGUAUGAAGCAUUUAGAAUGAAUUGAUAUUUAUAUUUAACUAUUUUGCAGGUGAAGUUCCAGCAUCUCUUUUCAACAUCUCCACUUUGAGAGUAAUUAAUCUAAGGGACAAUUUCUUUAUUGGUAAACUUCCACAAACAAUGUGUCAGAAUUCUCCCUUACUUCAACAGUUUAAUUUAACAAAUAAUAAAGUUGGAGGAAUCAUUCCAAAGUCUAUUAGCAACUGCACCUCAUUGAAAAGUUUACUAAUGGGAUUCAACUUUUUCACAGGUUUUCAUCUCAUAUUCCUUCUUAAUUUCAUUUAUGUAUUACUACUUUGCAGCAUUCAAAUCAAUGCUUUAUUUUAUUGUGACUAUUCUUUCAUUUUAUGGACAAUUAUGUCCAAUUAAACACUUAGAUGAAUUAUAUACAAAACGUUAUGAAAAUUCAAAGGAAAUAUGAAGAAAUUAAUAAAUUAAUUAAGAUUUGUUUUUUCAUAGUAAAGUUUAGCGCAACGAUAAGUUGUUGCCUAGUGACCCGAAGUUAUUGGAGAGUCUUAUACUUUUGGAUAACUAUCAUGACAUUUUAUACUCAAUGUAAAGUAUAAGUUGAGUAUAAAAUGAGUAGUAUAAAUCUUAAUUAUGCUAGUUUAUUACAUAGCUCAUUGAUGUCCAACAAUUUAAAUUUUGAUGCUUUAUUGCAGGUACCAUACCUUAUGAGCUUGGUGAGUACUUGAAAAACCUUGCUAUAUUGCAUUUGCAAAAUAACAACUUGAGAGGAUCUAUUCCAUCAAGUAUCUUCAACAUCUCAGGGUUACAAAGUCUGUCACUAUCAUAUAACCAACUCUCAGGAAAUCUUCCAAUUUAUCCAUAUCAUACCCUUUCCAAUCUCCAAUUCCUUUACCUUACAAACAAUUCUCUGAGUGGAGAAAUUCCUACUAGUCUUUUCAAUGCUUCAAUGCUUUCUAGCCUAUUACUUAUCAACAAUUCAUUCACAGGAGUUAUACCUGAUUCUAUAGGAAAUUUAAUAAACCUACAACAACUUGGACUAUUAGGAAACAAUUUGACUAGUGAUCCAGCUUCUUCAGAAAUUAGUUUCCUAACUUCAUUGACAAAGUGUAGGAAACUAAAAAGUCUUGUAUUAUCAUACAAUCCUCUAAAUGGAGUACUUCCAAGUUCUAUAGGAAAUCUCUCAAACUCAUUGCAAUCUUUUUUAGCAUGGAACUGUAAUCUCAAGGGUCAAAUUCCUUCACAGAUCAGAAAUUUAAAGAACUUGUUCGAUAUUAGUCUUCGCGACAAUCAACUCUUCGGACAAAUUCCUAGUACAGUUGGCUCUUUGUUGUUUCUCCAACGUUUGGAUCUUUCAGACAACAACCUUAAUGGCUCUAUCCCAGAUCAGAUUUGUCAACUAACAAAUUUGGCUGAGAUGUCUCUUAACAAUAACAAUAUUUUUGGGCUAGUGCCAGAAUGCUUGGGGGGUCUUACAAAACUGAGAAAACUUUAUUUGGAUAACAAUAACCUAAACUCUAUUAUACCUUCUACCCUUUGGAGCCUUAGUGACAUAUUGGAAGUGAGUUUAUCUUUUAAUGGUUUUAGUGGAUCUUUGCCAACUGAUAUAAGUGGCAUGAAAGCUGUGAUAAAAUUGGAUAUAUCAAAUAAUAAGCUUUCAGGGAAUAUUCCUAGUGAUAUUGGUGAUUUACAGAAAUUAAUAAACCUCUCAUUAGCAAAUAAUAUGUUACAAGGGCCUAUUCCUGAUUCAUUUGGCAGCAUGCUAAGUUUGGAAUAUUUGGACCUUUCCAACAAUACUUUAUCAGGCAUUAUCCCCAAGUCUCUAGAGAAACUUGUUUAUCUCCGAUUUAUCAACUUGUCUUAUAAUAGAUUAGAAGGAGAAAUUCCUUCUGGUGGUGAAUUUGCAAAUUUCACAGCUAAAUCAUUCAUGAUGAAUAGUGCACUCUGUGGUAGACCUGAUCUACAUGUUCCACCAUGUCCUAGAGGAGCAGAACAUGGCAAGAAAACCAAAAAGCUUGUGUUGAAGUUGGUUUUACCCUUAACUCUUUUUGGUGCACUUAUUGGUUUUGCAUUUCUCAUAAUACACAUGAGAAAAUAUAGUAAAGGGUCAAGUAUUGUUGUCUUACCAUCAUUCCGAUUUGCGAGUCGAAUUUCCUACUAUGAACUUUCGGAUGCAACUAAAAGUUUUGAUGAUAGCAAUCUUAUUGGUAAAGGGGGUAUUGGUUCUGUAUUCAGAGGUGUGCUUUCAAAUGGAAUGGUUGUUGCAGUUAAAGUCUUCAACUUGGAUGUGCAAGGGGCAUCAAGGAGUUUCGACAUAGAAUGUGAAGCAAUGCGCAAUCUUCGUCAUCGAAAUCUAGUAAAAGUCAUUACUAGCUGUUCAAAUGAAUUUGAUUUCAAAGCUCUAGUAAUUGAAUUUGUGCCAAAUGGUAGCUUGGAGAAGUGGUUGUAUUCUUAUAACUAUUUCAUUCCUUUUUUACAAAGGUUGAAUAUAAUGAUAGAUGUUGCAUCUGCUUUGGAUUAUCUUCAUUAUGGUAAUUCAAAACCAGUGGUGCACUGUGACUUGAAGCCAAGUAAUGUUUUGUUGGAUGAAGAUAUGGUUGCUCAUGUUUGUGACUUUGGCAUUGCUAAACUCUUAGAAGAAGGACAAUCUAGAGAACUUACCAACACCUUAGCAACUAUUGGUUACAUGGCUCCAGGUACUGAUUACGUAUAUUUGCUGUCCUUUAUUUUGAUUUCUUGUAUUAUAAUGUAGUAUAUGAAGUUUUUAGGCAAGGAUAUUUUUAGUGUGCAUGUAUAAUAUAUCAAUGGAAAUUGUGAUUGCAGAAUAUGGAUCAGAAGGUAUUGUGUCUAUUAAAGGAGAUGUGUAUAGCUAUGGUGUUAUGCUGAUGGAAGUGUUUACAAGAAAGAGGCCAACAGAUGAAAUGUUUAUAGAUGGACUAAGCUUAAGGUCAUGGAUUAAAGAUUCAUUAUUACUAAAUGAGAUCAUUCAUAUUGUUGAUCCUAACUUGAUGGAGGAAGAGGAAUUAUUUAUUCCUCCAAAGAAAGUAGCUUUAUUAAGUAUCAUGGAGUUGGCUUUCAAUUGUUCUUCAGAUUCACCAGCUGAGAGAAUGAACAUGAAGGAAGUCUUAGACAGCUUAAACAAAAUAAGAACCAUAUUUUUACAGAUUGUAUAACAAUAUUUAUGCUAAAAAGGUUGUGAACUAGUUAAUUAAUCACUGUGCUAAGGUUUAUUUUAUGCUAUAAGUAUGUUAUACUUUAUGUUAUUUUUCAGAUCAAUGUACUAAGGUUUAUUUUUGCUAUAUUUAUGAACCACCCAUAUAAGAAAAAUUCAAGCUUUCUCCUCGCUUAGUCCAGCCUACAUCUAUUGUAAGAAAAAACAAAAACUAACGGCCUAAAAGAACGUACAUUUCUUCAUUUUUUUUGUUCCUCCCAAAAUUCCAGUAAUUACAUAAUCAAAUUAUAUAUAUAAAUUUAAUUUACAAAUUAAUAAUUUAUCUUAACUAAUAUAUAAUUAAUCGUAAAUUACACAAUAUAUUUUGAGUUUAACUUAAUCAUACUUAUCACUAUUUUUUAAAUCAUUACACUUACUUAUAAUAUAUAUAAAUUAAGGUAAGAGUGAUUUAUACACUUAUAAAAAUUAAAAUAAUUUUUUUUAUAUAAUUUCAAUAAAAUGCAAAAAAAAUAAGUAUAAUUUACUUAAAUGUUUAAAGGUGAGAUGUAAUAUCUAUUAUAAUUUCUCAAGCAUACUGCUUUGAAUUAUAAAAACACAAAUCAUAUUAAGUGAUAUCGAAUAAACUAAAAUAUUUCAAAAUUUUAUAAAGAUAUUAGAAAGAACUAAUUUUGAUUGAUAUUUAAAAUGAUUUUAGGGUUUCUAAGUUCCAAGGAUUAAAUUGUUCCUUUAAAUCUGAUAGAAUAAGGGUUUAUUGUUUAGGAAAAAAAAGUGGAAUUAUAAUUGAAAAGUGGAUUAAUCUAGAAUCGAUUACAGGAUAAUGGCUUCAAAUCCAAGCAUGGUUGAUCUAACAAAGCAAGCCAGGAGCCAUGAAAUCGCCAUCGCUGAACUCGAAAACCUUCCUUCUUCCAGAGUAACUUUUAUUAAAUUUAUUUACUUUUCUCCUUUUUCCCUUUAUUUAUACUAAAUUACCAUUCACCCGUUCUUGUAUUGAAUUGUGGUUGCUAUGAUUGUAGUUAGGUUAGGUUUAACGCAAUUGCUUCAAUAUGUAUAAUUAGGGUUACAGCACAAGAUUCAUGAAUUACUUCUUAUUAUUAUUAUUAUAGGCUGUUUAUCAGAGAAAUGGGAACUUGUUUUUUCGUACAACUGUCUCAAAAGCAACUACAAUGGAGCAGAGUAAUGAUUCUUCAAUUUUCUUCUUUCUUUUAUAGUUAACAUAUGAAGUGCAGCAUUUUUGUUGUUGUUGAUAAAUUCUCCCAAUUUGUUGUGUUUGAUAGAGCAACUUGAUUCAGCUAAAGCUAAGAUGAAAAUUAUUCAAUGAUAAGGCUAUGAUGGUUGGGUAUUUUUGUCAGCAAUGGAGACUGAUGUGUCUACUUGGAGACUUCAUGUAAGAUUUGAUUUGAUGCUGUAAGUUAUGUAGAAUGCAUUCACUCCAAUGAUAUUGUUGUUAUAAACUAUCAAAUGAGCAUGUCUAUGUAUGGAUGAUGUUAUACAUCGGUGAAGUUUGUGUUAUGCAGUCGACAACCAAUGUAAAACUCAGUCUUUGAUAUGAAAUGAGUUGCUUAUUUUCAGUCCACUUAGUGAAGCUAUACUCCAUUUUCACUUGAGCAUAGUGUUCAAUGGGAAUUGAUCCUCUCAUGUGCUAUAGAGAAAAUGGACACAGGGUUGAAAUGCUGAGAAAAUUUAUUGAAGAAAUUUCUUUUUUGUUAUUUCUGUGUCAACCCAUUAGAGUGUAUAUAAGCAAUACAUACAUGUCUUUCACACCUUGGAGUGGUUAACCAACAUGUUCGACCACAUGCAGGCACAAAUUUGUAACUGCCUUUCACUUUGUACCUUGGACUGAUGAGCCCAGUCAUCAAAGACUGAGUUCGAUAUUGCCAUUCCUAUUAGUAAAGAAGCAAGUGAAAUGGCCACCAUAACUAUUUGCCCUCUUUUAAUGUAUUGCCGGGUGUUUUAUAGUUGAGUGCAAAUUGGAGAGCCUUUUUGUAUUGCCCACACUUCCUCAAAAUAACAUUAGAAGCCUCCAAGAGUAGUAGAGCAGCCUGAUGUAUGAGGCUUCCACUUAGUGGGAUCUUAGGAGGGUAUAUGUAUAUAGUCUUACCAUCACAAACGAAGAUAGACCGUUUCCAAUAUUUGAACUCAUAAUACAAACCACAGGUCAAAUAACUUUACCACUGUGUUGAGGCUAACUCUUAAGCCUCCAAGAGUUGUAACACACCAAAUACCCCACCCCAUUUAAAAUAAGCACACCAAAUACCCACCCCAUUUAAAAUAAGCACCGCCAGCAUUAAGCUUCAUUUCUUCUAAAGUAGAGUAUCUCAUAGGACUCAAUGCAUAUGAAGGAGGAAGGACUCAAGCCUGGAUGAUCUUAUUGCUGCAUCACAGUGCAGCAAUCUCACCGAUUUGCACAACUAGAGCCCCCACCACCAUAACAACUUCAGUGACUUGUAGACCCUUGCAAUUAGUCAUGGCUUAUGAUUAACCCGAAUUAGAUUUUUACUUAGUGCAUGUAGAUAAACCCAUGUAUAGCAGUUUUGGUGUCAAUGAGAAUUGUUUUUCAGUCACAACUUCCAUAUGGGGUCAAACAGAGAGGCAAUGUCUCAAACAGGAUUGUGCUCAUAGGAAAAUUCCUCCAAUGUCCUAUUCUUAUCACAUAUGACAUUAGUACAGAACAUAUUAAAUAUAUAUAUGAAUCUUGAAAAGCCAAAAUCUCAACCAAUUCCAUAGAUUUUCUUCAUUUGAUAGAACAAGAUUAGAAACCAAAAAGUGGUAGCUUCCUAUACUGUGUAUGACCACAUGACAAUCCCACAUAUAUGCAAUAAUAAUGUGGCACUAUCAUUGUCGCAGUACCAAAAUGCUAAUAAUCACCACUUUACUCUUUGAUCACAACGUGGGCAAUAAUGCACCAUGGAAUGACACGAAUCAAAUGUGAUUGUGUCCCUGUUGAACAUGGUUACCUAACGCAGUAGAAAUAUAAUAAAUGAAUGUGUUAAUGCAUGAACAUUAUGAAGUAGGUACAGUAAUGAAGUUCCUCAAGGCACAAAACCAUGCUUGAAAUAAGCUUUCACUUGAAACCCAAAUAGAAAUACUUUCACAAAAUUGGCAAGGUAGAUAAGAUCAAAAUCAGAAAUUAUGGUGUAAACUUUCAGCAAAAUAAAGCUAUUGUUUUUGUAGGUCAAUGGAAAAAUAUACAUUCACGAAUGAAGUAAACAAAUGUACCUAUCUAAAAGUGAUUGAUCAACGUGGAGGUGAAUUGUGCUCCAAGACAACCUCUACCAUUUGGACUAGAGAAUAGAAAGUUAAUCUUAUCACUAUGUUACUACAGGUCAAAGACAAAAGUAAAGUAUUUUUCUUUGAAUGUUUUCACUUUUUACUUAAACCAAUAAAAAGAAGACAAAUAGUUUCAUGUUUUUUCGGUACCACGAAAAAUAUUUUUUUUAGGUAAGGAACUAAUUCAUUUUAGGUUUGUGAAUGUCCAUCUUAACGAGUGUCGUUCCCAAAACACUUGUGAUGUAGCUAUGUUUAAUAUUUUCAACAUUGCUUAACCUUCAAACAAGAAUACAAGGUAAAUAUUUGAGUACCCUUCCAAAAUCUAUUUGAUAUUCUAAAAUAAGAAUGAUAUUUUUUUAAUCUAUUAAUCAAGUAUAUGAAGAACCAAGCAAAGCCUGAUAGAAUAUUUGACUCAACUUAACCAUGAUAUCAUCCUGACAUCAAUGAUUGAGAUAGCAUGUCAGCAAAUAAUAUUUUUACUGUAGCCAUGCAUCAAUAAUUAAGGUAUUAUGUCAGCAAAUAUUAACCUAUAUAGUAUAUAUCCAACUUGCUAGAAUGCUAGUAUGCAAUGUUCCCAUAUUUAAUAGAAAACAAGUUAUGCAUAAAACAUUUAAAAACACACAAAAUGAGUAAUUUAUCACACUUAAUAAAAAGUAUUUUAACAUAUUUAAUAUUUUUUUGUAUUAUCAAUGAUAUUAUCUUACUCUUUUUGUAAUGAACUAAUACCUUUUGUGGAUGUGGUUGUCUCUUCUAAUAAGUGUCGCUACCAAAAAUUAAAUAUUUGACAUUUUAGCAUGAUUAUCUGGUCGCUUGCAUUCCAAGAGUGUUAGCUAAUUAAAAGUGGUGGUAGGUUAUGGUGAUUGUUAUGAUAGUUAUGUUGUGGAAUACCCAGUCAAAGGGGAAAAAACAAGUAUUAACUACGAUAGUAAAAUUAAAGAUGCUUUGAAAGAUAUGAUUUAAUUAAUAAUUUGAUAAAAUAUCGCUUAAUAUGAUGUUUUGGAUCAUUGUCUUUUACAAAUGAAUAAUUGUGUGCCAGCACUUGGUAAAGAUGGUUGAGAUUUCUUAUGUAAUAAAUACCUUGAUAUAAAUAUACCCAUAAUAUCAAGAUACGAGUCUCUUUAGUUUAAGUAACUCAAAAAAUGUUCCUUUGGAUAAUUUAAAGAGUGUAAAUAUAUGUCACUAUAUCAAUUUAUUUUUAUUUUUAAUCUUAUUAACUUUUAAUUUAAAGUAAUGCAAAUGAAUAGUGAAUAUUGUAUUGAUCGUGUAUAAAUUUUUACACUAUCAAUAUAUAAUUAUUAUACUCUAUCUACCAUUCUAUCCACCUGUGUAAAUAUUUAUCCAUAUUUGCCAAAAUAUGUAAUCUAUAUCUGUAUAAACAUUUAUACACUUAAUAAGUUAUCUACCAUUCUAUCCACCUAACUAAUGAAAUGAAACACACCGUCCAUUCCAUUCCCUCUUGUUUAAUUAAUACAUAAAAACAAUGUGAAAUGUGUGAUGAAAUAUAGAAACCAAAUCUUUGAAUAAGUGUAUACAUAUUAAAUUUUAAUAGAGUUUGAAAUGUACCGUAUCGUUAACAUAAAAUAGAUUACAUUGUCAACUUAUCAUUCACUAUUUAUUCGUAUUACUUUUGUUUGAAAGUCAAUACUAAUUAACAUAUAAAUUAUGAAUGAUUUACUAUAGUGAAAAAACACUUAAAUUGUUAGUAUAAUUACAUAUUAAAUCCGUCAUAAUAUAUAAAUAUGAGUACUUUCAUAAAUUAUAUUACUACAUGUACUUAUAUCACCUAUGAUUUAUUAUAAAAAUAAUUAAUUUUUAAUUUUAAAAGUAAAAAUAUUUUUUCUAACUAAUUAUAUAAAUUACACAAUUUGUAGGGACAUAUGCUUUCCCAUAAAUAUGACUUUUUCUUCAACGAGGCAAGAGCCUUUGGUAGUGUUUGAGUAGUGACGUCAGUGUUAACGUAAGCCAACCCCAGCUUCGGACGCUGACGUCAUCUCUGUCGUCAUCCAAACUACUUCAUCUACAUUACAUUCAUGUUCUCUCUCUCUUCUGUGACAACGAUAAACGAAGCUUCCUUUCGCAAAUUUUUAACCUUUGACUUCUAAGUCUUCUCUGUAAUUUCCCUUAGAUUCUCUUUCUCUUUUCGUUUUCUGGGUCGAUCAAAGUUCAAACCUUUUUCUCAUUUCCAUAGAUCUAAUACCAAAAGUUUUUACUUUCUCCUACUGGGUCGGCUUCCCCCUUUCUUAAAUUCCUUAUCAGUUUUGGGUUUUCUUUGAUUAUGCUGCUUUGGUGGCUCUGGAAAUUCAAACAAAUCGCUUCUUAAUCUUUCUUGUUGUUGUUGUAGUAGUUUUGAUGUGUUCAAAUUUUUGCAGAUAUAUCAUUUUUUCUGUUCCAUAGGGUGAUUUAAGAUUUAUAUUGAAAGUUUGACUCUUUCUUAGAUGUCAUGUAUUUGAUUACAUAAUAUUUAUCAGUGUUUAUCAUUCAUAGUUUCUAUUUAUAGGUUGCUUCUGCUUUUUUUUCCUUUUUGGUCUUUGCUUCAAUUAGUCAUUAGAAAAGUUAUUGGAAUUCAAUCUGUGAGGGAACAUUGAAGUGUGAUGUUUUUGAAUAUGUUCUACCUUUCUAGAAUCAAUUAGGUUCUCAAGUGUAUUUAAUGGCUCAUUCAGCUGAACCUUCAUCAUCUUUAAGCUUUACAUCAUCUUUAUCGAAUGGUUCAGUCAACCACAACAUGUGUACUUCUUAUGGCACUGAUCCUGGUCUUAACCUUGAUGUCAUAAGUUUGAGUAAGCUUAGCUCUAAUUUGGAGCAGCUUUUGGUUGAAUCUGAUUCUGAUUAUAGUGAUGCUGACAUCGUAGUUGAAGGAAUUUCGGUCGGUGUUCAUCGAUGUAUCCUGGCCUCUAGGAGUAAGUUUUUCAAUGAAUUAUUCAAGAAAGAGAAAAACUCAUCAGAAAAAGAAGGGAAGUUGAAGUAUUUCAUGAGUGAUAUGUUGCCUUAUGGUAAGGUUGGAUAUGAAGCCUUCAACAUAUUUCUAGGCUAUGUAUAUACCGGAAAAAUAAAGCCCUCUCCGACCGAGGUAUCUACUUGUGUUGACAAUGUGUGUCUUCAUGAUUCCUGUAGACCUGCAAUUAACUUUGCUGUGGAAUUGAUGUAUGCAUCAUCUAUUUUUCAAAUACCGGAGUUGGUAUCACUUUUCCAGGUAAAGAUUCUAUUUUCGUCAUUUAAUUAAGUCCAUUCCUAGUUACUUGGUCCUUUUUAGAAAUAUUUGAUAUCUAUAUUCUCUAAUAAUGAUUUUCCUGUAUGUCCAUUCUGCAUUAGAAAGGGGGAAUAAGGAAAUUUCUGGUGGCACACAUUAAUGCCAAGAAAGAAAUUGUGGAUGAUGAAGUUGAGGGAUUUCAUUUUAAUUAGGAUUAAUUGUUAAUUCAACCAAACUUUUACAUCAGUUGAUUCUAAAGGAGUCUGAAAUUGAGCUUUAUGAUUAGUGUACCAUAUAUGUUGCUUUAUUUAGCGUCAUUCCUCGUACAGAUUUCGUGCCUAGGCACUAGGUAUUGACCUUAGCUCCAUAGUAGCUUUAUCGAAGUAUUGACUACUGAAUACAAUGGACUCUAUUUGAUGUGCUAAUCCUUGUAAAAAGUACAUUUAGAUUAACUUUGCAUGUAAGUUACUACCAAUAUUGUGUCUGAUCAAGCUUGAGGGUCAAGAAACUACUUAAUACUUUAAUUUGUGCAGAGACGUCUUCUUAACUUUAUAGGAAGGGCACUUGUGGAAGAUGUUAUACCAAUUCUCAUGGUUGCUUUCCAUUGUCAAUUGAGUCAACUUGUCACUCAAUGUGUUGACAGGGUCGCACGAUCAGACCUAGACUGGAUCUCUAUUCAGAAAGAGCUUCCGUUUGAGCUAUCAGAAAAUGUUAAAUUGCUUCGCAACCCUAAGAAAGAUGUUGAAAAUGAUGAUCCUCCUGUAGUGGACACUAUAUCUCUAAAACGAAUCGUUAGAAUACACAAGGCAUUAGACUCAGAUGAUGUUGAGCUUGUUAAACUUCUUUUGAAUGAGUCAGAAAUUACUUUAGAUGGAGCCAAUGCUCUCCAUUAUGCUGCAGCCUACUGUGAUCCGAAGGUUGUUUCUGAGGUACUUAGUUUGGGUCUGGCUGAUGUCAAUCUUCGGAAUUCUCGGGGAUACACGGUUCUUCACAUUGCUGCCAUGCGUAAGGAGCCUUCCAUUAUAGUAUCACUUCUUACAAAAGGAGCUUUUGCAUCAGAUUUGACAUUUGAUGGUCAGAGUGCUGUUAGUAUUUGCAAAAGGUUGACAAGGCCAAAGGAUUAUCAUGCAAAAACAGAACAGGGGAAAGAAACAAACAAAGAUCGGAUAUGCAUCGAUGUCCUUGAAAGAGAAAUGCGAAGGAAUCCAUUGGCUGGGGAUGCCUCUAUAUCUUCCCACACAAUGGCCGAUGAUAUCCACAUGAAGCUACUAUACCUCGAGAACAGGGGUAUGGGAAAUGGAUGAUAAUCUUUAGCUCUUUGCUUGUCUUUUAUACAUCAUCCUCAUGGAUUGUGCAUCCAAGUUUUAGAAUGCUUUGAUUUCAUACCUUGAAGUGAAAAUUCCGAAAACUAAUGUACUUUAACAACCGGAGAUAAUUUUCAUAUACUUGCUCUGAUUUAUAUUCUUCUUUUCUUUCUUUCUACAUACCUUUUUGUUAUUUAUUUUCCAUUUAAUUUGUUGAUAAUUAGGAACGUGGAUACUUUUUUGAGGAAAAUCUAUUGUUCAUAACUGAUUUUACUUUGUUCAUGGGAUACUUAUACUCAAACCAUCAAAUAAGAAGUAAUACUUACUGCCUAUUGCAGUGGCAUUUGCGAGACUAUUGUUCCCUUCGGAAGCCAAACUAGCCAUGGACAUCGCACAUGCUGAGACAACAUCGGAGUUUGCUGGUAUUUCUGCACCUAAAGGUUCAAAUGGAAGCAUCAGGGAGGUUGAUCUCAAUGAGACUCCCAUAAUGCAAAACAAAAGACUUCUUUCCAGGAUGGAAGCCCUAAUGAAAACAGGUAAUUCCAGCCUUUAUAUUGUCUGUUCCGAAGGUAAUUACUUGGAUACAAAGUCUUAUGUAUUUUCUCUUUCCCUUCUUCCUCGGUGAAGCUAUCAAUUGUUUACCUUACCUUUAAAGGGAAUCUCAUGGUCACUUUUUAUCUUUAUGCUUCUCAUUUAUAAAAAAUCAUUGUUGUCCUUAGUAAAAAUAGAAAAACCGUGAAGAUUAUUUAACAUGGAAAACUGCAUAAAGCAUGCAAGCGUGCGUAGUGUAAUGGCGUACUUCACUCUUUAAAUUGAUCAAGUGUCUAUUCCUUACAAAACAAAGUGUCACGUUUUCUCUUUGGUUCCAUCCUUUUAGUUGAGUCAAAAUAUAAAAUAUACCAUGUUCUAUUUUAUGUCUACCAAACACGACCUAAGGAAAAUGACCAAUGUUAUGUUACUGUUAGAAGUUUAGAUUAUACUGGAUCCUACAUCUUACAGAUGCAUAAUCCUUAAAAUUAUUUUGUUAGAAGUUUAUUUUCCUCUUGUUACUCAAGUAGUUUGUGUUUUAUUACAUUUCUGACACCAACCAUCUUCGGUUCUUAUGGUUGUUGUGAUGGUGGCAGUGGAGAUGGGACGACGCUAUUUUCCUCAUUGCUCGGAAGUGUUAGACAAGUUCAUGGAAGAUGACCUGCUUGAUUUGUUUUACCUCGAGAAGGGAACCCGAGAAGAGCAAGGAGUGAAGAGGAAGCGUUUCAUGGAGCUCAAAGAUGAUGUCUACAAGGCUUUCACCAAGGACAAGGCUGGGUUUAGCCGCACCGGCAUUUCAACUUCAUCAUCCUCUUCAUCUCUCAGAGAUUCUGUACAUUACAAAGCUAGGAAAGUGUGAAAAAGCAUAGUUUCUCUAUGACUUGCAUACACAUAUAUAGUGCAAAUUUGAAAUGGUGAUAUAGCCACCAUUUCUUAUGUAUCUGAAAACACAAAGUGGGAAGGUUGAUCUCUUACUAUCUUUUUUGUAAUCAACUUGUGCAAGUAUUUUGAAAAUAAUCUCCUCUCCCCUUUACAAUACAGAUUAUUUAAGAAAUUACAUGGAGUCAUUUUUUUGUACUGCUAUUUCAUAUGCAUCUUGACUUUUCCCUUAACAUAAGGAUGAUAUUUUUUUGGGUAUAGUCUUAGCUAUAAGAUAUUAAUAAUUUAAAAUUUGUUAUAGUAAAUCAUUGUCAUAAAAUUACUGUUUUGUUGUACUUAAUUCCAUAUAUCAACUAUUGCUUUAUUACCUAUUUAGUGCUACCCUUGAUUCAUUACUUAAAAAAUUGAAUAGCUGAUAUUAAAAGGUGACAAAUAUAAAAUGAUAAUUUUACCUUUGUUGUCUUGCCCCAUUCCAAUCUCAUGUAUUGUUUCUUUGACAGCAUAUAUGUCUGGUCAUGGCCAGAAUGAUUAAUGAGUUAAAUUUAAGAUGGUUUUGAAUAGAUAAAUUGUUGAUUAAGGAGUUAAAAUUGAAUCAACAUUAAAGAUAAGCAUGAACUUAUUUUCUCAUGUAAUACACUAGAGUGAGUAUAGAAAAAUAUGCAUAGGAAGAAUGAUUAUAAAGAGAGACAGAAAAAGAUCAUUGUCAUGAGUUAUUCUUCCUUUUUAUAAAGGGAGUCUUUUGCUACCAAGUUAGUCAUAAGUGCUAUUUGAUCUUACAAGUAUUUUAUAAACAUUUGAGGAUAUGUGUAGGGAGUAGGGAAAUCUUCAAAUGAUAUAGAAAUUUUAAAGCAUUAUAACGUUGUUCGAUCGAAAACUAAAAACGCAACUAUCGAAAACUUGUUUCUAAUUUGUUUGUUGGAAAUAGAAGAAUUAACAACAACAUUAAACUUAUUUCUUAUAUAGACCCAUGAUUCCUUAAAGUACAUAAAUUCCUAACUGAUAAUGCUAACUACCUAAAAAUCAGGAAUGAAUGAUCUCAUAAUAAAAAAAAUUUUAAAAAAUCAUAAAAUUGUAGAAAAGACAGAUUAAAUUCCAAUAUUGAGUUGUAUUCUUAACACAUAUUCACUGUUCACCAUAUCCAACACUUUCUUUGUCUUUAUUGCAGUGCCCUCUAUGUUAUCUUACUGGUUUUGAGUUUCUAAUAAUGUUAUUGAGUCUCUUCUUGCUUCUUCAAACUUCACACUUUCAAAUCAAAUCUCAUUCACCAACAAAUGUCUUCCUUUGAAGAACUUCCUCAAUCACAAGAUAAAAAACCACUUUCUUCAUAUAUAUGCCAUGAUCCAAAAAGCCUUGGUUCCUCAAGGAACAAGGUAGAGAAAGACAAAAAUGGUUCUUCUUCAUCUCAAUUCAAAAGGGUUGCUUUAUCUUCAGAAAGAUCAAAUUCUAAGUCAUUGGUGUCAGCAGAUUCAAGAACUUUUGCAGGACCCCUUAUGGAUGAAGUUGCUAUUAAAGCAGUGAUUGCUAUUCUUAGUGGUUAUGUUGGAAGAUAUGUAAAAGAUGAACAUUUCAGGGGAACAAUCAGAGAGAAGUGUAAUUCUGUGUUGGAGAGAAGAAUAAAGGACUCAAGUGAUGAUGAGUUUUUUGUGAACAUGGAACUUGGUAUGGAAAAAGUUGAUAGAUUAGUAGAAGAUCAAGGGACUAAGAAACAUGCCAAAAAUUUGAGAAACUCCAUUGAGAUUUUAACCAUUGUUGCAUCUUUGAAUUCUAAAACUUCCAAGGAUGCUUCAACUUGGGGUGUAUCUUAUUCCAAUCUUUCUGCUUGUGCUGAAUUGUAUUUGGCAAUAGCUUACAAGCUGCAGAAAAAUGAAAGAGUUUCAUCUAAGCAUUUACUUCAAGUGUUUGGUGAUUCUCCAUGUUUGGCUAGAACCUAUUUGCUACCUGAUCUUUGGGAGCAUUUUUUUCUUCCACAUCUUCUCCAUCUCAAAAUCUGGUAUAACAAGGAGCUUGAGUUCCUAUCAAAUGAAGAACAUGGUGUGAAGAAAAAGAAAAUGAAGGUUUUAAGCAAAGUAUACAAUGAAAAAAUGGAUACUGGAACUACUUUGUUUGCUUUGUACUACAAGCAAUGGCUUAAAGUUGGGGCUAGUGAGCCUCCUUUUCCUAUUGUUUCCUUGCCAUCAAGACCAAGUUAUGGAUCAUCGAGAAGAAGGUCUUCCGAUUCGUCCAUUUCAAAUUCCUCCAUCAACCCAAACUUGUAAGUAACAUGGACAUCUUACAUACAUAGCUGCAUACACCACAAUAACCAUCUUUUUACAAGAAACACUUGUAUUUAUAUCUAUUAGUUAUGUGCUUUAUGUUUUGGUUCCCUGCAAUAGAUACAAAGCAGUGUUUGGCCCCCAAAUAGAGCAGAAAUCUUCUGGUCUUGGUGAACAGAAUGGAGUGUUGACAAUUAGUACAUGCUCGGCGACUGAUGAAAAACUGUGUGGAGAUGAAUAUAAUUGCAAUUCUAUUAAGGUUAGUUUUAGUUCCUUCAUUUCAUAUAUAUGUAAGUCUUCUGAUUAAACUAUAGUAUUGCAGUUCAGCAACAUAACCUCCUUUCUAACAAUUCACAGAAAGAAGACAAUAUGUAUCCUGGAAGAUGUUUAAGCCAAAUUGACAAGAGUCAUGCUCGAUUAUCGCCUGAGUCACAGAAAUUGGACUAUUUGCAGUGGUUUUCUUGCAGGGCCAUACCAACAGAAUGCUUCGCGAACAGCAACUAUAGAUCGAAGAAUGCUUUGGUUAGACAAGAAACCAGUGUUUUCUCAAGUGAUUUUGUUGGAGCUAUUAGAACUUUAUGUUCAUCGGAUAUUCUAAGAGAAUGCGAGUUCGCGAUUCGUGUGAUUACCAAAGCUUUGUUGAACUCUCCUGGUGAUCCUCUCAUUGAAGAAGCACUGACACAAACUACCGUAAUUGAAGCUAUUAUAGAGGUGUUAUUUGCCUCAACUGAAGAUGAUAUUCUAGAAUUGAUUAUAUCAAUUUUAGCAGAAUUAAUCGGAAGGAAUAAUGCAAUUGGUGAAAUUCUACUGAACUCUGAUCCUCAACUAGAAAUAUUUGUGAGACUUCUAAGAAGUAGUAGUCUGUUUCUGAAAGCUGCAGUUCUGCUGUAUCUAUCAAAGCCACAGGCAAAACAGAUGUUAUCAUCAGAAUGGGUACCACUAGUACUUCGAGUGUUGGAAUUCGGAGACAAAUUGCAGACCCUAUUCACAGUACAAUGCAGUCCUCAAGUGGCCGCAUAUUACUUUUUGGACCAACUUCUUACUGGUUUCGAUGAAGAUAAGAAUUUAGAGAACGCUAGGCAAGUUCUUUCACUCGGGGGAUUGACCCUGCUAAUGAGAAGAAUUGAAGAAGGAAAGUUUAAUGAGAAAUAUAAUGCUUCUUUUAUAGUUUUGUGUUGCAUUCAAGCCGAAGGAAGCUGUAGAAGUUUUUUAGCUGAUAAUAUAAAUAAGACUUCUUUGUUGGAACUCAUUGUUCUUGGAAAUAAACAAAAUUCCAGUGGCUAUGCCUUUUCUGUCCUAGUUGAGUUGCUCUUUCUUGAUAGGUAUGCAUUUCUUGCUUAUCUGUCCAGAUAUCUUUCGCCCUUUUUUCCUCGUUUACCUUUUGUUUUUCUAACAGAAAAACACUAAUAGUCUUUUGAAAUCAUGCCAGAAGAACCAAGAUUUUAAAUUUCUUAAGAGGGAUUAAAGACGGAUGGACUGGCUUAAACAUAAUGCACAUUUUCUUCGUUUACCUUCAGAAGGCUCCAUCCGAAGAACGCCCUUUCGUUGCAGUGAUAUUAUUGCUGCUUGAUCAUAUGGUAAUUCUUUCAACUAACUAGUGAUCAUAUGCAACAAUUGGUUUAUAUUCAGUGAUCCAAGUUAUAUUACAUUCUACAUGAAAUUGAUUUUAAUAUCUAGAAGAGUUCACAAUGGAAUGAAUAGCAGUUGUGUUGCAGGAAGAUCCUAUCAAGGGAAGUUUAUAUAGAGAAGAAGCAAUUGAUGCAAUUGUAGCUACUUUAAAUAAUCAAAUAUCUAAUGAUAGAGUUCAAGAGCAAUCAGCCAAAGCUCUACUCUUAUUAGGAGGCCACUUUUCUUGCAGAGGAGAAUCAUUAAUGGAAAAAUGGCUUUUACAACAAGCCGGUUUUCGAGAAAUUUCCUUAGAAGAUUCAUUUCCCGGCAACGAAAGUAUUGUUCAUGAUUCACUUUUCAAUGUAAGCCUUAGCUAAUAACUAUGAUUAUCUUUUAUGUCAUGUUUAAAUUACCUUUCUUUACUUCUCACACAAGUCACAAGUCACAAGUAGAACAUGCUUCUAGUACUACUACUAGUGGUACCUUUUUUAAGCCCUUUUGAAAUGAUUGAUUUUCCCUACGUGUCACUGAUUAGACUAAAGAUGAAGAAGAUGAAAGUUGGCAAAAAAGAGCAGCUUGUAUCUUAUUCAAAAGUGGAAACAAGAAUUUUCUGUCAGCACUUGCAGAUUCAAUAGCCAAUGGCAUUCCGUGUUUAGCGCGUGCAAGCCUCGUAACUAUUUCAUGGAUGAGCAACUACCUCCACUUAGUUGAAGGUAGAAAGUUGCCACAAAUGGCUUUUUCAAUCUUGAGGCCACAGUUGCUACAAUCAUUGAAUUAUGAUAAAGAUGUUGAGGAAAGAGUGCUAGCUUCAUAUUCAUUGCUCUCUCUAACCAAAAAUUCAGGUACUAAUUAUUUUUUGGCCAUCACCAAAACUAUGCCAAACUUUAACUUUUGUCCUAUAGGACUAGUUGUCUCAAUUUUGUUCUCAAACUUUAUAUUUUGGCAUCAUAUAAAAGGGUUUCAGAAUAGAUUCUGAUUUUCAAUAUUAAUAGCUAUAUUAUAUGCUUGUUUAACUUUUUCACAAUUUUUAUUUGUCCUUACUUUGGUAUAUAUUCCUAGCAGCAUGUGUCUCUGUCCUACAAUCAGUGGAUAAACACUCACUAAGAAAUCUCAGAAAUCUGUCUCUAGUGACAUGGACUGCCAAUGAACUUAUCUCAAUCAUCUCAAAAAGCAGCUUGCAAUCAAGACAAUGAUAAGCUGAAUCUUUCAAUGUUCAUUCUUUCAUAUAAAGGUUACUGUAAUCACCCUUGAAUUUUUGUAUAGUUUGAAAUGGAAUAUUAUGCCCCAAGGAACAUAAUAUUUGUUUUGUUCAUGAUAUAGCUUAUUAUGAGUUCCUAAUCUGAAAAACUUGUUUAGCCUAAAUAAGAAAGAAGCUACAGAAAAGUGACAAAACACAUAAAAACAGUUUUCAAUGCUAAUACACCACAAUUAGAUCCUCCUUAUUACUCAUUUGUUCAUACUUAUUUCAAUCAACAACCAACGACCAUGUUUUUAUCCUGCUAGGUAGAGUCGACUCAUAUUAAUAUGUUAUGGUUAUAUUAACCGUCUUCAACGAAAAUCUUUCAAAUAUUUGACGAUAUUACUAAGAGUCCAACCUAAGAGAUGCCACAUGUAUUGUCUAUCAUUUACAACUAAGCAUACAUUCCUGAUAGAGUUUCCAUGUGGCACUUAUUUUACUCACAGAUACUACAAGUAUAGCAGCAUUUUUGACUUAUUUAUUUAUGUGUUCACAUGCAUAGUGACCUACACUUACGUGGUCCUGCAUGUGCACCUGCUUGCUUCAGACUGAGACAACCUAAGCAUCCAUUUCUCUAUAAAAAGAAUCUCUUGGAUAAAAAAUCUUCAUUUCUUGUCAAGAGUUGCAGACAAAAUGUACCGACCAACUUGGAAUAUAAUUUAAUAACUAUGUGAAUCUAAUGCCAUCAUUCAAUGCAAGAAACUAUGACCAUAGAGGACAUAUAUCAUAAAUUAGGAAUAAACUUCAAUGUAACUUUGACAACUGGUAAAGAAAAGACAAAUUCAAUAGGUAUUUAAAUCAUCUAUAAGAGAAUGAGACAUACUUUUCAACAUGUCUGCUCGACAGAAGUCUGUUGGACCAGAAGAAUGGUUACCUUCAACCCAUGAUUAAAGAGCAUCUUUUGGCCCAUGACAACUGGAGAGGAGUUAGACUUUGGCUUUCAUAUCAUGCUAAAGUUUCAUCUUAAAACCAAUUGAUAACGAAAAGAUUAGCUCAAUAAGCCUAAAAAAAAUAAGUUAGGCAAGGUAAGACUUACUUCUUAACAAGAUGAAGAAUCAAACAUUAUUUUUCUUUUUAGGACAAUUAAUAGAAAAAAACGAAUAUAAAGUAAGUAUUUAGAUUCAAAAAUGGAAUAGAAGAUGCAAUUGGAUUUACUGAAGGUGGUAUAAAUAUGAGUAAUGAUGUGAAACAUUGUGUAUAAUGGCCACAUGAAAGGACAAAUCUGAGUUGUCAACAAUCAACAGACUGUACAUUAUCCUUUUCUUGCUUCUAUGAACAAUUUGAUCCUCAUACCUCAAACUUCAUCCAAAUUGUGGGGAGAAUAUGGUUUCCAAUUAAUGCAUUUUGGGAAGUUAAAGUGUUUUGAUUGGAGAAUGCAUAUUUUGUAUGACAAUACAAUUAAUGAUAAGGGUGGUAACCCCACUAUGUUUUGUGUAUAUUCUAAUGUCAUUGUAUGCAUGAAAGGAACAAUCACUAUAGAACAGUAAAAACAUGAGAAUGUAGUGUACUAAAGCUGACAACCUAAGCUCAAAAGUUAAUAACAUCACCUUCUUGUUCCUCACUCCACGUGCUACUCUCUAUUAUUGUUUUAUUUUUUUUGUAUGCACUCUAUAAGCAAAAUAGAAGUGAACCUCAUGCAACAAUAAAGUUAUUUCAUUAUUGAUUUUGAGUUUAAAAGUUCAAAUUCUAAAAAAGUAUUUCUAUUUGUGGUAAAGUUGCAUAUAUUUCCAAUACUCCAUUAAUUAAAAGUCUUGUACAUAAAUCAUCACUUUACUUUAUAAGAAAUGUUAACAUAUAAGCCUACAAUACUUGAGCCACUUCCCUCAUGCCAAAAAAAAAUUGGCAUAUAUGAGAAUUUGAGGGAGGGACCAACAAUAGCAUUUCAUGUGGGUAGAGAAAUUACUAUUCUUCACGGAAUAAGAACAUUCUUAUUUUGUUUCAUUGUGUUAUUUUUAUUUUCUGAUUUUUGUUCUUAAAUAAGAACAAUUUUUUGUUAUUCUUAACUAAGGGAAAGUGAUGAGAGAGAUAGCUAUUGUGGAAAAAAAAUAUAUAUUGUGGGACUCAUAUAAAAACAAGAAUGAUAAUUGUUAUUGUGAAAAAAAUAUAUAUCGGUCUUAUUUUAUGGAGAGUUGUAAUAAAUUAUAAAAUAAUAUGUGUGAUCCAAAUAAAGAAUGAAAAUGUUGUUCUCGAUUGGAGAGUGGAGAUUGCUCUUAGUUCAUUGUUAAUCUUUUGUUUCUAUUGUUCGUCAAACUAUUUUUAAUUUAUUUACUUUACUUUUUAUAAUUAAUCAGACUUGUUUAAGAAAAUUUUCAAUAGUGAGCCAUAAGAAUCUAUAUUAUAUCCUGGUUCAUUCUAUAUUUUUAGGUUUAGAAAAAGAAUGCCUGCUUAAACUCUAGAAAAAGUGAUUUUGAUGAGAAAAUAAGAUAAAAUAAACUUUUUGUUCCCACACUCAAAUAAAUACAAUAGAAAUGGACAAAUUUUAUCUGAAUUUACUCAUACUCAUUAUUUAAAUCAAAUGCAAUUAGAUGAAGAAGAAAAAAAUGAAAGAAGGGUUAUAAAAAUAUAUGAUACACAAUAUAUGGUUAGAUGACCCCUGAAUAAGGUCUCAAUAGGUUAGCCCAAUAUUUUCUGGCCCGAUUUCAAUUCAGUCAAGCCCUAAGAUAGUUAUAUUCAAUGCCCAAACCCAUGUUACAUUACACGGCUUUGAAUGAAAUAUUUUGUUUAACUCACAUAUAUGCGCAAAUAAGCACUUUUUGAUGGUUUAUAAAAUAAGUAUAGGAUUUAAUAUGAAUAUACCAAUAAAUGUAAGUAUUUUUUAUAUUAUCAAUUUAUCAUCUAUUAUUGGACACUCGAAUAUAAAAAGAUAAUAUAAAUGAACAUUGAAUAAUACAAUUUAACAAUGAAUAAGACAGUAUAAAUUUUUGUGAUAACAUAAUUUAAUAUUAGGCACUGUCAUUAAGGAACCGCACCCAAUGUUAGAAAAAUGUAGUAGAAAUUACUAUCUAAUACAUAUAUAUUGUCUUAUCUAAUAUGUAUAUAAAAUUCUUGUACCGAUAGUAUGCAUAUUUUUGUAUGUUUUAAUUAGUAUUAAUAUUUUGAAGAGUCAAUAAUAAUUAAAAAAUAAAGGGUAAAUGAUAAUAGUUUAUAAAAAAUUUUCUAUUUUCCAAUUUUUUGUGUUUCAUUUUUCCAUUAAUUAACGGCAAUAGUAACUGAUAAUCUUGUUUUCUCUUUCCACAUCCCAUUCUUAUUGAUGAUCUGAAUGAACAAAUGCUCUUUACGCCAUAAACGUUUUCCCCUUUAGAAUUUAUAUGUUUAUUAUUUGGGUUUUCAUUCUGUUGCAGACAAUGUUUGAGAAUCACAGGUUAAGAAAAUAAUAAUUCCAAAUUCCAACCAGAUAUAUAUAUAUAUAUAUAGGAGCUUCACUUCUUUCCUUUCUCUCUGAUUUACAACACCAAAGUUGAUGUCUUUUAGGUUUCAUGGUCUCAUUUCUCCAGGGAUGAGAUUUGUGAAUUAUAUUUGGAAACUUUCAAUUUGAUGAUUGGAUUUGUUAUUCUUCAGUAGGAUCCAAAAGGGACCAUUUUUUCCUGUAAAAGUUUUGUAAUUUUUGCUUGGGAUUUACUAAUAAAAUCGAUUAUUUGAUGGGUUAUUCUCAAUUUUGGUUGUAAUUGCUAGUUGAAGUUUCUAUGAUUGAUGGGUUAUGGUGAGAUUUUGUUGUAAUGGCUAGUUGAAAUUUCUGUACCUGGAAGUUGAGUUUUGCAGUUGUUGUGAAGAUGAAUAAUAUGAAGAACUAUGGAAAGAAAGUAAUGAGCCUGUAGUGGAAGUGUUGAAGGAUGAAGACCUUGAUGAAUAUCAAUAGCUAGGGUUGAGAAUUCAAGUUCUGGGUUUUCUAGAAUUGGAGUGUUCAUGGAAAGAUCAUCACAACUUCCUGCUAUUCGGGUUAUCGGGUACACAAAAACCGUAAUUUUUAUGCCUUCACUUGUUGUAUGAUCAGGUUAGCAAUUUAUGUUUAUGUUAACAAUUUUUUGCACUUAUGAACUUUAUAUAAUAUGAUGGAUGUCAAAAUUGAAGUACUAUUGUUUUUUUUCCUUAGCAUUGUUCAGGUAUGCUUCUCAGUUUUAUGUCUCAAUUUUUGGAUGAACACUGAAAAAAUGUUCUAGUCUAUUAAUUACGAUAAGCCUUGUGCAAUUGUUGUAUCUAUGUAUGUUAUUCACUUCUGGAUAUCUCUCUAUUCUUUGGGUACUUUAAUUUGUUAUGUAGUUUGUAUAUAAAAAAGAAGUUUGAUGUUUGUAUUCUAGCAGCUACACUAGAUUCAGUUUGAACAACACAUUAACUUUUUCUAUAAAAGUGGAGUUUCUAUGAAAGCAGAAUGGGUAAUGUAAUUUGAAUGUGAAUAUUCUGACAUAUAACAUUUGACAAAAACAUGGAGGUACCUCUUUUGAUGAUACUGAGUGAACAAGUUCUGGAACUUGCCAAUAAUCUUGAAUCUUUUGUUCUUGAGCAGCCAAAUGAAUCUAGAAGUGAGAGAUUUGUAUAAUAAGUAUGAAUGCAAUAUUAACAAGGUCCCAUGGUCUAGUGGUCAGGACAUUGGACUCUGAAUCCAGUAACCCGAGUUCAAAUCUCGGUGGGACCUUUUAUUCCUAUUUUUUAAUUAUUAUCCAUUCUAUUCUUAAAAUAUUUGUUUCUGAAGACUUAGUAACACACUUUCUUCAAGAAUCAGAACAAUUGGCAUGGAAUACUCUCAAUUCUCCCUCCCUGAUAUCAACUUCCAUGGGUUUGAGAGAUUUGUGUAUGUGAUAAGUGACAACUAUUAUGAACAUUAUAUUCAAUAAAACUCUUGUUCAGCUUAGAGUACCUAAAACUUCUAUAGUCAUAUCAAAUCUGUGAAGGGAUACAGACAUAGUUCCUUACUCUUCCACUUUUUACAACAACAGGUGUAACAAUCUUUGCAUCAUAUAUUUUGAAAUAAAGAUCUCAUUUUCAGUUAAUGUUGUUUCAUUCAUACGUAUAAGACUUAGACUAUUAUAUUAUAUUAUAUAUAUAUAGUGUUAAAUAAUAAGACUUAAGCAAAUAUGGCAUAAAGUUUAAAUAUUAUAAAAGCACGAGGUUCACCCAUCUCUUUAAUUACGUGUUUCCCUUUCUCAUGGUGGGCCUUGCAUACCUUAAACAACGACACCAACUCUUAUACUUUAGGGUCUGAUCAAAGAUGAUGAUUCACAUGAAUUACAGCACCACCAUAAAUCUUGCACAAUAUUAAAUUCACGUGACCCACUUUUAGUGCUUUCUAAUCUACUCAACUGUCCAAGUUUUCGAGUUGUAGAUAUUAUCAAAAUAAGUUUUAUUUUUCUUUAGUAAAAUAUAUUUCAUAUUGACACAAAGUUUAAGGAUUUGUUACUAUGCAUCAAAUUUGUUUGCCUCUAUUGAGAGUUGAAUUAAUAUCCAUAACAACUCAGCUUCAUUGACAUUUUUUUAAGAAUUUUUUUUAGCAAAGUUGGUCUAGUCUUAUAAUGAUCAAAAGGUCACAGUUCGAUUGUUGUGAGCAACACUUAUUGAAAAAGACAAUUAUACACCCGAAAAGAUUAGUUACUUACUCAAAUGGGUGAGGAGAUAUUAUUGGUAGUUCCAAAAAAGUAUAUUUACAUUUUUAAAUAUCUAUAUACACUCUUAUUAACCAAUUAUACAUAGGAAUAAAAAUAUGAUUGUUGAAUAGAUAAGUCCAUAUUUGAAAGUAAUGUUUUUUUCUUGAAUUUGAAGGAAAUGGAAUAAGAAAAGAGAAGAAGCAUUUACUUGGUGGAGGUGAAGUUUGUGGCAGAUGGUGGGGACAAUAGAGUAGUGGUAGUGAUAUUUGUAUUUGCAAGGACAGUUUGCAGUGAGAGAGACACAGAGGGACCAACCCCACUGACAACACUUUCAAAACAAUAACCCAUGGUUACAGUUCUGUCCUAACAGUAGCACUAUAUGUAUAUAUAUAUAUAUAUUAUUGUCAUGAUCAUGUGUCAUCACCCUUAAUAAGCCAAAACAACACUAUCCCCUAGACACACUCAAUCUAAUCAAUAAGUCCCCACCAUUCUCAUUUCCCCAACUUGGGGUCUUCAAUUCAACCACAAUCUCACAUUAAAUAUAGUAAUUAAGUAUGGGAAAAAAUAGUAUCUUAUCUAUAACUUAUCAAUUUUUAUAUUAUAACUAUAUCAUCUAUUAUUUAUAUAAUUAUAUUAUAUAAAUAAAUGGUUAAUAAUAUUACUGGUUUAUAUAUUUUAUAGUGACAAAUGUCAUGAUUUUAUGUAAUCAACUAUGUUUUUAAUUGAGAGUCUUAUUAUUUUAGUUGGGGUAACAUAUAGAGAAAAACUUACAUAUAAACAUAUAUAAUAUGUCAUAUUUAGUACUUUUGCUUUUUUGUGUUAUUAUUAAUGAUUAAGUGUUUAAUGUGUUGUUAUGGUUUUAUUGGUUAUCUUGAUAUACACAUGUAUUCAUGUAACUCUUUCUUUGUGAAUAGGUGAUUGUAUUGAUUUAUGUAAUUGAUUGUUUAUUUAUGGGUAAUUACUGCUCAUUCAUGUCAAUGAUAAAUGAAAAUAAUUUGGAUGAAUCUCGUUAACCUUUUCCUUUUAAAAUGUAUUCAUUUGAACCAUUUAAAGAAAAUAUAUAUUGCAUAAUAACUCACAUGAGAAGUUCACAAAGAUAAAACUUAGAAAGCUUGAAGAAAUUAAGAAACUUGUUACUUUUUAUUAUUAUGUGCCAUAUCAUGUUUAAACUGAUUCAGUCCUAAACUUCUUCAAUUGAAACAAAUCAAAUUUAUUUAUUGUUUUAGUCAUGUUGUCGUGAGGGAGUACCGUAUUUAUUUUUCUUAUAUGAGUUUAACUCCUCUGCUCUUUUAUGUGUCAAUAGUAAUGAGAAUUAAAUAUAAAUAUUUUUUUACCAAUUUUGUUUGAUUUGGUUGGCUGAUGUGGAUUUAGAUUAAUAUAUAUAUAAGAUAUAUAUUUUAUGGAUUAGAAAACACUUUUUACUACUAGUACUAUUUUACGUGUCAUGUAUAAAUUUAAUGACUUUUAAACCUUUUCAGUUGAAAAAGUUUAUAAGCCUCUCUCUAUUUUACAUGUGGAUAACAUGGGCAUGUAAUUUUCUGAAGUACAGAUUUGUCCAUUUAUGUAAAGACAAAUAAGUCAUAAAUGUGUAUUUCUGUUUUUUAUGUACGUUCAUAUGCUUAGCUAUGAGAUUAUCUGUGUGUUAAAUGUGUCUUUAUUUUGCUUGAGUCUAAUGGGCGUAUAUCAACAGUGUCCUAAUAUUUGUGUAAGAAAAUUAGUAAAGCAAUUUAGAUAUAAACUAUAUAUGUAAAAUUUAUAUAUCUAGAUCGAAUAAAAUUGAGACUAUAAAACAAAUUCUGAGAACUUACGACUAACCUAACCAUUAUUUUUAAGGUUGUUCUUAAUAGAAUAAGAACAUUCUCACUAUGUUCUCUGUUAUGUCAUUCUUAUUUUGUAAAUUUUGUUUUAAAUAAGAACCGUUCUUGUCCAAGAAAAAGUGAGGAAAGAGAACGAAAAUUUGGCAUGAAUACAAAAGUGUAGGGUAGGUUGUGUUACUCAAAUAAAAAUAAAAAUUAUGUUUGUCGUUGUACGAAAAAAGGUAAAUAUUAUUUUUAUUUCAUGAAGAAUUAUAAUAAAUUAUGAAAUAAUAUGUGAGACAAAAAUAAGAAUAAAAUUGAUAUUGUCUAUUGUGGUAAGUAACGUAUAAUGAUUACUUCCCAAUUAGUGGUUAGGAAAUUGAAAAUGUGACAAGUAGAGAGGUGCAUUCUAAUUUAAGUAUUUAACUAAUCCUUUUUUAUGUAUUAUUUGAGUUCUAGGUGAUAGAAACAUUAAAAGGACAGAGAUAGUGACCAGUCUACAAUAUAUAUCUAUUUCCUACACCUGUUUCUAUAUCUUUUUCCCAUUUUUGAUUAUUUUCAAUUCAUUGGUAUUAAUGCAUCGAUGAUGAUGAUGAAUAUGUCUCUCUCAAUCCAUUAUCUGUUGAAAUGUCAGUGAAAUGGUGUGGUGUAAUGUUAUGGAUGUAAGGUUACAUAAGAGUAAUAAUAGGCCAUCAAUUUCUGUUCACACAUUAUACAAUGGAAAUGCUGAAAUUGUGUCAGUACUGUGUCUUAUGAAGGGUCAGAUUCUACUGUGUCUUAAUCCCACUUUCUUUACUUCACACAUGCUUACGUUAAUGCAUGCCCAACAACACACGCACAUGUAUCACUACUAUUAUCUUACCCACCUCGUUUCUAUUGCAUGCAUUCAACAUAACUUCAUAUUUUACCAUAUGAGAAAUCUAAAUUUGAUUUCUUCAAAUAAUACUACUUAAUGUGAGCUGAAAUUUCACUAUAGCAUAUGAAAGGAAAUAGGGAAAAGUUGAAUAUAUGGUUCUUAUUAUGGCCGAGUAAUUGUAGUUAUUUUAUAAUAAAGUUAAGAGGAUAAAAAUAUAUGUUUCCUAUUAGGCUUAUUCAUUUGAACUUAUGGGGAAAUAGGAAGGAAUGGUGAAGAAGUUAUUUUUGUUGUUUGGACCGCAAGGAUAGAAAAAAACUAUAGGACCCAUGAUGUUGAUUGUGUUUUUUUAUACUAUUAAAGGUCUCGUCACUCUAUGGGUAAUGAACUAAUCCAUUUUAGAGAAUAUGAUUGUGUCUUCUAACAAGAGUUUUUAUCAGGAAUUGAACUAUUGAUCUUUUGACCUUACACAACUAUACCAACGAAUCUUGUUGGUGAUGUUGAAUGUGUUUGUUUCUCCCUAAAAUCGAGAAAAAGUAGUAGAAAAUAGUGUGCAAAAAGUUAAGGUAAAUAAAUAUGGCCAACGAUCCAUGCCACAACCCGUGUAGGGUUUCUAUUUUGAACUUUAACUUUAAUUCGUUUAGUAAUUGAUAAAAAAUGCUUUUAAAAUUCUAAAAAAAAUAGCAACUGAAAUAUUAUGGAGAAAAAAGAGAGCAUCUAAUGAUUUCGAGAAAUGCUUUUGGUGGUUAGAACUUGAGCAGAAAAAAAGAAAGUAUUUUGCUCCUUUGCACAAGAAUGGAUUUUGUUCCAAAAAGCAUAUAUAAAGGUGGUGGUGGA
rnacentral:lncRNA from 1 species